UACUUUUUUUUUUUUUUUUUUUGUCGACACAGGGGUGUUCAGGUCAAUCCUUACGGGGCCCGACUAAUCCCUGCGGCCCGGGCCUUGGCGCCCAACCCGACCCAAGCACGGUAAGUGCGCGGAGGAAUCCAGCAGCGCAGGAACUCGAACCUGGGACCUAGAGGUUUACCAGGAGGAGGUGCUGCCGCUGAACCAUUCACGUGGGGGCGACUGCAGUUGUAGUGAACGAACUUAUUUCAAGGUAUAUCACUGUUUGGUAGUUGAAUAUAAAAAGUGGUAUCCAAAUGCUUAAGAAUAUUAUAUCUAACAAUAUAAAAGGAAGAGUUGGCUGAAUGAACAGUAAAAGAGUGUUUCCGUUGGGUAUUUCGGUAUUGGUUGAUGUUUUUGGGCUAUUUCGAUCCAUUUGCAUGUCCCUUGGCAGUUCCUCAUGUGAUUAGCUUUAGCCUUUGUACUUCUUCAUUUUUAGCAAUGUCAUUUGCUAUUUUUCCCUUACUCAGGACGCCAGAAGAUGCAUGUUAUAGUUGUGUGGUUCCUGUGUAAUUUAUUUGUUUUUUGUUCCUCUUUUGUUUGGUCAUUGUUGCCCUUGUGAUCCGCAAAGAUGGGUCACCGGUGGCAAUGGGGCAGGGGUGGAUCCCCCGUCCCCCGCCCCAUUGCCAAUUAAUUACCCCCAUCUCCGCCUCGCCCGCCGCCCCGCCCCGUUUCUUCUGGGGGCACCCGUGAGGUUAAAAAAUUUAUUAUAAUUAAAUUUGAGCAAAUAAUCAAGUACUAAAAUAUCAACAUAUCACUAAAUUAUUAUUCAUUGUAACUUCACAAUUGAAACUCAUAAAAAUAAUUAAACAAAAGUUAUUUGAAUACAAUCUAAUAUGAUAAAAAAUAUAUAACUAAAAUAAUCAAGUUUUCACUUUUGAUACAAAUACAAUCACUAAAUUAUUAUUAUUAUUUUUUAAAAAAAGUGUUAUUGUAUUAAGUGUAGUUAGGAAUUUAAUAUCAAUGUAUUAAUAAAUUUAGUAUAAAUAAUUAAUAAUUUUAUUAAUAAACAUGUAUAAUUAGUAGUAUAAUUGAUAAUAUUAUAUAUAUAUUAUGUACAUAUAUAUAUUUUUUUUUUGUUUCAAAUGUGGGGGGCAGGGGAAUAUAUCCCCGUUCCCCUGCCCCGUUUCUAAAUGGGGGGGAGGGGGGGAAAUUCCCCCCCCCCGCCCCAAUAGUCCCCCGCGGGGCGGGUGCCCGCCCGGCCCAUUGCCACCCCUAACCUUAGCUAUUCAUGAGUAUUAGUUUAGCCUUGGGUGUUGUCUUAUUUUCCAGUUAUGCCAUUCAUUUUUCCCUUCAUUCAACAUGUAUGUUAUGUUUGCUUGGUCGCUUUGUAAUUUUGUUAUUUUUUUAAUAAUUUUGUUGACUUGUUGUUUUUUUUGUGGACCACACAGAUGGGUCAUUUUUGAUUCUAUGCUUCUUUCAAAGCAGCAUCUUCUUCAUUGGAAAAUUCUCAUUUUGAGUUUGCCUUUUUUUGUUUUCCAUUCAUACUGUUGCAAUGCUGAUUGUCCUUUCAAACAACUCCAGUUUUGUUUGGAUUUUGAUAUAAAGAAAAAAAAUCACACAAGUUUACUUAAUCAUCUAUUUAUUCUGCGGACUACCUAACCCAAUGAUGCCAAACAAAAACAGCAUAAUCAUCUUUUAUUGCCAACACACAUGCUGGGACAUUAAAGUUGAAGAUAAUUUUCGAAGCUUUGGUUGGAAAAAAAUGCUACAAUACCAUGUUAUUAGUCCAGGCCUAUAUUCUCAUAAUUUCUCAUUUAGGAAUGAACGAAUAUCGGAUGCACAUUUUUUUAUGACGAACUUGUAGAAGUUCUUGCAAUAUAAAAUAAUAACCAUAAAAAUUACACUUUCACUGUUCAAUACUAUAUUAUUCUGCUACUUCAGGCACAUAUAUGCUAUAUUUUAUUAACAUUAAACUACAUUUUAUACAUAAACCUACCAACAAUUCUCUCCAAUUAUCCUAAUUUAAUAAAAAAUAACUAGCUCACAAUUAUUUUAACAUAUUAUAAAAUUAUUUCCUACAUCAAUACUUACCAAACAAACUUUACAAAAUAUUUUCGACAGACAUACUAUUAACACGGGUCACAUAUGCUCACCCUGUGCGUAGCGCAGGCUCCAGACUAGUAGAAAUUAUAUUAUAAAUUAUUGCUUCAAGUCUAUUUGCUUUAAAACAUUAAUCAUUUACUCAUACAUUAAGAGAUCAUAAUUCUUUCUGGCUGCGUUUUGAUUUUAAAAGCAUGGCUUUGACCUUUCUGUUCUUAAUUGUUGCUUGGUUCCUUUAAAUAUUCUCUUUACAUCAUUUGUUCUCGGAUCAGCAUCUAGAAACUUGGAUAGUGAAAGUUAUAUUGUACCAAUGAAGUACAAAGUCCUCAAUCAGGCAGUCUUCAAGAUAUCAGUGUUGAGUCGUUCACGUAUUGAUCAGUGUUGAUUGUUCAAGUAAUAUUUAACAAUUCAUCCUUUCUUUCUUCUUGUAAUCUUCACUUUAAAGGUUUGCGGAGUUGAAGACGAUGACGUACUAAUUAAUCAAGUGCAAAGUCCAAAGACGUGUCUCUCUUGACUGACUGACUUGGUUUACAUUUUCUUCGUUUAUUACAUUAAUGACACGACCUAUGCUUAUUGAAGAAAGAGGAAGGUAAGUGCAAGAAGAGACAUAAUUUCAUUUUCUAUGUGAAGGAUAACAUAUUUCACUUUAACAAAUAUUUUGGAAAAAUUCAAAGGAUUUGACUAACGGUUACAUACUCUCGUUAUAAGUGUUUAUAUUUUUACAAGACUAUAAUUAAUUCGGGAAAGCCUCGAAAUGCUAGGAUUGUAGUAACGGUAAAUAUAUGUAUUCAUAUAAUAAGUUCUGUGUAAUUUAAAUAUACUAAUGAGUUACUACUAGGCACCCAUUAGAAAAUCAAAGUUCAAAUAAUAGAAAAUAAUUUGUUUUUUCAUUAUCGAAUCAAAUAAGGAUUUAGGCUAACAUUUAGGACAAAUAGUGGAUAACAUUUAGGACAAACCACAAUAACAAAAAAGAAAUUUUAUCUAUGAUAGAUACAAUAUUUUAUAUUCAUUCUCAAGUUAAAUAGAGAUUUAGCAUGAAGAAAUUACUGAAGUAAAGUAUUGAUUUUAAAAGGUAGGAUAUGGGGUGUAUCUGAUUGGUGAAAAAAUCAAGCUUUACUUUUGCUUAUGGUGUUAGUUACUAACUACUAGGAUUAGAUUCCGGAGGUUGAAUUUGAUAAAGUUUUUGUGCUUACGCCCUGUUUGAUAACCCAAUUCAACAUUUAAAUUUAAUAGAUUCAGAUUUUAGCAUGUUCAGAUGCACUUAAUAACUAAAAAUUGAACAUUUGAAUUAAUUAAUAUUAAACAAAACUUGCUUCCAAAAAUAAAUGAUAAACUAUUUACUUAUCACUUAUUAUGAUAUAUAUUCAAAUGUAUCAAAUUUAGUACUUAAUAAUUCAAUAACUUAAUGGAUUCAAACUUUAGUUCUCAAUUUUUAGUUUUCAGCCUUCAGUUUUAUCAAACACACUCUUAGAAUCUGAUCAAUUAGAAGUGCCACGCUUUUCUAAGAUAAUUGCCCAUUAAAACUGCUAAUUUACUGAUUUCCCUAGUUAGGCACAUAAUGAAAUUGAAAAUGGCAGAAGAAAAAUUUUGAAGUACCAUAGUGCAACUACUAGCAUGACUAUCAAUAAUCUCCAUGUAAUUAGUUGAAACAUAGGAAAAAAUACAGAGAAGAUAGCACUUAUGAACAAUUUUAAUAACCAGGAAAAAAAAUUCAUUUUUCCUUUUUGUCAAUUUAAUAAUGGUUUGACCCGGUUGAAGAUUUUCGCUUAUUUGCUAAAUUAAUCGCUCUGAACUAACAACCAGAGAGUAAAUUGACUCUUUCAGGUACCAAUGGUUGCUUGAUUUAGAAAUCAAUACUAAAUAUAAUUCUCUUUCUUGCUUCUUUUGGCUUUUGAUAUCUAAAAAAUGAAAACCUAGAUAGCUGAAAUUGAUAUUGUCUGCUAAAACCGAAGUGAUUGGUUGUAUUUAUUAGCACUAGGAAUGGCAUUUCUUCUCAAAAUUGAUGCCUUUUUGUUUAACAUUUGUUACCUACAUUAUUCAUUGGAUGUCAUUUGCGGACAUGAUUUCGAAAAGUCCAAUUUAAACUGCAUUAUUGACUCAAUCGAAUAUUAGAAUAGGCAAGGAGCCCCACGCCUAAAACACAGUGGGAAGACUCUAGCUUUUUAGUCUCCCAUCUCAACUUCGAAGACUUAGCCCCGUUUGGAUUGCAAUUUUCUGUCGAAAAAUUACGUCGUUUUCUGUGAUUACAUUUUCCUAUUACCUUUUUUCCUCGUAUAUAUCAAAUCGUUACAGUAAAUUUUUCAUAAAAAAUCAUGAAAAAUGCAAUCCAAACGGGCAGUCUCCCAUCUCAAACUUUUCCAUCAAUUAGACCAAGAUAUCAUUAGUCUUCUCAACGUCCUUUCCUAUCAAUUCUUAGUCUUCCUUGUGAACAACUACCAAUUCCUUGUGUUUUAGUCAAUUUAGCUUAAUAAAGAAUUAAAAACUCCGCAUUAACUAUAAAUCUGUCUAACGAGUGCAUAAGAACACAAUAUGAGUGGACCUGCAAAUGUUUAUUGGGGCGAAUAAGGGCACAAAGAGCAUUAUCUGAUAUACCAAGUGCUGUAGAAAUAAAAGCGUGGUAGAAAAUUUUGAACUUGAGGAUCUGAAGCAAUAGACUCAUGGGUGUGGGUGUUGAAGUAAGCAUAACUAGAAGGGAUGGAAUCAUUUUAUACAAUCCCAAACCAGUUCCCCUCGCGGUGAAAGAAUAGAUAAUGACUUUUUAUGCCAAAACGAAUGGUGAUCUCGAUUCAUUAAAACUUUCUUGUUGAGCUACCUACUUAAGGAUUUGAAGACACCAAAAAAUAAAAGGGUGAAAAAGAUAAAAAGCACAAAGAUCAGGGGUCUCGUUGCCCUCGGCGUCAAUUAAAAAGACCAACCACUACCAAACAAUCAUGUACUAGACUGCUAGUAGUCUUAACAAAUCCAUUCCCAAUUCAUCAGUUUCUACUCAGAGAAAUUUCCCAGGCACCUCAUCGUCAAUUGUUGCCCUCCCAACUGAAGCUAUGACCUCAUCAGUGGCGCCACUGCUUCAACCCCGAGAUAAUUUCUCAAGCGUUAAACUACUAGCAGAAUCACCAGACCUCGAUUCCAUCCCUUCUAGUUAUGCUUACUUCAACACCCACACCCAUGAGUCUAUUGCUUCAGACCCUCAAGAUAGUAAAAAUUUUUUAUUCAUAUAAUCUUAAACUCUCAAAUUUUCACCAUUGAAUAAGGGUUAUAGCACCUCGUAAUUAAUGGCAACUUUUGCCUUUGGCAGAUAUGUAAUUUUGCCUCUCAAAUAAACUCUUAUCCAAACUGCUAUAUGACAAUAUAGAAACUUCUAUUGUUUUAGACUUGAUUUAAUAUGACGACAAUUACACUCAUACAUCAACAGAUCAUAGGUCGUGCAGGAUGUGUUUUGAUUUUGAAAGCGUGGACGAACUUGAACUUUCCAAUACUUAGAAAAAAAAUAUUUUCCAGUACUUAUUCAAUCGUUGCUUGAUUACUAUAAAUACUCAAGGCUGUUAUUUAUAAUAAUAUUUUGACCUGGGUCAGCAUAUGAACACGCUUUCUGGUUACAUUCGACUAAUUUAGGCCCAAGUCAUGUAUCAAAUGGUCAAUCGAGUCGACUUGACUCUAUCCCUUGUGGUUUUGAGCCCCUACCGUACUAUACUAAUGAAGUACGGAUUCCAACAUCCGUUAUUCUUGAUUAACUUGGAUUUCAUUUUCUUUGUCAAAAAAUGCCACGAGACUAGAAAUGUUUAGACAAUUCAUAAGAAUUAUAUUUUAGCAAAUGAACUCUUUGUUAGACCAAAAAGUCGCGUCACGUAUAUUUUUUAAUUUUGGUUAUACUCUUGCUUGGAAAAGUAGCAAGACAAAUAGUACGAGUAGAUAUGUCUAAACAAAAAAUAAUAUGAGUAGAUAGAAGGGUUUAAAUUUCUUCCUAUUCUUCUCGUAGACUUUUCAUGUGAAGAAAAUAAGAGUUUGUUCUCGGUUGAUUAUUUUAACUAAUUAUAGAUUCAGAUUUUAGAAAAUUAAUUUUAUUAUGUUCACGAUUGCUUUUGUAUUCUAAUUAUAGAUUUUUUUAAUGACUAGAAAAACUAAAAUUUAUAAUCACCCAACGAAUAGCUGAUUUUAUAAAAUCUAAAGCAACCAAUAACAAGGUCUAAGUGCUGAUUCUGUUCCAAUAAUAUUUUCUUUUCUUUAAUCACUUGGAGAUACUAAAACCUUCUUUCUUGAGCAGACUGCCACCAUAUUUAUAAGGUAAAUUACCUUUUAUCCUCCUAUGAUUUGAUACUUUACAACAUAACUCUCCUAUAAUUAAAAAAUCUAUAUAUGAGCCCCUUAUGAUUUGAUUAAAGUACUAUCAUUAAUUUUUCUAUUUAAACUAAAGUCAAUAUUAAAAAGUUGAAGUCAAAAAAUUUGACAAAUUCACCCUUUUAUUUUUCUCUUUUUUUCCCCUUUGAGAAGAGAAAAGAUGAUAUUGAAAAACAGGCUUUGUUUGAAAAGUAAUUUUUCAAAGAAAAAUUGUUACAUUUUUUGUGAACACAACAAAGUUACAGUACUUGCCGCUAAAUAACAAUUAAUGAGGGUCCACACUAAACUAUGAGCCUGCCUAAAGACUAACAAAUCCCCGUAAAACACAAUAAAAGUGGACCUGCAUUCUUUAUUUCGGGUGGAUAAAGACAUGAGGACCAUUGCCUAUAUACUACGUGUUGCAAAACUAAAGGCGUGUCAAAAAAGUUUGAAUGCAUUAUACCGGAUAGUAAAAUUUUUUAUUCAUAUAAUCUUAAACACUCGGGGUUCGUUGGAUUCCUUAUUUUGCUUAUAUUUUUUAAAAACUGUUUUUCACAUUUUAAAUGUUACAGUAAAUGUGUAUUUCAAAAAUAUUUCCAAAAACACCCAUAUCCAAACAUUAUAUCAAAAACAACUCCAAAUAUACAUAUUUAAUAUGUAUAUUUCAAUUAUGUAUAUUAUAUAUAUAUUAUAUUAAUAUAAAUUGAAAUAUACAAAUUGAAAAUUAUAUAUUUAUAUAUUUAUAUAUUAUAUAAAUAUUUAUAUACAUUAAUAUUAUACAUAAUAUAAUAUAAUAUACAUAAUAUGUAAUAUUGUAUACAUAAAUGUAUAAAUAUUUAUACAUAAUAUAUUAUGUACAUUACAUUAUAAUAUACAUUAUUAAUGUACUUUCAUUAUUAUGUACAUUAUUGUGUAUAAUAAUGUAUAAUAAUGCUAUGUAUAAUAUAUAAUAUACAUAAUAUGUAAUAAUGUAUAAAUGUAUAUUACGUAUAAUAUAUUAUAUUAUGUAUAUUGUUUAUAUAUAUAUAUACAUUAAUAUUAUACAUAAUAUAAUAUAAUAUACAUAAUAUGUAAUAUUGUAUACAUAAAUGUAUAAAUAUUUAUACAUAAUAUAUUAUGUACAUUACAUUAUAAUAUAUACGUUAUUAAUGUACUUUCAUUAUUAUGUACAUUAUUGUGUGUAAUAAUGUAUAAUAUUGCUAUGUAUAAUAUAUAAUAUACAUAAUAUGUAAUAAUGUAUAAAUGUAUAUUACGUAUAAUAUAUUAUAUUAUGUAUAUUGUAUUAUAUAUAUACCAUAUUAUGUAUAUUAUACAAAUUGAAAAAUAUAUAUUAUAUAUUUAUAUAUUAUAUAUUAUAUAAAUAUUUAUAUAAUGAAAUAUACAAUAAAUAUUACAAAUUGAAAUAUUAUAUAAACACCAUAUUUAUAAUAUUAUAAUAUUUAUAAUUAAUGUAUAUUAUAUAUAUUAAAUAUUUAUUUAUUUAUUUAUUUAUUUAUUCAUAUUAUAAAUAUUUUAUUUUAUUUAAAAUAUAUUUUCAAAUAUUUUUAAUAUAUUUAUAUAAAUAUUAUAUAUCCAAACAUUAUAUCAAAAACAACUCCAAAUAUACAUAUUUAAUAUGUAUAUUUCAAUUAUGUAUAUUGUAUUAAUAUAAAUUGAAAUGUACAAAUUGAAAAUUAUAUAUUUAUAUAUUUAUAUAUUAUAUAAAUAUUUAUAUACAUUAAUAUUAUGCAUAAUAUAAUAUACAUAAUAUGUAAUAUUGUAUACAUAAAUGUAUAAAUAUUUAUACAUAAUAUAUUAUGUACAUUAUAUUAUAAUAUAUACAUUAUUAAUGUGCUUUCAUUAUUAUGUACAUUAUUGUGUAUAAUAAUGUAUAAUAAUGUUAUGUAGAAUAUAUAAUAUACAUAAUAUGUAAUAAUGUAAUAAUGUAUAUUACGUAUAAUAUAUUAUAUUAUGUAUUUUGUAUUAUAUAUAUACAAUAUAUCCAUAAGCAAAUUUGUAGAAAUUAAAUAAGGAGUACUACUCCCUUAUAUCAUAAAAAUCUAUACAUUAGUGAGUUAUAUAUUUCCUAAAAGGUGGAACUUAUAACCUAUCCAUUCUAAUAGCACUGCGAGCCAUUUUUGAGAGAGCCAUCUCCACCUCAUAAUUAGUAUCCCUAGAGUCCAAACAGCCGACAUUAGACAAAGCAUCUGUUACUUGAUUCGCUUCUCGAAAGCAAUGAUUGAACUGCAUAAAAUAAGAACUCAGAUUCCGUAGUUGUUGUAUAUAGACUAUGGACAUACCCAUUCUUUUUAAGAACCUUUAACAACAGCAAUGAAUCCACUUCAACCUGGAAAUUAGUAUAUUCCCCGAAAAUACAUAAUUGUACACAAAAGAAGGGCACGCGCCUCUGCUUGGAUACUUGUAGCCACUCUAGAAUGACAAGAAAAAGCUAACACCAUAAGACCUUGAGAAUGCCGAAACACACCUCCACCCCCACUAGCUCCUUGAUUGCCCUUAGAACAUCCAUCAGUAUUUAGUAUUGAGCUUAAGUAAAGGAACCAUUUUCAUAUUAUUACAUAGUAGUCGGAAUACAUCUUAUGAUGGGAAUAAGGUAAUAAUAUUCACCCACCCUUUUCAUAUUAUAACAUAGUAGACGAAAUAAAUAUCAUCGAUUGACUAUCGAUUUUUUCUCUUCUUCUUCCUCAAUAGUGUCUUAUGGUGAUAUUGCUCAUUACAUUCGCAUAACCCGCUGAUGGCCUUUGCAGGGCUGUAUCAAAGGUUGCACAUCCCUUUACAUAUCUAAAGUCUUUAGUCCCAGAAAGUUAACUACUGAAAGCUCUAGCCAGGCACGUUGAAUGCUACCUCCCUUUUGUUUGUAAAGAUAAAGGAAAGCAAUCUCUGUAGGUUAGCUCCAUCGAGGGAUGAGGUUGCAUAAAUCCCUUGGGUGUGUCCAAUUUGUGGGAAGCUGAUACUAAUGCCUUUGUGUUAAGUCAGCAUCAACAACAAAAAUAGUUCCAAAUUGAAAGGCAUUUAUUGGCAUAUCGGGAAUUCCUGCAACCGCGGCAACAGUGCCAUUUGGUGCGGCAUGAACUCUUGACUGAACACAAUCAUCAUUGUUUCCUUUGGAAGGCAACAACAUUCAUGAAGAUGAGCUUCUGAACAGACAAAUCUGGAGAGUAAAAGUACUCCACAUAUUUGGAUUGAUGUUAGAACUAAAUAUUUUGCCAUUGGCUAAAGGAGUUGUUGAAUAUGUACAUGGAAGGAAGUAGUAGAUGCAAGGUGAAAGUAAGUCGCUAAGUGACUGUGUAGGAAAUUUCAACAAAGCUUUAAUGUUUAUUUAUUAGUGGUCUAUGUUUCAUAUUUGGUUGGUCAAUUUGUGUUGGAGUUGCAAAGGAUCACAUAACUCCUCUUGAGGAGUGUGUUACAAAUGAAGGUUCCCAGGUCAUAAUCGUUAUAAUCGUAGAAAAUUCAUGCUGGCUUUUUUGGUUUUGAUAAAGAAGCGAUUAAAACUUUAAAGUUUGCAACUUGGUCUAAAAGACGAGAAAAACGUAUUUCUAGUGGUCGCUACUUUAGCCUUAUAAAGUGUACAAGUUUUGGCAAAAAAUUCAGCUUAUAUACCUCUACUAAAAGAAACUUGAAGACUCUAAACAACCGAUGUUCAAUUCGACGACGAAUCACCGCACAAGUUCCAAGUUCACUCACUUAUCCCUUGAACGAAAAUUUGGGCAGCAUACCCUUUGUAUUUAUCUAUUUUUUCAGCCAUUUAAGGCUUCACGUUUUUCCUCAAAUCAACCCAAUUCAAACACCACAAGUAAGCAUAUCAAGAUAGCUCUUCAUCUAGGCUAAAACCAUCCAAAUAUAACUUAUUUCUAGCAAAUAAUCAACCACUACCAAAGCUGGAAUUUUCUCAUCAAAGCUGGAAAUUCAUCUUUUAAUACUAAAAAGUCACAAUCAUGCCACUAAUCACGUCACAAAUUCCAUAUCCAAGUUCAAUACCAACAUUUGAUAGUUAAACAACAUAAUCAAGGCUGAAAAUUUCCAAACCCUAGCUGAAAUUUCAUUAUUCAACACCAAACUAGAGUAUCAUCCAAUAUAUUCCAAGAUUCAAAGCUUCUAUAGCAUAUUUAGCAAGAUUAAGGUAGAGACAAGAAGUGGAUGAACUUAUACCUUCCAAAACCUUCUUGAAAGUGAGGAACCAAGCAAUUUCUCCCAAGAAUUUCACACUCCUAGCUUCCUAAGCACCAAGAUGCAAGUUUAAUCGGUUUGAUUUUUGUGAUUCAGCUCAAACAAGGCUAAAAUCAAAGUUGAAAUUGGAAGUUUUGUUCCCUCUUUCUCCUCUCUUUGCUCUAGGCCAACAAGAAGAAAUAAUGGAGGAAUAUUAGCCAAAAAUGGAAGAUAAGAAGGAAAGAAUUUGGCUUGGUCAAACAUCCUUAGAUUGCCAACACUUGGCACAACAAGAUUCCUUCUUAUUUUUUUUCUUUCCUCACUUUUCUUUAGUCAACAUUUUCGGCUGGUUUAAGGCUUAAUCUAGGGUUAAUUAGCUGAAAUAAAAACAAAGAAAUUAGGGUAAGAAAGGAGUGCUCAAGUGGUGUACUCAAUCGAUAACAAAUUGUGCACGUUGGUUCAAGCUUAUUUUUCUUAACUCUCGCGUACUUAUGUUUUACUUAUGAUUCACUAACUUAAUAAUAGCACUUCUAAUCAUACACUUUCUCUUAUCUAAUACUCACUUUUAUCUACCAAAUUUAGUACACACACCUCAUCAAUUAAUCACACUACCAAAAUACGUAAAAAUCUUAGUUUACCCUAACUAUAAAAGUAAAGGUAAAACUCUCGAUUCUAUCAUUUAUUACAACUAUUGAGGGAGUAAUUUAGUAGUAAAGAUAUUAUAAAAUAACUUAUUCAAAAUAAAAUGAAAUUUUAAGAAAAUAUGGAGAAUUUUGCAAGUCCUCACAAAAGCAGUUCGAAAAUCACUGGUAAUUGGCAAUCUUCUCUAUGGGUUCGACCCUUAAUAUCCUAUACUCAAUCACGACUCGUAUACUUGUGAAAAAUUGCUUGUGGGGUAUUUAGAAAUUUAUAAAUAUAAAACUUGAUUGUGAAUGGGUUAAUUAUUAUAUGUAUAUCCCGCACUCGUCAAUUUCCUUAUGCAUGUGAAACCUACUCUCAUAGUGAAUCACCUAUAGCUAUAAUUAAUCCAUACCUAAUCUCAUUACUAUGAAAUUAGCUACAAGUUCAUUACAUCUAUGAAAUUAUAUGGAACAAAACCACAAAAGCCACAAAGGUGCACAUCUACUCUCUUGAGUGUACUCCUUAAGUUUUUCACUUUCUUGAACUAAUGUUAAAUUAUAAUUUUCAUUGUAAAUCUAACACCUUGAGAUUAUCACAAUUAAUGGCAAGUCAAUCAAUCUUAGAAGAGCAAAAACCCUAAAUAACUUGCUCAAAAUAAUAAGAAGAAAUAUCACAAACAAUCCACAGUUAGUUCAACCAAAACCCAAGGCAAAAACCUUUAGAAAUACAUCACAAACAUAAGAUCCAAACUUGUAUUAACAAAGUUUAAAAGUCAAUACAAAGAUUAAGAGGUGGAAAGAAGAAAACCCUUGUUACUAGAGCCCAUUGAAUCUCACCUUUUUCAUCUCCUUUUGCUUCCUUAUUGAGCCAAUACAAGAAUAGAAGAACAACCAACUAAUCCUACACUAAUCUAACCUAAACUAAGAAACUAAGUAUUUCCAGUAUUAGAUCUACAUUUUGAUGGUGUUUUUCUCCCCUUUUUCUCUACAAAAAUCAUCCUCAAAAAGCUCCUUUUAUAAAAAGAAGAUAGAGCUCAAUUGCUAUGCAAGUUGUACGAGUUGCAUUGGUUUUCUGACACAAAUCCAGCCCACAAUCCGCGUAUGGAUUGCUGGCUGGAUUGAUCAAUUAGCGUAUAGAUUUUUGGCUGGAUUGAUCAAUUAGCAUAUAGAUUUUUGGCUGGAUUGAUCCCCUAUUUCUGCCUUGAAGAUGCUCAAAAACGGCCUUCAAAGAGGGAUCCGUAGACUUAGAUCCGUGGAUCCCUCAUUUUGCUUUGUUCUUCAUUAGACUUUUGCUCUCUACCUGCAAUCCAUUCAUGAACCCGGCCCAGGUUAAUAUGAAAAUUUCUCUAUGAAGAAUGCUGAAUUAGCUCUUGUGGAAAACAAGAAAACUGCAAUCCUUUGAGAUAGAUUUCCAAUGGAUAUGAAUCAAGUCAUUUCGAGAUCUGGGGAUUGAGUUAUGGCCAAAAAAUUAAUGACUAGUCAGAAAGCAUUGUAGGAGAAAAGUGCUUCAAUAAUUUGGACUUUUGGCUAUGAAAACGAGAGAAUUGGAUUUUGGUAUCUCAUAAGAAUUGUAGUCCCUCUUAGCUUUAAAAUGAUUUAAAAAUCAUCUCAAUCCACGAUUUGUAGCUCAAAUUAUAACCAAUGUACCAAAAUAUAUCAUUGUUACCAAUGCUUUUGUUCUUGUUUCUUGAGUGUAUUUCUUCCUUUGGUCCUUCAUGUCACAUGAUUUCCACAUUAAAUCAUCAGCAAUCAUGCAAGCAUCUCCUCACUUCCCUUCAAUUGAUGAUUGAAUUAUCAAAACUGAUAAGUGACUAAUUUACGUAAUAAUUGUAUGAUAUUUUAUAUUAUUUUUAGUCACUUUAGUUAUAUUAUUGGAAGAAAAUGAAUCAUUUUGGCUAUAAUUGGUGAAUAAAUGUUUUUAAGUGAUUAAAUGAGGUUUUUAUCACUUUUUAAUUGGAUUUUGUGUAUUUUGACAGUUUUGACACAUUUUCGUAUUUCGGCUAUAACUUGAGCUACAAUGAUCGGAUUGGGAUGAUUCUUGAACCCAUUUGAAGAUAAGAGAUAGAUCUACAACUUUGUGGAAGACAUCUGAAUCCAGUUUGAAGGUUUUCCAGGUCAAAAGGCCGAAGUACAGAGUCAAUUGCUAUUGGUCGAAACUGGAACAAGGCAUGGAGCAGGCAAGGGUAUUUCAGUCAUAUCUCAGCCUACACAGAUCCAAAUGAGGUGAUUCUUGAUGCAUUAGAAAGAUAACUCAAAAGGCUACAACUUUCGUGUUUUAGACAUGAGCUGGUUCAGCCUCUAACAUCAGGAAAAGAUCAGUUGAAGUUGGGACAAAAACAGAGCAAGUGAUCCACACUCGGAUCCACUAUUCAUCCGAACCCUCGGUUGUUCUGGGUUAGUGAACCGAGCUCGGAUCCAUACGGAUCCGAGGUACUGUAGCAGCUCGAAUCACUGUAGCAGCCCAUUUACUGUAGCAAUCCGGCCUGAAUUUGGCCGGAUUUGUGGCCGGAUUCCUGGCCGGAUUGUGGUCAAAAAAGGCUGCUCUGUACGCGUAAAACUCAAUUUCACCUCCACCAACUCACAUGUGAUGCUAGACAUGUGAGAGACAUUACCAGCUGUAAGGAGAAAGUGUAAAGCUUCAUUCCUUGACCAACUUUCAUCAUUAAAAAGUAAAAUUCAUUGUAAUGAGAGAGGGAUGGGAGUCCAUAGCAAAAUAUAGAGAGUGAGCUACGGGAGAAAGCUUGAAGCUGCAGAAAUGUCGCUCUUUCAUCUCUCUAGUGUUAGUUUAGCUUAGUAUAGAGUAGUGUAGCUUUUCCAUUCUUGUUUAUUAUCUAGAUUAGGAUGAGGAUGGAGGAUGAAGAAGGCAAGGAAGAAAGCUCAGGUGACAAGGGUUGUAUUCCUUCCAAAUUCUUUAUCUUUUGUAUUUGAUUCCAAUUUUAGUUAAUAUACAAGUUCUGGAUUUUGUGUUCAUUAUGUGUUUCUAAAGUUUAUACCUUGGGUUUGGUUGAACUUUAUAUAAUUGUUAGUGUUUAUUAUUUGGUUAUUUGACUGCUAUGAUUUGAGCAAGUUAUUUAGCACUUUGGCUCUUUAAAUCAUGAUUAAUCUGGUACCAUUGAUUGUGAUUAUCUAAGGUGUUGUUUCUGCAAUGGAAAUUGAGAUUUAACACUAGUUCAAGAAGUGCUAAACAUAGGGAGUACACUCACGAAAGUAGAGGUGCACUUAUGUGGUUUUUAGUGAUUCAUUUCAUGUAAUUUCAUUGAAGAAAUGAACUUGUAGCUAAUUUCAUAACCAUGAAAAUAGGUAUGGAUUAGUUAUGAGUAUAGUUGAUUCACUACGAAAGCAGGUUUUACAUGUUUAAGGAAAUUACACCAUAACUAGCCUAGAUGUAGUACUUAAUGAUCCAAAUAUAGCACUUGCAUGAGUAGUUAGGGAUACCACAACCUAAGGAGCUUUCAUUUGCUAUUUUAUUGCAUAAUUUCAGUAGGUUUUAAUUUGUUAUAAUUCAUUGAUAGUCUAAAUAAUAGAGAAGCUUUAGUAAUACCGGUAAUUGUUCACUCUUCCCUGUGGGAUCGACCCGAUAUAUACCCUAAACUACUAGUUGAUCUGUAUACUUGCAGUGAACGGGUGUAAUUCGGUUUUUUUUUAACUUGUACGUAUGUAAAAUACCCGUCAAGUUUUUGGCGCCGUUGCCGGGAAGAUUUGGCAAUAUCGGUGUGAAGAGCAACUUUAUUAGUUAUAAUGUGAAUGUUAUUUUCUAUUAUUUUUGUAUUUUAUGUGUAUGUGUUUCAUUACCUAUUUUUCUUACUAAUUUUGCUUUUGAGGUUGUUUAAAAGCAAUUUUAGGUAAUGAGAAGGGUAGGUCAAUUUGGAGGACAAUGCUUGAGAAGUGGAAGAUUGGCAAUGGAUGGUUAUCAAGUGCAAAGCUCCUUCAACAGAGGUAACCAAGAAUUUACUGAAUGUAUGUCUUUUGAAGAUGGUUUAAGGUGCUUAAAGGCAAAAUUUGAUGUAAUUAAGUUACAAGUUCAAAUGGACACCAUGAUGCAUGAAAUUGAGCAAAGGAGGAAUGUUAAUGCUUUUAAUUCUUAUCAUGUGAUUUGUGACUUGUGUGGAGGGUAUCAUGCUACUAACACAUGUAUGCAAGCACAAAAUGUGGAUUAUUAUGAUGAAUUAGAGUAUUACAAUCCUUGUUUUGAUCAAUACAGUGCUAAUUGGAGCAAUUCUCCUGCUUAUGGUUGGGAUAAUCAAUGUACAUGUUAGAUUAAUAAUAAAAGAUAUAGGCUGAUACACAAUAGAGAAGAAUAAAUACAACCCAGAAAGAAAGAAAUGAUCGAAAAUAACAAUAAUAACAAUCCGAGGCUUGUGAGCACAAUUUCCUUAAAACAGAUUCGCCCCCUCCAGGUAGAGUGCUUGAGGUUGAGUAGGCGUCUGUCUCCCAGGAUACAACGGAUUAAAGGUGAAUAUGUCAGCACCAAACGUUCUUCACCCAGCGAACUCGAACUAGAGCAAUAUGGAACACUAUAAAAAUGCAGAUGCAAGAAGAAAAGGAGAGAGAGAGCGCCCUUUGCUUUUGAAACAAAAGAGAUAUUUAUAGAUGCUGGCCAAGGGUGACUGUUAGAAAUUGGCAACAAGUGUUAAAUUCCAGAUAAUUAUCUUCACGUUUAUCAAAGGACCACAUUCAUGUACAUACAUGUAUCUCAAUAAGAUAACCCAAAUGAAUCCUAUCCAAAAUCAUGUAUCAAUAAUUAAUACACAUGAAUCCUAUCCAAAAUCAUGUAUCAAUAAUUAAUAUACAUGAAUAGAUAAUUAUCCUGAUUCUUUCAAGAGUGCCAUUAUGAGAACAAUUUUCUCAUUCACUCUACAAUGAAUAUAGCCAUUUUUCCAACAAUCCCCCACAUGAAUGGAAAAAUUGUUUUGAUUUGACUCUACAGUAGUGUUCCACGACUGAAACCUGCAUAAGAUAGGUUGGUGUUACCCUUGAACCUUCUCUUGUGAAAUAUACUUACUUUACUAGCAAUCCAGUAGACAUGAUGUCUUUGAACUGUCCGCUUUUUAGUGUAAAUGAACCAUAUAUUUCACACAGGAAUCAUGCUCCAUUUGUUCAGUUCUCAUAGUUAUGUUCGUUUUGGCCAUGAACAUCAACCUGGUUCAGCAAGAGUUUUUAAGAAUUGAGCCCUAAACAAUUCUCUUUUGAAGCGGCCCCACUUCACUCUCACAUAGGUGAUUUACUUAAGUCUUCAGUAAUUAAUUACUUCACUUAAGAAUCAUUAAAGCACACCAUUGUGCUAUCCUUAAUUCUCCUUUGCGUCAUUGUUUCAUUAUGGAAUGGGUCUAGGGUAUCCCCCCACAAUGACUAUGCUAAGUCCUUAUAAUUAGGUUGUCCCUUUGAACCUAGAUCUUGGGAUCUCCAGUCAGCUAGGUUGGGUUUCCUUUAUAACACUUAGCCUUCCAUGGGCUUUAGUCCCAUUCCCUUUGCCAUUUUUGCAACCAACUCUCUAUUCAAUCCUUUGGUUAGCGGAUCCGCUAUGUUAUCCUUUGAUUUCACAUAAUCAAUAGAGAUAACUCCUGUUGAGAGUAGUUGUCUAAUGGUAUUAUGCCUACGACGUAUAUGUCUAGACUUACCAUUAUAUAUGUUAUUCUGUGCUCUUCCAAUUGCUGAUUGACUAUCACAGUGAAUACAUAUUGGUGGCACAGGUUUUUCCCAUUUUGGAAUGUCUUCAAGGAAAUGGUGGAGCCAUUCAGCUUCUUCUCCACAUUUGUCCAAGGCAAUGAACUCAGAUUCCAUUGUAGAUCUAGCUACAAUAGUUUGUUUAGAAGACUUCCAAGAUACUGCCCACUGGCAAGUGUGAACACAUAUCCACUUGUGGAUUUUGAAUCUUUAUAUCAGAUAUCCAAUUUGCAUCAGCAUACCCUUCUAAAACAGCAGGGUAUCUAGUGUAAUGCAGUCCAUAGUUCCGAGUGUACCGUAGGUAUUUAAGUACCCUUAAAAUUGCUUUCCAAUGAUCAGCACUCGGAUUGCUUGUAAAUCUGCUCAAUUUGCUUACUGCAUAUGCAAUGUCAGGUCUAGUACAACUCAUUAAAUACAUUAGACUGCCAAUGAUUCUUGAGUAUUCUACUUGAGAAAUACUCUCUCCUCUAUUCUUAGAUAGAUGGAAACUAUUGUCUAAUGGAGUUCUUGCAAUUCCAGAAUCAUCUUAUUGAAUUUUUCUAGAAUCUUGUCCACAUAAUGAGUUUGGCUCAAGACCAACCCGUCUGAUAUUCUUGUAAUUUUAACUCCUAAAAUUACAUCAGCAAGCCCCAUAUCUUUCAUGUCAAAUUUUGAAUUCAACAUGUCCUUGGUAGACUUGACCAUUUUGUCAUUACUACCAACAAUAAGUAUGUCAUCUACAUAAAGACAUAAGAUGACAUAGCCAUUGUCUGUUUCUUUAGUGUAGACACAUUUGUCACACUCAUUUAUUCUGUAUCCAUUAGUUAUCAUUGCAUUGUCGAACUUUUCAUGCCAUUUCUUUGGCGCUUGUUUUAGUCCAUACAAUGAUUUUACUAAUUUACAAACUUUAUUUCCUUUUCCCGGAGUUAUGAAACCCUCAGGUUGCUCCAUGUAGAUUUCUUCAUCUAAAUCACCAUUUAAGAAAGCCGUCUUUACAUCCAUUUGAUGUAUCUCCAGAUUUCUCAAUGCAGCGAUAGCAAGAAUCAUUCUGAUAGAAUUUAUUCUCGUAACAGGAGAAUAAGUAUCAAAAUAAUCCAAACCUUCUUGUUGCUUGUAUCCUUUGAUUACAAGUCUGGCUUUGUACUUAUCGACAGAGCCAUCAGGUUUCAUUUUCCUUUUAAAGAUCCAUUUGGACCCUAAAGGUCUACAACCAGGAGGAAGAUCCACUAACUCCCAUGUAUGAUUCUGUAAAAUAGAAUCAACCUCACUUUUUAUUGCUUCUUUCCACAAAAAUCCUUCAGAAGAACUUACAGCUUCUGUAUAGGUUUGUGGUUCCUUUUCUAAUAGAAAAGUUGUAAAAUCAUCUCCAAAUGAUUUUUCCACUCUAGCCCUUUUGCUACGUCUCGGUUCAUCUUGUUGAAUCAAGUCAUGAUCAUGUUUUCUUGAUUCAUAACUUCAUGUGUUCGUUUUGAUGAACUUGAUGCACCAUUCGAUUUACAAGGAAACACAUCUUCAAAGAAUGAAGCAUUCCUUGAUUCCAUUAUCGUAUUUUUGUGUAUAUCCGAAAUUUCUGAAUUAUACACAAGAAACGCGAUAAGCAGCACUAUUAUGUGCAUAGCCUAUAAAGAUACAGUCCACAGUUCUAGGACCUAUCUUUAUUCUCUUUGGUGCUGGAAUAGCCACUUUUGCAAGACACCCCCACACUUUCAAGUAUUUGUAGGAUGGUCUCCUACCUUUCCAUAACUCAUAAGGAGUUUUAUCUUGUUUUUUCCGGGGUACCCUAUUUAAAAGGUAAUUGCUUGACAAAAUAGCUUCACCCACAUAUUUUGAGGCAAUCCUGAACUUAGUAACAUCGCAUUCAUCAAUGAAAGUGAUAAAAUAUUUAUUACCACCUCUUGUUUGAACAAAUUUCAAAUCACAGACAUCUGUGUGAAUCAAUUCAAGGGGUUCGGUGUUUCUUUCAAUUGUUUGAAAGGAUGACCUUGUUAAUUUUGCUUCUACGCAAAUCUCGCAUUUAUGGUUUGAAUUGAUGUGAAAGGAAGGAAUAUGAUCCAAGUUAAUUAGUCUACGCAAAGUAUCAUAAUUAACAUGACCUAGUCUACCAUGCCACAAAUUGGAAGACUCAAGCAAAUAAGCAGAAGACUUAUUCUUAUUAUUCACAAUAGUCAUUACAUUCAAUUUGAACAACCCAUCGGUUGUAUAUCCUUUCCCUACAUACAUCCCAGAUUUGGAUAAUAUAACUUUAUCCGAUUCAAAAACCAUGCGAAAGCCAUGCUUGUUCAGCAACGAUCCAGAAACAAGGUUCUUGCGGAUUUCUGGCACAUACAAAACAUCGUUCAAAGUCAAUGUUUUUGCCAGAAGUCAUCUUUAGUAACACCUUCCCUUGACCUUCAAUAGCAGAUGAGGCAGAGUUCCCCAUGAACAUUUUUCUCCUUCAAUUUUUCCGAAGGUAGUGAACAGGUCUUUGUUUGUGCAAACAUGUCUUGUAGCUCCAGUGUCAAUCCACCAUUCUUUCGGAUUUGACCCUAUCAUAUUUACUUCAGAGACCAUAGCAGUCAGGUUCAUGGUUUCCAUGUCUCCCUCGAUUCUAUCAAGCAAGUUUGCUUCAUGUUUCUUCUUCUUUGGAAGCUUACAUUCAGUGGACUUGUGACCUUUUUUGUCACAGUUGAAGCACUUUCCUUGGAAUUUCUGCUUAGAGAUUUUCCCUUUUGCCCCAAGAUUUUGAGUUGGCUUUUUGCCUUUGGAGUUUUGCCCUUGCUUAUACUCCACAAUAUUUGCUUUAGCAUCAACAGAAGUUGUUACCUUGCAAUCAGAACCCCUGUUGUCUUCUUCAAUUCGAAGUCUAACGAUAAGGUCCUCCAUACUCAUCUCUUUGCGCUUGUGCUUGAGAUAGUUCUUGAAAUCCUUCCACCCAGGAGGUAGCUUCUCAAUAGCAGCAGCUACUUGAAAGGUUUCACUCAAAAUCAUGCCUUCAGCUAGAAUCUCAUGCAAGAUAAUCUGAAUUUCUUGCACUUGACUGAUAACAGUUUUGGAAUCCACCAUUUUAUAGUCUAGAAAUUUUCCAACGACAAAUUUCUUUGCUCCGGCAUCUUCGGUUUUAUAUUUCCGAUCUAAGGAUUCCCAUAAUGCCUUCGCCGUUUUGUGUACUUGAUACACGUUAUAUAGCGAGUCAUGCAAGCAGUUCAUGACAUAAUUUCGACAAAGGAAGUCGGAGUGCUUCCAAGCAUCAAUAGCAUUGAUAGCUUGUGCAUCAGUUAAGCCUUCAGGCAGCUUUGGAGCAUCCUCACUUAAGAAUCUCGAGAGAUUCAAUGUUGUCAAAUAGAACAACAUCUUUUGUUGCCAUGUCUUGAAGUUCGAGCCAUGGAACUUCUCAGGUUUCUCACUAUGGUUGGUAGACACCAUAGGAGUAAUCUUUCCUUCAGGUUGUUUCACAAUUGAGCCAGAGGCAGCGGCAUCAGAAGUAGAAAUAUUGGUGUCUCUUCCUGUAUUGUCAGCCAUUGAGACCGAUUCUGUUUUAAGACUGUUAGAUUAAUAAUAAAAGAUAUAGGCUGAUACACAAUAGAGAAGAAUAAAUACAACCCAGAAAGAAAGAAAUGAUCGAAAAUAACAAUAAUAACAAUCCGAGGCUUGUGAGCACAAUUUCCUUAAAACAGAUUCGCCCCUCCAGGUAGAGUGCUUGAGGUUGAAUAGGCGUCUGUCUCCCAGGAUACAACGGAUUAAAGGUGAAUAUGUCAGCACCAAACGUUCUUCACCCCAGCGAACUCGAACUAGAGCAAUAUGGAACACUAUUAAAAAAUGCAGAUGCAAGAAAGAAAAGGAGAGAGAGAGCCCCCUUGCUUUUGAAACAAAAGAGAUAUUUAUAGAUGCUGGCCAAGGGUGACUGUUAGAAAUUGGCAACAAGUGUUAAAUUCCAGAUAAUUAUCUUCACGUUUAUCAAAGGACCACAUUCAUGUACAUACAUGUAUCUCAAUAAGAUAACCCAAAUGAAUCCUAUCCAAAAUCAUGUAUCAAUAAUUAAUACACAUGAAUCCUAUCCAAAAUCAUGUAUCAAUAAUUAAUAUACAUGAUAGAUAAUUAUCCUGAAUUCUUUCAAGAGUGCCAUUAUGAGAACAAUUUUCUCAUUCACUCUACAAUGAAUAUAGCCAUUUUUCCAACAGUACAUAUAGUGAUUAUUCAUAUUUUUAUGAUUACCAACAUGAAAGUGUCCAAUAUGAAUCAAACCAUCUUGGGAGUUGGCAAUAGAAAGGCUAGCUAAUGCAUCUCUGCCUUGGGAAUUAGAGAAUGAACCAUUAGCUAAUGAUUCUAAUGCAUCUUGGGAGCUAGCAGUAGAAAGCGGAGCUGCCCUGGGGGUAUACGUCUACUUGGUUGGCUUUGAUUCCCAAGGUCCCCGGGGCUGCCUCUUUCUCAGAUUUUCGCCCAAUUAGCCUGUGCAAUUUUGUCAAUAAGAUCAUUUCCAAGCUAUUAGCUAGCCGUUUGGAAAGUGUGCUGCCAAAGAUUAUUUCACCGCAACAGAGUGGCUUCGUUAAGGGUCGGCAGAUCUCGGAUAAUAUUUUGCUGGCUUUAGAGAUGUGUUCGGCUUUAGGGAAGAAGGUGCGGGGAUCUAAUGUUGCACUCAAACUGGACAUGGCCAAGGCGUAUGACCGGGUAUCUUGGAAUUUCCUAAUCCAAGUAAUGAGACGGUUUGGAUUCGGGGAGCAAUGGCUUGACAUGGUGUGGAGGCUGAUUUCGUCGUGUCAUUUUUCGGUAUUGGUUAAUGGGAAGCCUUGCGGAUACUUCCAAUCCUCUCGUGGGUUACGUCAAGGGGACCCUUUAUCCCCGGCUCUUUUUAUUAUUGCAGCGGAGGUUUUAUCUAGGCGAUUGAAUGAGCUACCUCGAGCCUCAAGGUUUGUCCCAUUCUUGGUGUCGCGGGGCUCUCCGCCGCUGACACAUCUGGCCUAUGCUGACGACAUCAUCGUUUUCUGCAAUGGUGGUAAGCGUUCCUUGGAGUGUGUCAGGGAGGUGCUCCAGGGGUAUCAGGAGGUGUCAGGGCAGCUGGUGAACGUGGCGAAGAGUUGUUUUUUGGUUGGCAAGAAGACUUCGGUGGCUCGCAGGAGGAUAAUUGCACAUGUUACUGGUUUCUGUUCUAGAUCUUUACCAGUCACGUACUUGGGAUGCCCGUUGUUCGAGGGGAGACGAGUGAAAGCUUUGUUUUCUAAUUUGCUGUCUAAGGUUUCCCAACGGAUUGCCUCCUGGCAUGGUCGGUGGUUAUCUAUGAGUGCUCGAGCUAUAUUGAUUAAGCAUGUACUGUCGUCUAUGCCUAUUCAUAUUCUAGCGGUUAUAGAGCCGCCCAAGGGGGUGAUUUCUGAUCUAGAGCGGAUUUUGGCGAGGUUUUUUUGGGGUGAGUCGGAGUUUGGAGCUAAGCGCCACUGGUCGAAAUGGGCGAACUUAUGUUUUCCGGUGGAGGAAGGAGGGGUUGGUUUUCGGUCACUUCAGACGAUUGUGGAGGCUUUUUCCUGUAAACUUUGGUGGAUGUUUCGACAUGGUCAAUCGCUCUGGGCGCAGUUCAUGAGGGCUAGGUAUUUUGGGCCUCUGCAUCCUAAUCAAGGCCCGUUUUCUGUUCAAUUGUCUGCUACGUGUAAACGUAUGCUGAGUGUCCGUACAACCAUGGAGCUUUGGUUGCAGUGGGAUCUUUCGAGAGAGGAGGUGGCUUUCUGGUGGGAUAAUUGGAGUGGGCUAGGCCCUUUGGCGUGGCGGUUCCCGGAAGCGGCGUCAGAUGUGAAGGUCUUGGAUUUUGUACGAGAAGGGAGAUGGGAUUUUUCGGCUUUGGCCUCGGUGCCCGCAGCGAUUUGGGACGCCGCUCAGGGGUCUUUCUUCUGUUUUGGGUUGGAUCCGGAUACCCUGGUUUGGCGGCGGGAUCCUUCGGGAGUUUUCUCCACUAGGUCGGCAUAUCAACUUGCUCGCCCGGCUAGGGCUCGCUCCUGGACUUUCUCUUUUGUUUGGCAUUCCUUUAUCCCGCGUAAAUUGUCUUUCUUUAUGUGGCGAUUACAAAAUGGCCAGCUGCCGCUGGAUGAUGUUCUCGAAAAGUAUCACAUUCAUGGUCCUUCUAAAUAUCACUGCUGUGUGCUUGGCCAGGUUGAGACAAUGGAACAUGUUUUUUCAGCUGGACAGUUAGCUUCUGCGACAUGGGUGUUUUUUGAGAAUUCUCUUGGUCUAUCGACAUCAGCGGCCACGGUUCGCUCCCGGUGCGCCGCUUGGUGGUUACGCCCUGUGAAAGGUAAGGCUUUACGCUGGUUAAUGCGGAUUCUCCCAAUUCUGAUAUUAUGGUUUCUAUGGCGGGCGAGGAAUUUGUCCCGGUUCGAGGGUCGCAAGUUUUCUGUUUCGCAGGUCCGUGCUUUUAUCAUACAAGAGGUAAGAAUGCUAGUCAGAGCCCAUUUUCUGGGUAUUAUGGUGCCUUGGCAAUGGGAGGAACUUCUUCAGGCUCUGUCUGGGGUUCGGAGGGUUUUAACUGCAACGAUUGUCAGGUGGGCUUUCCCUCCGACGGGCUGCUACAAGUUAAACACUGACGGGUGUGCCACGGUGCGUGGUAGUGGGAGUGGGGGGUGAUUAGGGAUUCGUGUGGGAGAUUUAUUGUAGCUUUUGCGGAUUCAUUUGGCGGGUUGGACUCUUUGCAGGCGGAGGCUCGUGCUCUCCUUUUGGGGCUGCAACUGGGCCGCCAAGUAGGGGUCCCUCAGCUAAUUGUUGAAUCUGACUGUCUGGCUCUGAUUAAGUGUUUAAGGAAGGAAUGGGGAGUUCCCGCAGGGAUUCGGCCUAUUGUUCGUGCUAUUUGGAUGGGUGAGUCAAGUUCUCACUGCUUCUUCCAUUGCUACCGGGAAGGGAAUACAGUGGCGGAUUCGCUAGCAGCAUAUGGGGCCUUGUCAGGCGCUCAAGUUAUUUUCACUAAGGGCUCUCAGUUACCGACUCGUAUUAGGGGACUUUUGGCUUUGGAUAUGCAGAAUUUUUGUAACUUUCGAUUUUCUUUUAGGGGUUAGGGCAUCUGCUCGAACCUCGGUUUUGUUCUCAGUUUAUGAUUAAUAAAAUAUUAAUUAAAAAAAACAAGAAAGUAUAGUCUUCUAACAUGUACUAAUUUAAGAGCACGUGCGUCGCACAUGACAAUAAUUACUAGUUCAUUUGUAAUAUUUUUUGUCCUUGUUGUUUUAAAACUAGUCUUGACAUUAAUUGGCCUAGAAACUAUGCAUCAAAUGAUCAAAAUUAGUUACAUCGAUUCUUUCAUUGAUAUGUAAUGAAAUAAAUUAGAUUAAUUAUUCCUAGAAACAGUAUAGCAAUUCUAUGCUAUGUUCCAGAAGUUAAAACCUCCAGGCUAUCUUUCAAUGGAAAUUAGUUGCAUCUGAAUUUCUAGAGAUCGCUCAUAAUAUUAAUCAAGAAAUGCUUGUUAUAUAAAUUCUAGACAAAAUUAACUUGAAGUGGAAGUGUGACCAAAAAAAAUAAAUAAAUACCUUUCAGAAGGGAGAUAAACUUGUAGCAUCAGUGUUGGAGAGCUCAUGGCGUUUGAGAUGAAAUGAUUUAUUUGGAAAGCACUUAUUUUAAACUAGUCAUUCAACAUCCAAGAUUUUUUUUUUAAAGUAAAGGAACAUUCAAGUUGAAGGUAGAGGUUGUGCAAAUACGAAAUUAGAUGCAAGGAAAGGUACAGACUACAAGGGCUUAAAAAGUUGUUUAAAGAGAUGUGAUAUUUUAGCUGCCUCUGUCCCCUUGAAUGUUGGAAAAUACCCUUAUUUCUUGAUAUUUCCCUUCACAUUACCUUCCUAAGUAACCAAUUACUUUUAGAUAUCUCUCAUAUAGUAAAAUUGUUUCAAUAUUAACAUACAAAAGUGGUUAAUAUUGUGAUAAACAUUAAUGCUAAGGACUCUAAAAUACAACAAAAAAGAAGAGAAUAUUCAAAAUAAAACUAUAAUAUUGAAUCAAAUUUUUGUUGACAUCAUUUUGGUUGUACAAUACUACCCCAUUCGUCACUAAAUUCACAAUUCCACAUUGUCUAACUUCUUCAAUUCUUUAUUUCAUAUUGAACAUCUUUAUCUGCAUAACGGCAUUGUAACCAGGAUACUAGUCAAAUCAUAACUAAAUUUUUCCUCAGCUCAUUUGGAUUGUAUUUUUUUGUUGAGUUUUUGAAGAAAAAUUACUGUAACGCUUUACGUAGGAUGUGAAUCUGUGAAAUAAAAAAGUGAUUGGAAAAUGCAUAAGAAAUAUUCUCAGAGAAACUUGAAAACUUUCUCUGCAAAAAAAAUGCAAUCCAAACAAGGCCUAAUUUCUCACAUCCUUCAUUUGUCACCACUGUGCAAAUUUAAGAGAAUAGCAUUAUUCAUUCAAAUAACUAAUUUCGAAAAACCACUUAUUUAUACAAAGGAAAAAAUGCAGUUUUGAUUCCCAAAAUUUGCCAUAGGAACUAUUCUAGCCCCCAAAUUAAAGUUUCAGGCGAAACAAAUCGGGUCCCUAAUAUUUCUGUAUCCAACUUGUUUAAGACUAUAGUAAUGUUUUCAAUUCCCGCUAAGAUAGAGUUACGUGAGAUUACGUGACCUGUGCCAGAAAUUUUGGUUUUAGAUUUUCUUCUAAAGAAGGCGGGAGAAAGAAACGAUAUCAAUCGAAAUUAAUUUUGGAAUACUCGAAUGUAUAUCUUUAUGGUUUUUAUAAUUUCUCUUUUUUUUUAGGUUACAUGCAUGUGGUUAUGAUGUUAUUUGAGUGAUUAAUCUUAGUAUCAUGACUAUUUUUAAUUUUAGGUAAAGGUCACAUCACUACAUUCCCAUAAAAUUCAAAAGAAUCAAUCAAUUAUCCUAAAUAUGCUUCAAAUUUGAAACAUUGGAAAUGAGAUUUACUUUGAUUCAAAUUUCGAGAACUAAAAUCCCUCCUAUGCCAAACUUUAGAGACCAAAGUUACAUUUUUUUCUUUUAUUCAAACAUAUUUCAUUAAAUUAAAUUUAAUUUACCCAAUUCAAAUAUCGAAAUAUGCUUGCCUACACUAGUAGAUAGAGCAAGUAUUUGUUUGAUUAUUAUUUCACUAUUAUACAUAGUCUACUUUCAUUUGAUUAUUUCAUCUUAUUUUAUCAUCAAGUUUUAAAAUUUUGAUUUUUUUUGUUGGAGUUAAAUCAAGAUUAUUAUUCUUUGUUAAUUCCUAUGCGGUUGGUUCUGGUUUCUUAGUUACAGUUGGUUUCUUAGUUAUGUCAGUUGUGUUUUUAAGUCCUAGUCCAAUUGUAUAAAAGAUUCCCUUUGUGGUUCCGAAGCUAAGUUUUAGGAAACUAGCUGAUCUAUAUAUACCACUACUGGUAGUGUUGUUUAGCACACCGUGAAUUGAGAAGAAUAAGAUUGAUUGGUGCCUCCUAGAGCUCUGCUUGUUUCCGUCUCUUGUCGUUGCUUUUUCCUGCGAUUUUCGUUUCCGCUAUCAUACUUAUUUCUUUGACUUUGAGAUUUGUCUUGAUUUGUUUUAUCCUGUGGGUUAGAUUCCUACAAAGUGGCAUCAGAGCUUUGCUUGAGGUCCUGAGAAAUUAAAAUAUGGAUCCAAAUUAUUUGCACAAUUGUCACAUUUUUUAUCUUCGAUGGUAAAAACGAUUUUGAGGCUUGGAGGUCGAUGAUGAAGAAUUUUUUCCAAAAUAUUGUCGAGAUAGGAUAUACGGAAUCGGUAAUAGGUAUAGAAGUAUCAAGCGAUGCAGUUAAAAAAUUAGAGAGAAAUAGACAGUUGAAUUGCCAGGCAAUGUACUAUCUUAACACUCAAGUCCAGUUGCAUGUUGCAAAAAAAUUUAUGCAUGCAAAGUCGGCAAAAGAGGUUUGGACAAUUUUAGUGAACUCAAAUCGAGGUGCUGCUAACGUGAGAAAAAUAAAAUUGCAAGAACUUAGGAGACAAUUUGAGUUGGCCUAGAUGAAAUCCACGGAGUCAAUUAAAUAUUUUAUUGGUACAAUUAAAGAAAUUGUCAAUGAUAUGGAGUCCAAUGGUGAGAAUUUGGAAGAGGUUAGAGUUGUUGAAAAAGUUCUGAGAUCUCUAACUACCAAAUUUCACACCAAGAAGACGGUCCUUGAAGCCACAAAGGACCUUGACAAUUUGUCACUUGCUGAAUUGGAAGGUGAAUUGCUGACUUAUGAGAUGUCCCUGAAUCAGUAGCCAUUGGAUACAAAAGAGAAAGUGUUACAAGCCAAAGUGGAUCACCCAAAAGGAAAAGAGGAAGUGAAUCAUAUGGACACAAAUCAAAAGGGCUAGAACUUCAGAGGUAGAGGACGUGGAGGCAAAGGUAACUUUCGUGGUCGUGGAAGAGGUAAUUAAUCUUACCAACCCAGAAAUAAUUCUAAUAGGGAUCAGAAAAACAAUCACAGCAAAGUCAAAGAAAUAAUUUUCAAAUGCGUGAUAGAUCUAAUGUCCAAUGUUAUAAUUGUGAUAAAAUUGAUCAUUAUCAGAAUGAAUGUUGGUCCAAUAAAGAGAUGCAUGCUAAAGUGGCUGAAAAUAGUAGUGAUAGAGAGAAGACCUUGCUGUUUUGUAGUUCUACAUCUGAAGAGUCUAUGAAGAAUGAUUAGUUUAUUGAUUCUGGUUGUAGUAAUCAUAUGUGUGGUAAAAAAAAGAGAUGUUUUCUGACCUGGAUGAAUCUUUUCAUACAUCUGUGAGAUUUGGAAACAAGGAAAAAGUACCUAUCCUUGGAAAAAGAAAAAUUAGAAUUAUCUUGCAAGAUGGGUUUUCAAAUUAUAUUUCUGAUGUUUUCUAUGUGCCAAGUUUAUAUCAUAAUUUGUUGAGUUUGGGACAACUAUCUGAGAAAAGUUACGAUCUGCAUCUUAAAUAUGGUGAUGGCACCAUAAGUGAUGAGAAAUUGGGAUUAAUUGCCAUGAUAAAAAUGAACCGUAGUCGUUUGUGACCUCUUUCUCUUAACUGUGGUGAUUUACCUUAUUGUAAUUCCAUGACUUGUGAUGAUUCUUGGUUAUGGCAUAUGAGUUUUAGGCAUUUGAAUUUUGGGAGUUUGAAAUUUCUUGAAAGAAAGAAAUUAGUUAUUGGGUUGCUUUCUGUUGAGUUUCUUGAUAACAAGUGUGAGUCUUGUAUUUUGGAAAAGAAACACAGGGAUCCUUUUCCAAAAGGCAAGGCUUGGAGAGCCCAUCGACCGCUUGAACUGAUUCAUUCAGAUUUAUGCUUAGUUGAAGUUCCUUCCAAUGGUGGUAGUAAGUAUUUUAUUACCUUCAUUGAUGAUUUCAGUAGGAAGACAUGGGUGAAUUUUUUAAGAAAUAAAUCUGAUGCAUGUGAUGUGCUUAAAAAGUUCAAAUAUUAUGUAAAGAAGUAGAGUGGCUACUUUAUUAAAAUUUUGAGAACUAAUAGAGGCACUGAGUAUCUUGUUUGUGAUGACUAUUUGGUGGAAAGUGGUAUAAAACAUCAAAUGACAGCCAGAUAUACACCUCAACAAAAUAGUGUGGCAGAAAGGAAGAAUAGGACUGUGAUGGACAUGGUGAGAUCAAUGAUGCAAUCCAAAGGUAUUCCUAAAUCCCUUUGGGUAGAAGCAAUAUCUUGUGCUAUUUAUGUUUUGAACGGGUGUCCUACUAGAUGUAAUUUUGGAAAGACUCCACAAAUAAUUUGGACUAGUAUGAAACCGGAUAUUUCUUACUUCAAGGUAUUUGGCUAUCUUGCGUAUGCGCAUGUUCCAGAUCAUUUGAGAAAGAAAUUGGAUGAUAAAGCAGAGAAGUAUAUUUUUAUUGGAUAUAGUCAUGAGACUAAGGAGUAUAAGUUAUUCAAUUCAAACACAAGAAAGGUGAUUGUUAGCAGAGAUGUAACUUUUGAUGAACAUGGAAUCUGGGAUUGGUCUAGAAAAGAUCCUGAGACAUCGCCAAAAUAUUCAUUCAUUUCUCCCAUUAUGGGACCGAGUACUAGUAAGCAAGUAGUGGAGCAAGUUGUGCACUCUUAUGGUGAUCCCUCAACUUCUACUAUUCAGGUUGAGACAUCUAGCCGACCAUGUGAGACCCCGGUCAGUUCUUAAGUUUGAUAUUAGGUGAUAUUCAUUAUUUGUGUGGUAAAAUUUGGGGUUUUAGGGUUAAUUAGAAAACCCUGAAUUGGGGUUAGGAUUGAAACCCUAGUUUUUGUAUUAAUCAUCAGUUCGAGUGGUUAUUAAAGUUAGUUAUGCUAGUGUGUGUGUUUUCGUGCGGGUAAGUAUAGGAUUUGAUCCAUUUUAUAUUGGUUAAGUAAGUUUAAAAGGUAGAUAACCUCAGACUAGUAAACCCUCUAGUGUUCCAAUAGAUUAGAAAGCUUAAGUUGGGUUAAAACCCUAAUUUUGCCAAUGUUAUAAAGGUUGUUGUUUAAUUGUUUUUAUUAUGGAGAAAGUAUGAUUAAGUGUAGAUGAUUAAGUUUGUGAGAUAACUGGCCAGUGAGGGUGAUAAAGUGUUAGGUGGAAGCACAAGUGGAGUUCUACGGAUUUUAAUUGUGGUCGAUGGAGUGUCGGCAGGAGGUCACGCAUGGCAAACGACUUGGCUUUGGAGCCAACUCGUGUCCUACCAUUGUGAUGUUACAAUUCUAUACUGAUGUGAAAUUUUUGGAUUUAUAUGUUUAUUCAAAUAUGCAAUUUACGAUUUUACCCCUGUUUACUUACUAAGCAUAUAGUUUACCCCGUUUCCUUUUUUUUCCUUAGCAGGGGACGACACGGGGAACUCCUUAGCACAUUCACUAGUAUAGUUAGGUUUGCUUGUAAUAGUUGGACAAUUAAGAUGGUUGUUUUUGUUUUGGUGGUUUGUAUAAGAACCCUCCUUAGGGUCUACUUUCUGCUAGUUGUUAUCAUAAUGUAAUGUAGUGGCUUGACUAACUGAUUUUGGGGAUGUAAAUAGAACUCUUUUGGAGUUGGCUAUAUUGUGAAUAGUACGCUUUUGGUUUAUCUAGUUUUUAUUGCUUUGAAAUUUCGAGUUCUGGAGCGAGUUAGGCAGGCCUCCCUCCGAUAUCCUAGGGUUCGCCCUUGGGAGAAACGGGGGCGUCACAGACCACAAAGAGAGCGCCGCAUGCCAGCUCAAUUUGAUGAUUAUGUUGUUGGCAAAGAUGAUGAUUUAACUGAUGAAGCAAUUGUGAAUUUUGCUCUUUUUAUAGAUUGUGAUCCUGUCUCAUUUGAAGAAGCUGUCAAAGAUGAUCGUUGGGUUCGUAUAAUAGAUGAAAAAAUUCAUGCCAUUGAGAAAAAUGAUACAUGAGAGUUGGCCACUAUCCCACCUCAAAAAAAGCCAAUUGGAGUGAAAUGGGUAUAUAAGACCAAGUAUAAGCUAACAGAAGAGGUGGAUCGUUUCAAAGCGAGAUUGGUUGUCAAAGACUACAAGCAGAAGGCAGAUAUUGAUUAUUUUGAAAUUUUUGCACCAGUUACCAGACUUGAUACGGUUCGUAUGAUUGUAUCACUUGCUGCAAAUAAUUGCUGAAAAAUUCAUCAAAUGGAUGUGAAAUCCGCAUUUUUAAAUGGUUUUCUUGAAAAAGAGAUAUAUGCUGAGCAGCCUGCAGGUUAUGUUAGAAAGGGUUAAGAAGACAAAGUAUAUAGAUUGAAAAAGGCAUUAUAUGGUUUGAAACAAGCUCUCAAAUGGAGUUGGUUGCAUUAGUAGAUACAUUCAAGGUACGCAAUCUGAUGGUAUAUUUUAUUCAUCUUCACAUGGUAGCAACCUUGUUAGAUAUACAAACAGUGAUUGGGCUGGUGAUACAAUACAAAGGAGGAGCACUUCUGGUUAUGUAUUUUAUUUGGGAUCUAGUGUAUUCUCUUGGUCUAGAUAUGUACGUCGGGUAGGAAUCUCAAAUGUGGAUGAUUUACUCUUGGGACCGGCCGACUUGAGUUGUGAAUUAUCUUAUUUUCGGAUUCUUGUAUCCGAAUACAAAAUAUUUAUACAUUGGUGUAUUUGCAAAUUGACAGGAGUUAGUAUAUUACAUUAUGAUGUGAAUAGAAAUCGUGAUUAAAUUUGGGGAAGGAGAAUCGAACUAAGGCUAGCUUUUGAGAGUUAAAGGUAAAAGGCAAUAGUGAGAUCUUGAAGAUUAGUGCAAAUCCCCCAUCUUAAGGUGAAUAACUUUACUAGCCUUUCAAUAGUAAAUGAAUUAUAAAUUAUCUAUUGCCUAAAAUGUGGUUUUCAGACCUGAAAUUUAAGUGAAAUAAUAGUUCAAGUAAGGAUUCUAGAGUUGUAAACUAAUGUGAUAGAGGAGCAAGAGUGAACUAACAUAAUGCAUGAUCAAUUGCAGGAGACUAAAGACCGCCUUAUUAGGGUACCAAGAUAGGCAAGGGAUAAAAUUGAAGGGAUUUUGGCAGAAUGUAGGUUGUGAUUGAAGAGAUUGUGGGAAUGAAUUUGGAUAGGAAAAAACCCAAAAGAAAAAGCUCUUAGGGUUGAAAAUAAAUUUGAACCAACUAAAGAGACUGGAUCUGCCAGCUCUAUUAUGGACUGACCCAAUAAAUCACUUGAUUAAAACUUUUGUAUGGAUGAUUGAGUUGGAACUUUGUCAUGUUUUUAUGGAUACUGAAUGUACUUAUACUAAAGACUUGUUUGACUUCUUAUUAAAGUGUAUUUCAGCUUGAUAUAUAUUACAAUUGACCUUGUUAUGUGGCAUAAUUUAAUUGAUCAUGAAUUGCUUAAUAGUAAUGAUAUAUGUGGAGUGAAUGUGUUUCUGGGUUACAGUUGAAGUAUAAAUUAAAGUAGUUGAAUUUUAUAUACUUGAGGAAGUAGUCGAUACAACACUUAAAUUGGAAAGGAGAAAAUGCUAAGACCAAAUUUCUUUUGUUAAGGUUUUGUGGAAAACAUGAAUGAUUAGACGAAAUGAUGUGGAAAUGGAAGAUAAAAUAUGGAAAGAAUACUCAGAACUUUUUACAAUUAAAAGUGUGAAAUUUCGAGGACGAAAUUUUCUUAAGGAGGGAAGCAUGUGAAAUAAACAACAAGUGGUUGCUUUGUCCACAACAGAAUCAGAGUACAUGGUAACUACAAGUAGUGCUACUCAAGCACUUUGGUUGCGGAGAAUGCUUGGAUUCUUACAACACAAGCAAGAUGGUCCUACCAAAAUAUUUUGUGAUAGCAUGUCUGCUAUUGACUUGACAAAAAAUCUAGUUUUUCAUGGACGCAGCAAAUAUAUUGACAUCAAAUAUCAUUUUAUUCGAGAGUUGGUUCGAGAGCAAGAAAUUGCUAUUGAUUAUUGCAGAAGUGAAGAUCAAGUUGCUGACAUUUUGACAAAGCCGCUCAAGUUGGAGAUGUUCAUGAAAUUGAAGACAAUGCUCGGCAUGGUGAAAUUUGAAGAUCUUAAUUUAAGGGAGGUAAUGUUGGAGUUAAAUCAAAAUUAUUAUUAUUUGUUAAUUCCUAUGCGAUUGGUUCUAGUUUCUUAGUUAUAGUUGGUUUCUUAGUUAUGUCGGUAGUGUUUUUAAGUCCUAGUCCAAUUGUAGAAAAGAUUGAAGGUAAGUUUUAGGAAACUAGCUAAUCUAUAUACACCACUACUGGUAGUCAUUUUUUAGCGCGCCGUGAGUUGAGAAGAAUAAGAUUGACUGGUGCCUCCUAGAGCUUUGCUUGUAGGGGUGGGCAAAAUUAUCCGCUAACCUGAAAACAUGUCAUAUCCGAUCCGAUCCGAUCCGAAAAUUAGGAUAUCCAAUUUUUAUUAUUUGAUCGGAUCAAAAGAGGAUCGGAUAUCUGCUAAGAUGCGGGACGGGUUAGACUCACAUAAUUAAAAACCCGCGGGUACCCGAUUCGCCCCGCAUAUUUAUAUUUUUUUAUUUUUAUACACACACUAUAAAAUAAUAAGUUAGAACUAAAUAAGUAAUCCUAUUGAACAAAUUGCAUUAAAAAUAUGAGAGAUUAUAGUUUAUCUACAAGAUUCAUUUGUAGAGACCAUGAUCUUGUAUUUUAUGAAAAAAAGUAAUUAAUGCGGAACAUAUAUAUUAAAAAUUGUGCUAUUUAUUUCAAAUUUUUAUUGAUUUUGAAUUCUUUUAAUUGUUUUACUUUAUCUUAUAUUCUCUUCACAUGUUUAUUUCUUGGUGAAAAACCUUUUUUUGGAAAAAAAUUAUUAAAUCUUAGAUGAAUGUGUAAAAUAUAAAAUUAAAUUGGUAUAAAUUAUUUUUUUUAAAUUAAAUGAUAAAUGAAACGGGACGGAUACCCGCUUACCCGAUUAUAGGGUACCCGCUGAUAUGCAGGACGGGUAAGGGUCAGAAAAUGGCUGACCCGUAAAGUGAGGGUCGAGUCAGCCAAAUGGUGAAUAGGACGGGUACCCGACCCGCACCCACCUCUAUCUGCUUAUUUCCGUCUCUUGUCGUUGCUUUUUCUUUUGGUUGUCGUUUCGCUGUCAUACUUAUUUCUUUGACUUUGAUAUUUGUCUUGAUUUGUUUUAUCCCGUGGGUUAGAUUUCUACAUUUUUGUUUUUAUAUUCUUCUUCAGUAUCUCCGAAAGGUGUCAGCAUCCCACCGUAAACCCUAAACCCUGUGUCUCUCCCCUCUGGCUCGCCCUUCAAAUUUCAAUACGUCAUUCCCCAAAAACUACUUAAAAAAUACGAGAAAGAACCCAAGAAAAGAAAAACAAGCUCUGCACCGAAUCCCAAUUCCAGCCAAUUAUCAGCAGUAUUCCUGAUGAUAUUUUGCUUGAAAUAUUCACGAGGCUUCCGGUCAGAUCCCUGAUGAGGCUCAGCUGCGUUUCAACAUCUUGGCAUUCCUUGAUCUCUAGCCCCGAUCUCGUUAAAUCCCAUCACAAAAGAUUGACGGAAGACAAGGAAAACGAGCAUCGCAGGAACAUGUUCGUUAAGGUUGAGAGGCAAAUUAGUAUGAGGCUCGGGCUCAACCUUAGGCUCGAGCAGUUUGAGUGUUCUCUUCACAGUGCUUUUUCCUGUGCGGUACCCGAGAAAAUUGAGGUAACCAACAACUGCGUUAUUAGUUUUCCUGCAGAACGCUACGGCUUUAGUACAUUUAAGAUUGUGGGUUCUUGUUAUGGGUUGGUUUUGAUCAUGGUUGAUGAAGAAAUUAUGUUGUUGUGGAAUCCAGCUACAAGAAAAUAUAGAAAGUUGCCUGUGAUGGUAUCAAACAGUAACUAGGCAACAGACCAACCCCAAUGGACUGAUUUAUGAGACUAGUGCAGAACAAGAUUGAAUAACAGGAAGAAUCAAUAACGAAUGGAUGAAUAACUAAUGAACUGAUAGUGAUAUUGAUCAAAUAAGUAGAUUACAGAAUUGGCGGAAAGAAGAAAGGAAAUGACAGAAUGAAGGAAAACAGAAAGAGAAAAGGCUCAGGAAAUGAUCCCUUACAAUCAGCUAACAAAUCUUACUUUCUGCUUCUGAUCCUAUCCAUAUAUAUAAGCUAGCUAACAACUAACUUCCUUGGCAUUUUAUAACCCAACUUGGCCAUGUGAGUGGUUACGGAAUCUGUUGCAAAACCACUUGCUUGAGAGCUCAUGCUGAUUGAGCUGGUUUCCAGCAAAGGCGUGUUUGCUGAUUCUGCGCCUUUGAUUCUCUGCUUCUUUGUCCUUCACGUCUUCUAUCUUACUAAAACGUGAUAAGGAAUUUCACGUCUUCGAUUGAUCUUAAGCUACUUAAUAAAGGCGUGAUACUUAGGUUCACGCUUUCAGCUUGCUAACUUCUAUUCCAUGACAAUUGCUCCUCCUUCAAUCAAUCUUGUCCUCAAGAUUGAAAUUCAGGGAACUCCUUCCUGAUUCUCUCUGCAUCUUCCCAAGUAGCUUCAGCAGGGGUGGUUCCCUACCAGUGGAUGAGCCACUGUACUACUGCUGCAUUCCUUUUUCUGAUGCUCCUUUGAUCCAGAAUGGCUAUUGGAGCCACCCUUAAAUGCCCCUUCUCAUCCAGGUUUGGUAGCUGGGGAGCAAGAGUUGCCUUCUCCCCAACCUUUUUCUUCAAUAACGACACAUGGAACACAGGGUGGAUUCUGGACCCUUCUGGCAGCUUGAGUUUAUAAGCUACUUCUCCUAUUUUCUGGAUCACCUGGUAGGGACCAAAGUAUUCAGCAAACAGCUUGGUGUUGUUCCUUAGUUCUACAGACAUUUGUCGAUAUGGCUGCAACCUCAAGUGAACCCAGUCUCCCACAAUGAAUGACCUUUCACUUCUGCUUUGAUCAGCAUAGAAUUUCAUCCUGUCCUGAGCUUCCUGUAAGUUCCUUUUGAGUAUUUCAUCCAUCCUCUGUCGCUCCUUCAAAUGAUCUUCUACGAUGGCUACUUUAGAGUGAGAGUAGGGUCCUAGUGCCAACUGUGGGGGGGCCAUUCCGUAUAGAGCCUCGAAUGGACUCAUCUGGAUAGCUGUGUGAUAGGUAGUGUUAUACCACCACUCAGCAAGGGAGAGCCAUGCACUCCACCUCUUUGGCUCUAAGUGUGUCAUACACCUUAAGUACAUUUAUAGCACUUGAUUUACCCGUUCAGACUGGCCAUCUGUUUGGGGGUUGUAGACACCAAAUUUUUGUCAAUUUUUAAUGUUUUCCUGAAUUUUUAUCUAUUUAAUAAGUUAUCUAUUAUUAUUAUUAUUAUUAAUGUGUAAUUUUCUCAUUUUUGCAGGUUUAUUUUAGAAAAGAAAAAGAGAGAAAAAAAAACAACAAAACAAAAACAAACAAAAAAGGGAGAAAAGUUAAAAACAAAAAAAAAAUCAAAAAAUCAAAAAAAUCAAAAAUCAAAUCAAAAUCAAAUUAUUACUAAACUUACACAUUUUCAUCAUUUUCUCUACCAAAACCCCUAUUAACCCAUUCUACACUCAACUCCCACGGGCUUUUCUUUUCAUUUGGCAGAAGCCAUCAUUUGGAAAAAAACCAAACCCAUUUGACUCCUUCUUAGCCAUGAGUUUUUUGCUCUGCCAACACUCAACAUUUGCAGAGGAGAAAACACGCACAAAAAGCUAAUUUGGCGACCCAUUUUACUCACUCGGCUCUCUCUGGAAAAAUCAGACAGGCCACAAAGAAAAAAAAUUCCCAACUCCCUCUCAAUAUACAUCCCUCGGCCCUUUCUUUGACUCUCACCAGAAAACACACAAGAACAAAGCUCCCCAUUUUGGCCUUCCUUAAGCUCUCAACGGACAGAAAAGGAUAGACGAAGGAAACUUUGGGAGCCAGGGAGAUACGCUCAAGGUGUGGAAAUUGUAUCAAACAUUUUGGUUAAGGAACUACCACCUACAUUGAGGUAUUUUCUAGUUUUCUUUCUACCAUAUUACAAUCCAUGUUUCAAUGUCUAGUUUCUCUUGUUUUGCUGUUUUAUUAUUAUUAUUAUUAUUGUUGUGGUUGCAUAUUAAUUUUUCUUGUUUGCUGGUUUGUAUUGUUGUUGUUGCAUUGCUGAAAUUUGGGAAAAGGCAUGAACUAGAUGAGGGAAAAGGAAAUGAUGUCUGUGAAUGCAUAUUAAUUGUUUGAAAAAAUGCCAAAAAGAUUUUUAGGGACUGUUUUGCCUUAAUGUAGUCUUUUGUUAUUGUUUUCUGGUUAGUUAAAAUCAUAGUUGUAUUGUAGAGGUUAUAAGGAGUAUUGUAAUAUAUUUUUUAUGAUUUUUGGUGAAAGAUUUGGGUGUUUUGAAAAAUAAAAACUGGACUGUAUUUUUGACAUUUUGGCCACUUUCAGACCAUCUUUUGUAAAAACUAACUCCGAAAAUGGAGUCUACUCGAAAAAUCGAGUGAAGGGGUGUAUUUUGAGAAAUUUUGAUCACCGGAAAGGUCGCCGGCGGUGGCGGUCCGGUGGCGGCGGCGCCACCGGCGGCCACCAUGGCUGCCAGCUGAAGCUUCUUCGGUUAGCCGAAGAAGAAGGAAAGGAAACGUAUGGGGAAGAAAAGAGAAAGAAAAGAAAGAAAAGAAAAGAAAGAAAAAAGGGGAUUGGGCUAAUGUUUAUUUUUCGUUGGGCCAAGAGCUAGUCUUGUUAGGUUUUGGGGCUGGGCUUUGGUUGAUGUUUCUUUUGGGUUUCGGUUGGGCUAGGAGGUUGGAGCCCACGUGUUUUGGCUGGGUUUGAGUGAUAGAAGACGGGCUGGCCUGUGUGUUUUGGCUUGGACUUUCGGAUGGGCUUAGGUAGUUUUCGGCCCAAAGAAAUAAAUAAUGGCCCAGUGGCCUGUUUUCUUAAGAAGAUCUGAUAACGAAUUUGCAUUUUAGCCCCUGAUCUUUGGAGUAGUUUCGUUUCGGCCCAUAACAUUUUAAAUUCUUUUCAACUCGGUCCUUAUAGUAAUUGCACUUUGGUCCCUGAUUUUUAUCUUUCAUUUAAUUUUGACCUCUAAACUUUGAAAAAUACAAUUUUUGUCCCUCAAAAGUUUUCAAUUUUUGCAAUUCAGUCCUUGACAAAUUUUGACUCUUUUUUAUUGUGAUUGCUUCUUUUCUUUAAAAGCUAAUGAUGUUACUUUUGAAUAUAUUUAACUUGCAAUUUUUAGAUGUUCUUAAAUUUCUUUGCGUUUGACAUGUUAAUGUGAAUUUAGUAUUUUAACAUUAUUAUCAUUUGCAAUUAAAGUGGUGCCAUGAUUCUUUUGUUCAUUGUGAGUAUAAAUAGGAUAAUUUGACUCCACUUAGUCACCACUUCAAACGGGAGGUACUCCUAUUUUAUUAUUUCAAUGUCAAUUACGUGUUCUUAUGUGCUCCUAUGUGCUCCUAUGUGUUUAUAUAUUUUUAUAUGCUUUAUUUAUUUGAUUUAAAUAUUCAUUCAAAUUUUCUUAUAUAUGUUUUAGUUAGUUUUUAUAAUGAUUCGAGAGGUAUUUAAAUACCUCAAAAAUGUAAUAGAUAGGAUAAUUAGAUUUGUUUUAUUAUAUUUUCCCUUCCUAGAUUGUGGUUAGGCGCUCCUCGAUGUAAUAGAUAGGUUGCGUGUUUAUGUGGCUUAUGUGUUAAUUGUUUUAUCCGCUUUUCUUAGGAUUUUGGCAUCUAGAUAUUAUGCUUACGUGUUAUGUGUUACGUGCUCUUAUGUGUUUAUUUGUUUUAAUUUAUGCUUUAUUUGCUUCACUAUGAAUUGUUAAUGCAUAACGUCACCACACUAGUCCAACGCUAGUUGUGGCUUCUCUCUUCGCUUACUUGCUAGUCCAACGCUAGUAAGGACUAUUAGAAAUGGGCUAGUCCAACGCUAGACCCUUUAGGUUGUCUUGCGCUAGAUUCAUCUUUGUGUGCUAUUCACUACAUUUUCAUGCAAUAUUUUCAUUUUUAAGAUCUUUUCUCAUUUGCAUGAUAUUCCCUAUUAUAUUAUCCCUUAUCCUCUAUAUGUGUUAAUCAUAUCAUUUAGAAUUGCAUUUCAUUUAGAACAUUGUAUAAUAGGUUAGUUCAUUUGCUUGUGCAUAUUAGGAGAAUUAUUUUUCAAACAUGGGAAAUGGGUGAUUAUAACUUUUUAGUUCAAAUACCCCAUUAAUCCCUGUAUAAGAAAAUUAUGUCACGAGUUUUUGCCUCCCAUACCCUUUAUGUUGCAUUCCCUUUUUCUUUGAUCACUUAUAUCUAUGUAUAUAAUUUAAUUUACUUUCUUUACUUUUCUUUUUUUCAUCAUUUGCAUACUCGUGACCCUUUCAAGGAAAUAUUUUGGCUUUCGCAAUUAAUGCGAUUGUUUCAAUUAAACCUUUGAAUGGAUAUUUUGACCCUUUCGAUAUUUUAUAAAUUUAAAUUUGCAUUCAUGUAGGAAACAUCCAAAUAUGAUAAAAUUAAGGGUUAGAUUAGGAAGAUUUUGACUAAAUCUCGCGACUAGCUUAGACUAGGUUGAAAGGGUGCCUUAGGUUUGAGUCAAUUGAACCUUUGCCUUCCCUUUCUUCAACCGUGACUCCCGAACCCAUUUUCUCUUGUUUUCAAUGACCUGGAGUUGUCAAAAAAGGUUUUGAUUUAUUUUAUUUUUGUCAAAAAAUAUUUUUGGGUGACUUGGUACACCAAAACACCAUACCAAGUGGCGACUCCUAUUUUUUCUAAAAAGCCCUUUUAGACUGAAUUUUUGGACCCAAAUUGUCGCAUUCUUUUAAGUCCCAUUCUAGGUCCUUUUUAAUUUAUUAUUAAUAAAUCACAUCUUUUUAUAAAACUCUUUUUCUUUUCCAUCGCGAAAAAUGGGGCGCGACAACUUGGCGACUCCACUGGGGACCUAAGAGAGUCCAAGCACUUGGUUUAGUCGUCUUUUUCUCUUUUUAACCCUUAUAUUUAUCAUAUUUGGAUGUUUUAGGUUGCAUUUUUCUCUUUUAGGAUAUUUUGCAUUUCACCCUCGUAUUCGUUUAUCGUUCCUCGUAUAUGUGAUGAAUGAUUUAUUUAUUUACUUUUGUUUAUUUACUUAUAUGUAUCGCGCUUUGCAUUUGGGGGUGGGAAAUAUUACCCUAGAGCUUCGCAUUGGUUAUCGAUCCCUCCCCUCCAAAAUGAGCACUGGCAUACGUGCAUACGUUUUAUUUUUUAUCCCUUAUUUAUUUUUCUUUUAGUGGCUUGUCACGCCACUCCACCCUACUAGGAUUUUAGGCGACCCACUUGGACAUGUGAUCGUAUCACGACGUGUGCGUAGCAUGAUCCGAGGGGUCACUCGAUCUUCCGCUUCAAACUUUAGGUUGAUGACCUAUUAGUUUUUAGUCGAAGGUUGAGGAUUCUUUUUAGAUUCGCCCAGACGGGUAGCCGUAACACGACGUGUGCGUAGCAACGUCUGGGGAAUCGCUCGAGCCACCGACAAGGAACCUUGGGAGUGAUGACCCUUGGUUUCUAAGUCUGAAGGCUCGGGGACCUAUGACUUAUCGAGUCUAGAUGCAUUAGUGAACCCUAACCUCAUGCAUCCAUUUUAGCUUGCCUAGGGUAGAGUCGACCUUACCCUAUUAGGGACACUAUUCACGAGGGGAGGGGUCCAACCCUUUUCCUCUUUUUAUUGCUUUAUUUCCUUGUGUUGAUUCCGUUGCUACAAUGUGUUAUGUGUAUUUAUCUGUUUAAACUAACUUUUCUUGGUUUUUGUGUCCCCAUUGCAUUCACAAACCCUUAGCAAAUAAGAGGUCUGACAUGACCUUCUUUUAGAAGCCCACCCUUGUAGAUAGGUUAUCGCACGUUUGAAAAUUGUGAUGCAUUUUGUUCAUAAAUUCAUAAUGUUAUACCAUUUUAGGCUUACCCUGGCAAACAAAGGGCUCCUUAGGUCACGUCUCAUUUCAAAUCGCAUUUUUCCCUGCUUUGAUAAGAAUGGCAUCAUGCAUAAGCCUUAGAAAGGGAAUGCCUCUUAGGGAAUCCCACAUUAGGGACAGGCCAACCUAAAUCCCGUGGGUAUUUAACCCAAUUUUUGGGAUUUGCACGUUUAAAUUCCUGUUAACCAGAGAAAUGGGACCUGUAGGUAAGGUAUUUAACUCCGGUUUUGGUUUCUAGAUGGAAAGCCCUCGCCGAGUGCAACAGAUGUUAGUAGUGCCGCCAGAGGUACAAAGAUGGCCCACGUUACUCUCACCCAAUGAGGUUAACCAAAUAGCCGAUCGAUUAGGACACAUCGGGGAUUUCAAGAAUAUUAAGUCCGAUGGAUAUUUGGUAGAAGCUUUGGUGCAUCUAUGGGACCCCACUUGUUCUGCUUUUAGAUUUGGAAAAAGGGAGAUGACCAUAACGAUUGAGGAAGUCGCCGGAUUUCUCAAUUUGCCGAUUCAAGGAACUGCCGUGGUAUUGCCACUAGCAUCUAAUAAAGUUGAAUUUUGCCGUUUCACUGGGUUAAAGGAAUCAGUACUACAAGGGGCAGACCAAAAUAUAGAGGCGAAGUUCUUAUUUGAUCGAUUUGCGCUAAGAGAUGGUUUUGAGAGGCAUCGAGGGGACUUCUCGUUUACUUCCAAGGAAACGUGGAAUCGAAAGAGAGUCUGGGUAUACGGUUUAGUCAUGACGGGAACCUUCUUUUUUCCUAGGAAAGAUAAAAAGAUAGCCUUCAAGCUCACUAGAAUCCUGUAUGACUUGUUUCUUGGAAUUAAUGAUAGGCCGUGUUCCAUUAUUCCUACCAUUUUGGCCGACAUCUUCAUAGCCUGCACUACCUGUCAGAAAGGGAAAAAGUUUUUUUGUGGUUCAAAUUUGAUCUUACAUAUAUGGGGAAUGGAGCAUUUCAUGAGACGACCGGCUAUUUCAUCAAGUCUACCAAUGUUCGCAUACAACUGGAUAAUCACACAUCACAAGAGGAUUAAUAGAGACAGUCUGCCGUGCAAUGCAUCUGAGUUUGUGGAUUUCUUGAAGAACGUGACUGAUCAAAAUAUUAGAUGGGUGUUGGAUUGGACCGAUUGUACUAAACCCGUUCUUCGCACCCAAGCAUCCGAAUUCAUUCUCUUACUGGGUACUCAAGGGAUUACUGCCUACGCCCCAAAAAGGUUUCUCAGACAAUUAGGGCGUACCCAAGAAAUACCACCCGUGCUUGACAUGAGCGAAGUCACCAUUAUUUUUAACUGGGGAAUGUGCCCAAAUCAAAUCCCUAUGAAAGAUCGGAUUAUUGACGCCUGGGUGACGCUAUCUAAUGACGUGAGUUUUAGAUACAUCCCAGAGCUCAAGCAGAAGGGUUUGACGACUUCACAAUACGAAGACUGGGUAGGAGGAUCCGCUGCGCAAGAAAUUCAAGAUGAGCCAUCUGAGGAGGUGAAAAUGUUGAAAGCCAUUAUCGAAGCAAAGGAUAAGGAAAUUCUGCAGUUAAGUAAGUCUGCCGAAGCAUACAAAGGGAUGGCCGAGCAAAGCAAGCAAUUGUAUGAAAAUGAACGAGGAAGGCGUCAAGAGCUGAAAAGGAAAUGUGCAGAAUUAUAUGACCAAACUGAAUGUGUUAGAAUUUCAUAUGCUAGGGAAACAAAGGACUCUGUAUUAGAUAGGUUCAGAAGCUUUGGCAAUCUUGUACGGAAUCGUCUUCGUGACAUGAUGUAAAUAUUGGCAAGUUUAUCAAUGAAAAUGAUUUUUCUUCUGCUCUCAUUUUGGAUUAUUGUCAAAAACAGGUUUGUAUUACGGGUCCCAUUUCGAAGGUGUUGCAUCAUGCUAGGCCUACCCUUGGCACAAAAAGGGCUCCCCCAUAGGACAUGCAUCCGAAUUAUUUAAAUAUUUACUAAUUCGUGUUUUUUUUCUUUUCCUUUUUCUUGAAUAAAUUACAGCAAUUUGACAGAGAAUUCAAUUCUAAAUCAGUUUCUUUUCUCCACUAUCAGGUAUUUUUCACAAUUGCUACCCAAAGAAGCCCCAUCAUCACCAGGUCCCGAAGUAGAGCCUUGAGACAGUCUGUAAACAUGAGUUCAGUUCCUGAAGCUUCGGAAAGAUCUGCUAUGGUUACAUCACCGGACUUCACAGCAUUGGGAGCUCAGUUAAGUGAGGUACUUGGCAAGUUCAAUGAAUUAAGUGCUGAAAUAGCCGCACAGAAGCGUGUAAUUGAUCAGUUGGUCGCAAGCAACAAUGGUGGUGGUGUCCCAAACGACCAAGAACCUAUCGAUAAUCACCCACCUGCACAAGACUAUCAACCACCCCACACAUCCAAUACCCAAACACCUUUCUUUCCUCCUUUCGCUAACCCCGUUGAAAAUACCUUUGCCCGAUUAAACUCAGACUUUUCCUAUAUGCAUCCGAAUUAUGUAUUGGUGAACCCAACCAGUAGUCAAAUCCCUCAAACUCAUCCACAAACCAAUCUGAACAUUCCUCCCAACCCUCAGGGACCGCACCACCACAUUCCGGAGCCUUUUGUAAUGGAUACGGCAUCUCAAGGGAAGGCGGCAAUAGAAGAACAACAUACACCCGUUGAUAAAGACCUGUUAAGAAGGUUGGAUCGAUUCGAUGAUUUUAUGAGAAAGAAUCAAGGAUUGAGCAGGCAUGGUGGGUUAGAUUACGAUGAAUUGUGUCUUUUCCCGGAUAUUCAGCUACCAUUGGGAUUCAAAACCCCUAAAUUCAGCAAGUAUGAUGGAACUGGAAAUCCAAAGACGCACCUCAAGAUGUUUGCCAACAAGUUAGGUAAACCUGUGGAUGAUGAGAAUUUGCCUAUGCGUCUAUUUCCGGAAAGCUUGGAGGGAGAUGCUCUAGAUUGGUAUUCAAAUUUGAAGUCUGGAGAAGUCAAGACCUGGUUGGAUCUAUCAACUGCUUUUGUGAAGCAGUAUGAAUUUAACUGUGAGUUGGCACCAACACGAACCACACUGGAGGGUACGAAAAGAAAGCCGUCGGAAGAUCACAAGACCUACGCAAAACGGUGGAGAAAGUUAGCUGCCAAAGUGGAGCCUCCUAUGACUGAGGAGGAGAUUGUUCGUACUUUCAUCAAGGCUCACGAUCCACCCUAUUUUGAAGAGAUCUUCCGCAUGACUGGAAGUCCAUUUGCUGCUAUCAUUAACAAAUUGGAGGAGUAUGAUGAAUUUGUCAAAGCAGGGAAAAUUGUUAAUGUGUCUGCAUUAAAGUUGCAAUUGGAUGCUCUACAGAAUCAAAACAACAAUGGGAAAAGGCCCCAAUUCAAGAAAAAAGAAAGUGAUACUGCUUUUAUAUGGGAUCAAGGCCCGUCUUUCAGACCCAGAAACCAUCCCACCUAUUCCUUUCCUUACCCGUAUUACACCAAUCCUCAACCAGUCUACCACACCACUACCCAAUUCCAUCAUUCCCGGCCAAAUCAUUUGAAUACCUCGCCCUUACCUCCAACUCCACAACCUGUUUUUCAAAAUCACUCUCGUCCCAUUUACCAUUCCAGACCAAUCCUGCAAAACAAUAACCCUCCUCAAAAUCCUUUGCAAACCAGUGGAAUUCAAACUCAGAAGCAAUUUCGAGCCUUCACCAACUUGGGCCGACCUAUUGAUCAGUUGUAUGAGCAAUUAAAAGCAGCUGGGAAAAUUGGCACUGUUCCUCCCAAAAUCUAUCCCAGAGGUCCUCCUGCCGGUUAUGAUCCGCAUGCAAUCUGUGCUUAUCAUUCUGGAAGUCCAGGUCAUACCACUGGCAAUUGUUGGGCUUUAAAACAUAAGAUUCAGGACAUGAUUGACUCUGGAGACAUCCUUCUCAGAAGAAAGGGAGAGCAGGGACCGAAUGUUAGUAAGAAUCCUCUACCUGAGCAUGGGAGCACUGUGGGGGUUAUCAUCGCUGAUGAAGAUUUUAUCGACCCCAGUCAGUACAUCGUAGAUGAAACUGAAGUGUUUGACGUGAUAGAGACUGACCAUGCAGAGAUGAGGAAAAUGCUGUCUGUUGAAAAGUCCAUAACUAAGGAUAAUGCUGAGGAAAAGUUAAAAUCUUUUGUGUUUGAGAAAGAGGAGCCGUUUAUGAUAGAAGGAGGGCCUUCCGAGGCCGACAAUUCUGAAGUUCCUUUUAUUUUGGAUCUACCCUCUUUUGAAUGGGAUAUAUCAGAGCCUGCCAUUCUCGAAUUUCCAGAGCAAAUGCCUGUCAAUAACUUGCAAGAGGUACCAUGGAACUACGAGGAGCCCAGUCUAUUAAUUGGAGGUAAAGAUUGCCUGAAGGAAGAUAUAUCUACUAUUACUAGAUCUGAAAAAAUUGUGGGAAACUCCGAUAUUGAUGUUCAAUCCAGGGCCAAGGUUAAAUCUCCGACACCCAAGCCUCGUGUGUCUGAAAAUGAAGCUGUAGAUUUUCUGAAGAUGCUGAAAAGAAGCGAGUACAAAAUAGUAGAGCAGUUGGAUAGGACGCCUGCUCAGAUUUCCUUUCUGAAUCUUCUCCUGACUUCUGAGCUGCACAGAGAAGCAUUGCUCAAAAUUCUGAACGACGCUCAAGUCCCUAAAGAUAUUCCGGUGGAUAAAUUUUCCAACAUUGUGGGGAACGUACUUGCUGCUAAUCAUAUUAUCUUCUCCGAUGAUGAUCUGACUGCAGAAGGGAUCGGGCAUAACAGAGCUUUGUAUAUAUCAGUCCGUUGCAAUGGAAAGCUGUUGCCGAGGGUUUUAGUGGAUAAUGGGUCAGCGUUGAAUAUCUGUCCAUGGAACACUCUCACCAAGCUUGGAUUUCUUGAUAUUAAACUCCGUCCAUCUGCAACUGUGGUUCGAGGAUUUGAUGGUUCAAGGAGGGAAUCUAUGGGUGAAGCAGAUCUGGUAUUGGAGAUAGGCCCUGCUCAAUUCCAAGUUACUUGCCAAGUCAUGGACUUCUCCAGUGUUUACAACAUUUUACUUGGAAGACCUUGGAUACAUGCUUCCAAUUCAGUGCCAUCUUCUCUGCAUCAAAUGUUGAGAUUUAUUGUGAAUGAUCAGCUCAUUACUGUAUUUGCUGAGGAUGACUGUACCAUGAUCAUUGAUGCAAAAUUCAAAGGUGAAGACAGAAAAGGGACUCCAAUUUCAUCUCAUCAUGUUGCUGACAUAGUCUCUGUAGGAUGGGCAUCUAGGGAUAAGUCGUUGACUUAAUCAGAUUUGCCAGAGGCCAGUAUUAUGAUGGCGAGAGAGAUGAUCCGAGACGGAUAUGAAAUAGGAAGAGGUCUUGGGCAAGAAUUGCAAGGAAUUUUAGAGCCGAUAGAGAUCCCGACGCAAAACGAUACAUUUGGAUUGGGAUUUCAUCCGACUGCUAAGGAUAGGAGGGAAAUGCAAGCUCGAAAACAAGCUGAAAAGAAGGGCAAGCAAAAUCCCUUAAAUGUCCCACCGCUGUAUCACACCUUUCCUCGUCCAGCAGAGAUGAUUAUGUCAGAAACAAAGAAUCCUGUGGAGGAGAUUGAACUGGACCUGUCUCAAUUAUUUGUCGGGGCCACUUGUGAGGAGGAGCCAUCGGAGAAUGCAGAAUUUUUGCCAAUUACCGAAGGAGCUAUUCAGAAUUGGACUGCUGAUUAUCUUCCCUCUCGAAGGGAAUUUCAGUAAAUUUAAGGGGAUUGUCUUUUGUCUAGAUCAUAUCCAGAUAGGACAGUAGUCUGGAUCUUUUGUUAAAAGAAAUUGCUUUCAUCUUUUAAACCUUUAUUCUUGUUUCAGUUAAUAUAGCUUGCUUUGUUCAAGGAAAUUGCUGAAACGAAAAUAAAUGUUUGGGUUAAAUAUGUCUUUAAAUAGCAAUCAUGUCUGUAUAUUUAUCCUUUUGUGAAGUCUCGAUGCAUUUUGAAUUUAAUGAAAUGAAAGACUUCUUUGGUAUUUGCUAUUUAUUCAUUACUUAUGUUCUAUUUUAUUUUCAGAUGGCCACAAAUAAAAUCCUUUGACCCUUUGGAUGUCACCAUUUUGGAAUUCGAUGGCUGCAAUCUCGAUAUCUCUCAUGAAUUUGAAAUCAUGCAAUCUGAAAUUCAAAACGAGAGCGAUACUGAGGAAGAAUUUGAGUCUAUUUCAAGGGAUUUAAAACAGUAUGAAGAGAAACCCAAACCCAACUUAGAAGAAACAGAAAUCAUCAAUAUUGGCACUAAGACGGAGGUUAAAGAAGUUAAAGUCAGCAUUCAUCUGAAUAGGAAACAAAAGGAGGAAAUGAUUGAAUUCUUAAUGUUUUUUCAAGAUGUGUUCGCAUGGUCAUACGAUGAUAUGUCAGGGAUCUCUACGGACAUAGUGGUUCACAGGUUGCCAACCAAUCCAAAUUUUUUACCUGUAAAACAGAAACCACGUAAAUUCAAACCAGAAAUGAGUCUCAAAAUAAAGGAACAAAUUGUGAAGCAGCUCAAUGCUAAGAUAAUCAUGGUGUCUCAUUAUCCCAUCUGGUUAUCGAAUCCUGUGCCAGUGCCUAAGAAAUCUGGGGAGGUGCGAGUGUGUGUUGAUUACAGAGAUCUGAAUAAGGCCAGUCCGAAAGACGAUUUUCCUUUGCCAAACAUUCAUAUUCUUUUGGACAAUACUGCUGGACACGAAAUUGAAUCUUUUGGUGAUUGUUUUGCUGGGUAUCAUCAAAUUUUGAUGGCAGAAGAAGACAGAGAGAAAACCUCUUUUAUCACCCCAUGGGGAACAUUUUGUUAUAGAGUGAUGCCUUUCGGGUUGAAGAACGCUGGAGCCACUUAUCAGAGGACCAUGACUACCCUGUUCCAUGACAUGAUUCACAAAGAGAUGGAGGUUUAUGUGGAUGAUAUCAUAAUUAAAUCCAAGAAGGUUGAGGACCAUUUGGUUGAUUUAAAGAAACUGUUUGAAAGAUUGAGGAAGUAUAAUUUGAAGUUGAACCCUGCGAAAUGUGCUUUUGGAGCUCUGGCUGGUAAAUUAUUGGGUUUUAUUGUUAGUAAAAAGGGUAUAGAGAUAGAUCCUGCAAAAAUAGAAGCAAUUCGAGAUAUGCCCAUUCCAAAAAGUCAAAAAGAUGUGAAGAGUUUUCUUGGAAAGAUCAAUUUUAUUGGCCGAUUCAUUGCACAGUUAACCUCUACCUGUGAGCCUUUGUUCAAACUGUUGAAAAAGAAUGCGCCGAUGGAUUGGAAUGAAGAUUGUCAGCUGGCUUUUGAUAAGAUCAAGAAUUAUUUGUUAAAUCCUCCGGUCUUAGUGCCACCUCAGCCAGGGAGACCUCUGAUUAUGUAUUUGUCUGUUCUUGAUGAGGCUGUCGGAUGCGUUCUGGGACAGCAUGACGAGUCUGGAAGAAAGGAGCAAGCCAUCUACUAUCUGAGCAAGAAAUUUACAGCAUAUGAGCCCAACUAUUCUUUCCUCGAGAGAAGUUGUUGUGCUUUAGCAUGGGCAGCUCAGAAGUUGAGACAUUAUUUGCUUGGUUAUACCACUUACUUGAUUUCCCGUUCUGAUCCUCUAAAAUACCUAUUGGAAAAGUCGAUGCCCACGGGACGUAUGGCUAAGUGGCAAAUGAUCCUUUCCGAGUUCGAUAUUGUCUUCACAACACAAAAGGCAGUCAAGGGUCAAGCCAUAGCAGAUCAUUUGGCAGAAAAUCCAAGAGAUGAUGAUUACCAGCCGUUGCAUACCUACUUUCCUGAUGAAGAAAUUCUGUUCGUUGGAGCAGUUGAGGACAUGAGUGAGCAGUAUCCUGGAUGGAGGUUAUUUUUCGACGGUGCGUCAAACUCUUUUGGAGCUGGAAUUGGAGCAGUUUUAGUGUCGCCUGAAGGGAAACAUUAUCCUGCUACCGCCAAAUUACAGUUUCCUUGUACCAACAACAUGGCUGAGUAUGAAGCCUGUAUUUUUGGAUUGAAAAUGGCAUUGGACAUGGAAAUCAAGGACCUGAUAGCAUUCAGUGAUUCUGAUUUACUUGUGCACCAGACGCUUAAACAGUGGGUAACUCGGGAUUCAAAAAUUAUGUUGUAUCAUUGUAACUUGCUUAGUUUGGCCAGCAAAUUCAGGAAUUUGGAACUCAGACAUAUUCCCCGCACUCGUAAUGCCUUUGCUGAUGCUUUAGCUACUCUGUCUUCAAUGAUCCAACAUCCAGAUGAGCUGGUGAUUGAACCUAUACAGAUCCAACUUCAGAAUGGGCCAGCGCAUUGUCUGGUUACAGAAAGGGUCACUGAUGGUCGCUCUUGGUACAAGGAUGUUAAGGAAUUCAUGAAAACGGGAUCCUACCCUCCUGAUACUGAUUCUGUUGCAAAAAGUUUCUUACGCAGAAUGUCAUCAAGAUUCUUCUUGAAUGGAGAAGUGCUAUACAAGAAAACAUCUGAUUUGGGCCUUUUGAGAUGCAUCAAUGAAGAGGAAGCCGAUUAUAUGAUGAAAGAAGUGCAUAGUGGGGUCUGUGGGCCACACAUGAAUGGGCAUCUACUGGCUAAGAAGAUCAUGAGAACAGGAUAUUUUUGGCUUACCAUGGAGCAUGACUGUGUAGAUUUUGUUAGAAAGUGUGUUAAAUGUCAAAUGCAUGGUGAUGUUAUACGUGCUCCUCCUACGGAAUUGCAUAGUAUGACUGCCCCAUGGCCAUGUUCGAUCUGGGGAAUGGAUGUGAUCGGAACUAUUGAUCCUCCUGCUUCAAAUGGGCAUCGAUUCAUUUUAGUGGCGAUUGAAUAUUUCACCAAGUGGGUUGAGGCCGCGUCCUAUAAGCAUGUGACUAAGAAAGUGGUGGCGGAUUUUUUGAGAAAUAAUAUCAUCUGUCGUUUUGGGGUACCAGAAACGUUGAUCACUGAUAAUGCCAAAAACCUCAACAAUGAUAUGGUGGAUGGAUUAUGUGAACAGUUCAAGAUCAGACAUCAAAAUUCUGCUAUUUAUAGGCCUCAGAUGAAUGGAGCCGUUGAAGCUGCAAAUAAAAAUUUGAAAAAGAUUAUACGUAAGAUGACUGAAGCACACCGGGAUUGGCAUGAGAAGCUGCCUUAUGCACUAAUGGCAUACAGAACUACCAUCAGAACUUCUACUGGUGCAACUCCUUACUCUCUUAUGUAUGGAAUGGAAGCAGUCCUGCCUGCAGAAGUUGAAAUUCCUUCCUUGCGCAUUCUGAUGGAAGCUCAGAUAAAAGAAGCUGAAUGGGUCAGAGAACGUCAGGAGCAGUUGUCUCUGAUUGAUGAAAAGAGGUUGAAUGCCGUGUGUCAUGGACAAUGUUAUCAGCGACGAAUGGCUCGGGCUUACAACAAAAAAGUCAAGCCCCGCUUAUUUGAAGUUGGAGAUAAGGUUUUGAAACGGAUUCUUCCAAUGCAAGAUGAGGCUAAAGGGAAGUUUGCUCCCAAUUGGCAAGGACCAUUCAUUAUUAAAAAAGUGCUAUCCGGAGGAGCGCUUAUUCUUAUGGAAAUGGACGGUCAAGUUUUUCCCCAACCAAUCAAUGCAGACAUGUGCAAAAAGUUUUUCAUUUGAAGAAAAAAAAAAAAACACUGCAAGAGACGGAUUUCAGGCAUACUUCCUCUCAUUUUUCCAUUUCGAUAUUCUACCCCUAAUUUUUCUUCUUUCCUUUUGACUUUUCAUAACCAUUUUCCUUUUCGCUUGGUUGUCCCUUAAGAUCACUAACCCCAUACUGGGGCAAUUCGUUUCUUAAAAAAAAAAAAAAAAGAAAAUAAAAGAAGAAAAUAAAAAAAAAGAGAGAGAGAAAUAGAGAUUCUGUCAGAAUUAAACUGGGGCAAAUUUUAUCUCUUUCUCACCCUAGAUCGGGGUAAGUUUUGAAAGAAUGCUAUCUCAAAUGAUUGCAAACCCAUCAUAUGAUCCGCUGUCAAGCCUUUCAAGCCUUAACCUUUCCUUUGCUACUCUAUCCGAUCCUAAUCACAAGAACCAAAAUUGCCGAAUUUCGUCUUUUGCAGUACUUUGAAGAAAAAAAAAAUUUCAACUAGCAAAUGAUGUAAAUACAAACUUUUCUGAAACAUGUCAGAGAAGAUUGUCUCACUGAUGCUACUCAUUAUCAGAGUAUGACUGCAAUGAUACAGUUGGGAUUAAACUUGUCUUGUCUAUGUCUCUAGGUGAAAACCUGAAAGGGCACCUUCUAAAAACAAAAGUUCUAAAAAAAAAAAAAAGUCAAAAAAGAGGAAAAAAAAAAGAAAAAAAAAGAAAAAAAAAGAAAGAAAAAUGAAAAGGGUGGGGGUAACCUUAGUGAAAACCCGAAAGGGCGCUGAGGUAGGGUUUUGGAAUACAAGAGAAUCAGCAACAGAGAAGAAGAUGUUGAGGUCUGAAAGCUGGUGACUAUGUUGAUUUGGGUCUCUUUCAUACUGUUGUUCUUUUGCCGACAAUAAAUUCCAAAAUGGAUGACUACGAAAGGGUCAAAUGGAGCAUUUUUCCUCAGCAAAGGCCAUCCUCUAAACACGAAUCCAAAUUUUGAUCCUUGGGCCUAUAUUCAAAAACUCAACAAUUUUGUUUUACUAUUCUAUUUGCUAUUUCAUUUAUUUAUUGUGUAUCAUUGUUUAUUUCAUAUUAGCAUUAUUGCAUGAUGAAUACUAUUUUUUGCAAUUGUUUAUGUUUCCCAUUUAUUGGGUCUCAUUCAAAAGACAAUCCCCUAUAAUUUGUCCCAAAGGGGUCCUGAGAUUGAGGAUCUUAUGGUAACAAAGUCUGGAUGACUGACAUUUGACGGUUACAAAGAUUCUGAAGAGGUUGUCGACCGGACCUAAAGAAGCAGUUUAUCGAUAUUGAAACUCAUGUUUACACGGCUCUCAAGGCAAAGGGAUCUCAUGGUGGUGGCAGUGUUUUCAUCACAGUUGUUUCUUUUCCUUUCUUUUCCUUUUUGCAGGAAAGGUUAUGUGACAUAAUACUGGUUUAGUUGAGCAUGAUUCACACUGGGGCAAAUGGUAGAAGGAUUGAGCUCCAAGUUUUGCUGCACAUUUUCGAAGAAAGAAAGAAAAUCAUAAUUCCCUUUCUUUUAAAGUUCGAAAAAAAAAAUUAAUCAAGAAAGUUGUAAGUCCGCCAAGUACGUUUGUCUUGUUUUAUUACUACUUGAGCAACAUGCAUUUUAAUCUUUCAGUUUGAUGGUUUUGAACUUGCAUUUUCAUUUCUUUCAGUGUUUAAUUGGGCUCGGGUCAAUCCCACCAAUCUGUUAAAAAAAAAAAAAAAAUCAAUCAAAAAGAUCAAUUUAAAUUCCUGUUGGUGAGUCUCAGCGUCCACCGCGCACCCUUCUACCUCCCCUUCUUGACAAUUUAAUUUUCUGUUGGUGAGUCUCAGCGUCCAAGCGUACCCUUCUAUCUCCCCUUCUUGACAAUUUAAUUUCCUGUUGGAGCGUAAUCGCGUUCCUCCGCGCAUCUUUUUCCAAAAAGAUCAAUUUAAAUUUCUGUUGGUGAGUUUCAGCGUCCACCGCGCACCCUUCUACCUCUUUUUUUUGACAAUUUAAAUUCCUGUUGGUGAGUCUCAGCGUCCACCGCGCACCCUUCUACCUUCCCUUCUUGACAAUUUAAUUUUCUGUUGGUGAGUCUCAGCGUCCACCGCGCACCCUUCUACCUCCCCUUCUUGACAAUUCAGCGUCCACCGCGCAUCCUUUUAUCUCCCCUUCUUGACAAUUUAAAUUCCUGUUGGAGCGUAAUCGCGUCCCUCCGCGCAUCUUUUUCUAAAAAGAUAAAUUUAAUUUUCUGUUGGUGAGUCUCAGCGUCCACCGCGCACCCUUCUACCCCCUUUCUUGGAGCGUAACCGCGUCCCUCCGCUCAUCUUUUUUCUAGUUAUGACAAGUUUCUUUUCCUGAUUGUUUUGAUUAAUAAUUGUGCUUUCUCAUUCAUUUUGUGAAGUUCUAAGAGUUCAGACUUUUUCGACUUUGCAAAGAUCAUAGUUGGUCAAUGCACUUGUUUCAUUGUGGAGGACUGUAGAUUCGAACUACGUUUGACCUGAUUCCCAUAGUGGGAUACGUAGGCAACUCUACAUGGGUUCGGUCACAUUUUCUGCAAUAUUAUCGCAUCAUUUUGUCCAAUAAUUUCAGCCAAGUGUUGGCUUGUUUAUUUUGGCUCGGGUACAGCUAGAAGAGAUAGGUAAAUAAUUUGGUGUCUACGUUUUUGUCUUGAGUUUUUUUGAAACUCUAGACAAAGAGGGGCAAGCUGUAGACACCAAAUUUUUGUCAAUUUUUAAUGUUUUCCUGAAUUUUUAUCUAUUUAAUAAGUUAUCUAUUAUUAUUAUUAUUAUUAAUGUGUAAUUUUCUCAUUUUUGCAGGUUUAUUUUAGAAAAGAAAAAGAGAGAAAAAAAAACAACAAAACAAAAACAAACAAAAAAGGGAGAAAAGUUAAAAACAAAAAAAAAAUCAAAAAAUCAAAAAAAUCAAAAAUCAAAUCAAAAUCAAAUUAUUACUAAACUUACACAUUUUCAUCAUUUUCUCUACCAAAACCCCUAUUAACCCAUUCUACACUCAACUCCCACGGGCUUUUCUUUUCAUUUGGCAGAAGCCAUCAUUUGGAAAAAAACCAAACCCAUUUGACUCCUUCUUAGCCAUGAGUUUUUUGCUCUGCCAACACUCAACAUUUGCAGAGGAGAAAACACGCACAAAAAGCUAAUUUGGCGACCCAUUUUACUCACUCGGCUCUCUCUGGAAAAAUCAGACAGGCCACAAAGAAAAAAAAUUCCCAACUCCCUCUCAAUAUACAUCCCUCGGCCCUUUCUUUGACUCUCACCAGAAAACACACAAGAACAAAGCUCCCCAUUUUGGCCUUCCUUAAGCUCUCAACGGACAGAAAAGGAUAGACGAAGGAAACUUUGGGAGCCAGGGAGAUACGCUCAAGGUGUGGAAAUUGUAUCAAACAUUUUGGUUAAGGAACUACCACCUACAUUGAGGUAUUUUCUAGUUUUCUUUCUACCAUAUUACAAUCCAUGUUUCAAUGUCUAGUUUCUCUUGUUUUGCUGUUUUAUUAUUAUUAUUAUUAUUGUUGUGGUUGCAUAUUAAUUUUUCUUGUUUGCUGGUUUGUAUUGUUGUUGUUGCAUUGCUGAAAUUUGGGAAAAGGCAUGAACUAGAUGAGGGAAAAGGAAAUGAUGUCUGUGAAUGCAUAUUAAUUGUUUGAAAAAAUGCCAAAAAGAUUUUUAGGGACUGUUUUGCCUUAAUGUAGUCUUUUGUUAUUGUUUUCUGGUUAGUUAAAAUCAUAGUUGUAUUGUAGAGGUUAUAAGGAGUAUUGUAAUAUAUUUUUUAUGAUUUUUGGUGAAAGAUUUGGGUGUUUUGAAAAAUAAAAACUGGACUGUAUUUUUGACAUUUUGGCCACUUUCAGACCAUCUUUUGUAAAAACUAACUCCGAAAAUGGAGUCUACUCGAAAAAUCGAGUGAAGGGGUGUAUUUUGAGAAAUUUUGAUCACCGGAAAGGUCGCCGGCGGUGGCGGUCCGGUGGCGGCGGCGCCACCGGCGGCCACCAUGGCUGCCAGCUGAAGCUUCUUCGGUUAGCCGAAGAAGAAGGAAAGGAAACGUAUGGGGAAGAAAAGAGAAAGAAAAGAAAGAAAAGAAAAGAAAGAAAAAAAGGGGAUUGGGCUAAUGUUUAUUUUUCGUUGGGCCAAGAGCUAGUCUUGUUAGGUUUUGGGGCUGGGCUUUGGUUGAUGUUUCUUUUGGGUUUCGGUUGGGCUAGGAGGUUGGAGCCCACGUGUUUUGGCUGGGUUUGAGUGAUAGAAGACGGGCUGGCCUGUGUGUUUUGGCUUGGACUUUCGGAUGGGCUUAGGUAGUUUUCGGCCCAAAGAAAUAAAUAAUGGCCCAGUGGCCUGUUUUCUUAAGAAGAUCUGAUAACGAAUUUGCAUUUUAGCCCCUAAUCUUUGGAGUAGUUUCGUUUCGGCCCAUAACAUUUUAAAUUCUUUUCAACUCGGUCCUUAUAGUAAUUGCACUUUGGUCCCUGAUUUUUAUCUUUCAUUUAAUUUUGACCUCUAAACUUUGAAAAAUACAAUUUUUGUCCCUCAAAAGUUUUCAAUUUUUGCAAUUCAGUCCUUGACAAAUUUUGACUCUUUUUUAUUGUGAUUGCUUCUUUUCUUUAAAAGCUAAUGAUGUUACUUUUGAAUAUAUUUAACUUGCAAUUUUUAGAUGUUCUUAAAUUUCUUUGCGUUUGACAUGUUAAUGUGAAUUUAGUAUUUUAACAUUAUUAUCAUUUGCAAUUAAAGUGGUGCCAUGAUUCUUUUGUUCAUUGUGAGUAUAAAUAGGAUAAUUUGACUCCACUUAGUCACCACUUCAAACGGGAGGUACUCCUAUUUUAUUAUUUCAAUGUCAAUUACGUGUUCUUAUGUGCUCCUAUGUGCUCCUAUGUGUUUAUAUAUUUUUAUAUGCUUUAUUUAUUUGAUUUAAAUAUUCAUUCAAAUUUUCUUAUAUAUGUUUUAGUUAGUUUUUAUAAUGAUUCGAGAGGUAUUUAAAUACCUCAAAAAUGUAAUAGAUAGGAUAAUUAGAUUUGUUUUAUUAUAUUUUCCCUUCCUAGAUUGUGGUUAGGCGCUCCUCGAUGUAAUAGAUAGGUUGCGUGUUUAUGUGGCUUAUGUGUUAAUUGUUUUAUCCGCUUUUCUUAGGAUUUUGGCAUCUAGAUAUUAUGCUUACGUGUUAUGUGUUACGUGCUCUUAUGUGUUUAUUUGUUUUAAUUUAUGCUUUAUUUGCUUCACUAUGAAUUGUUAAUGCAUAACGUCACCACACUAGUCCAACGCUAGUUGUGGCUUCUCUCUUCGCUUACUUGCUAGUCCAACGCUAGUAAGGACUAUUAGAAAUGGGCUAGUCCAACGCUAGACCCUUUAGGUUGUCUUGCGCUAGAUUCAUCUUUGUGUGCUAUUCACUACAUUUUCAUGCAAUAUUUUCAUUUUUAAGAUCUUUUCUCAUUUGCAUGAUAUUCCCUAUUAUAUUAUCCCUUAUCCUCUAUAUGUGUUAAUCAUAUCAUUUAGAAUUGCAUUUCAUUUAGGACAUUGUAUAAUAGGUUAGUUCAUUUGCUUGUGCAUAUUAGGAGAAUUAUUUUUCAAACAUGGGAAAUGGGUGAUUAUAACUUUUUAGUUCAAAUACCCCAUUAAUCCCUGUAUAAGAAAAUUAUGUCACGAGUUUUUGCCUCCCAUACCCUUUAUGUUGCAUUCCCUUUUUCUUUGAUCACUUAUAUCUAUGUAUAUAAUUUAAUUUACUUUCUUUACUUUUCUUUUUUUCAUCAUUUGCAUACUCGUGACCCUUUCAAGGAAAUAUUUUGGCUUUCGCAAUUAAUGCGAUUGUUUCAAUUAAACCUUUGAAUGGAUAUUUUGACCCUUUCGAUAUUUUAUAAAUUUAAAUUUGCAUUCAUGUAGGAAACAUCCAAAUAUGAUAAAAUUAAGGGUUAGAUUAGGAAGAUUUUGACUAAAUCUCGCGACUAGCUUAGACUAGGUUGAAAGGGUGCCUUAGGUUUGAGUCAAUUGAACCUUUGCCUUCCCUUUCUUCAACCGUGACUCCCGAACCCAUUUUCUCUUGUUUUCAAUGACCUGGAGUUGUCAAAAAAGGUUUUGAUUUAUUUUAUUUUUGUCAAAAAAUAUUUUUGGGUGACUUGGUACACCAAAACACCAUACCAAGUGGCGACUCCUAUUUUUUCUAAAAAGCCCUUUUAGACUGAAUUUUUGGACCCAAAUUGUCGCAUUCUUUUAAGUCCCAUUCUAGGUCCUUUUUAAUUUAUUAUUAAUAAAUCACAUCUUUUUAUAAAACUCUUUUUCUUUUCCAUCGCGAAAAAUGGGGCGCGACAGGGGUGGUAGGCAGUGCUUAACUUCAGUUCUGUACCCAUCAAGAUGAAUAAUUCAAUCCAGAAUUGAUUGGUGAACACUUUGUCCCUGUCAGACAGCAUGCUUAAAGGAACCCAUGUAACUUACAGAUGUGAUCUAGAAAAAGUCUGGCUACUGCUGGUGCAUCAAAAGGGUGUGAGAGACUGAUGAAAUGUGCUAAUUUAGUGAAUCUAUCCACCACUACCAUGAUAGUGUCCCUUCUCUCAGACAUUGGCAGUCCUUCAAUAAAAUCCAUUGUAACAUGACUCCAUGAAUACUGUGGCAUGGGGAGAGGUUGCAAAAGGCCCGGAUAAGCAGUGUGCUCAUUCUUACAUUUCCUACACGUGUCACAUUGCAAGAUUGUAUCCUUGAUAUCCCUAUGCAUCCCUGGCCAAUGGAAUAAUUGCUUGGCCCUUAAGUAACUAGCCUGGAUUCCAGAAUGACCUCCAAGCUGUGAAUCAUGUACUGCAGCAAUGAUCUUCCUCCUUACAUUCCCUUCUGAGCCCACCAGAAUCCUCCCCUUAUAUCUGACCACACCAUCUUGAUAAGUAAAAUCUGGUUGGCUGUCAGGAGCAAGAAGUAGUUGCCUGAUGAGAUCCUGGGUUUGUGUAUCCCCUUUAUAACUGCCAAUUACCUCCUGUAUCCAUUCUGGAAUGACACAAACUAAUGCAGUACAGUCCCCUUCCUCACUGCUAGCUCUCCUAGACAAGGCAUCAGCAACCACAUUUUCCCUUCCCUUUUUAUAUUGUAUCUCAUAACUUAAUCCCAGUAACUUUGUGAGCCAUUUCUGUUGAAGGGUAGUAGUGACCCUCUGAUCAAGUAGAUACUUGAGGCUUUGAUGGUCAGUCCUUAUUAUGAAGUGGUGUCCCUCCAGGUAAUGCCUCCAUUUAACCACUGCCAUCACCAGAGCUAAUAGCUCUUUUUCAUAAAUGGAGAGCCCCAGGUUCUCAGGUCCUAGGCUCUGGCUUAGAUAUGCCAAGGGCCUCUUGUCCUGUAUCAGUACAGCUCCCACUCCUCCAUAGCAGGCAUCAGUCUCAAUCACGAAUGGUUUGGUGAAGUCAGGCAAUGCCAGCACAGGGGUGUUGCUCAUUGCUAGUUUGAGUCUUUGAAAUGCUUCAUCAGCUUCUGCAUUCCAUAGGAACCCAUCUUUUUUAAGCAGCGUAGUGAGUGGUUUGGCUAUGGUUCCAUAACAUUUCACAAACUUCCUAUAGUAUCCAAAAUCCCUUUAGUUGCUUAACUGUAGUUGGUUUUGGCCACCCCAGCAUGCCUUCUACCUUCUUGGGGUCAGCCAUGACUCCUUGAUCAGAGAUAAUGUGGCCUAAGUAUUCCACCUCUAUUUGAGCAAAUGAGCAUUUGCUCUUUUUAGCAUAGAGCUGAUGUUCUCUUAAGAUGUUCAGCACUGUGGCCACAUGCUCCAUAUGACUACUCCAAGUAGGACUGUAGACUAGGAUGUCAUCAAAAAAAACUAGAACAUACUGUCUAAGUUGGUUCCUGAAGAUGUGGUUCAUGAGACUUUGAAAUGUGGCAGGGGCAUUGGUCAGGCCAAAUGGCAUGACCUUGAACUCAUACAACCCUUGGUGAGUUCUGAAUGCUGUUUUGUAUCUGUCGUCCACUUUGACUCUUAUUUGAUGGUAGCCAGACCUUAAGUCGAUCUUGGUGAAGAACUUGGAGCCCUGCAAUUCAUCCAUCAGUUCAUCUAUCAGUGGCAUUGGAAAAUUGUCUUUGAUUGUCAGCUCGUUGAGCUGUCUGUAGUCAACAUAAAAUCUCCAACUACCAUCCUUCUUCUUUACCAGUAAUACUGGAGAUGCAAAAGAGCUGUUGCUAGUCUGGAUGAUUCCCAUCUGCAACAUUUCCUUGACCAACCUUUCUAUCUCAGCUUUCUAUACAUAAGGACAUCUGUAUGGCCUAUUUUGGAAUGGUGCUGCUCCUUCUUUUAGUGGAAUGGCAUGAUCAUGGCUCCUAAUUGGGGGCAUGCCCUGAAAACACAGUCUCAAACUGCUUUAAUAGUUCUUCCAUUGCUAUUGGAAUUUGCUCCUGGUGGCCUCCACCUUCUUCCAUCAGAUAGAUUUGAGCAGUGAUUCCAUAAGUCUGCUUCCUUCUCCAUUUGGCAAGCUUGCUUCCCUUGAUAGCUUUCAGCUUAAGUUUCUCUACUUCCCCCUUCAGCAUCACUGUUUCCCUUCCUUUCAAGAACUUCAUAGUUAGUUGCUGAAAAUCGAAUUCGAUGGGGCUGUGUUUGGCCAACCAGUCAACCCCAAGUAUCAUGUCACAGCUGCCUAGUUUGAGUGUGUUGAAUUGGUGCUGGAAUUUAUGUCCUUGCAUCUCCCAAGCUAUUUCCUGUUGGAGCUGUCUGGAAUCCAGCUUCUCUCCAUUAGCCACAUUUACAGUCAAGGUGGUAUCAGUGGUCUGGAAUUUAAAAUCCUGUGCCAAUUUUUCAUCCAUGAAGCAGUGAGUACUGCCACUAUCAAUGAGUAUUAGCAGUUCCCUUCCUGCUAGCCUCCCCCUCAGUUUGAUAGUUUUGUGCUUAUUUCCCCCUGCUAAGGCAUGAAUGGAGACCUCUAUGCUCUCUUUGCUGAUGCCUCCUUCAGGAUAGUCACUAUACUCUUCAACACUCUCCCCUUGUUCCUCCAAUGGUGUGUUAGAUUCAGUAGGCUCAUCCACCACUAUGUAGUGAAUAUGAGCUUGUUUGCAAGUAUGUCCUAGGGUGUAUGGUUCAGCACACUUGAAACACAACCCUUUUUCCCUUCUGUAGCUAAAUUCAGAGGGGGUGAUUCCCUUAUAGUGAGCGGCUGAUGAUCCCCCCAGCUUGGUGUUUCUGUUGACAUGGUGGUCUGGUUUCUGAUGAUUAGGCCAUUUCAGCCUGUUUGGUGGAGAAGUGGUAUGUAGUGGAGGUAGUGAAGGUUUCUGUAUACCCCUACCCUAUGCCUUCCUAAUGGCUUCUAGAUUCUUUUCCUGCAACUUAGCAGUCUCAAUAGCAUCUGCUUAUGUAAGAAGUUUGGUCAUUCUAACCAUACUGACAAUUUCAUCCUUCAUGCCACUAAGGAAACAAGAUUUGUAAUAGGAAUCAGGUUGUCCAGGGAGUGAGGUCAUUACCAGUGAUUUAAGCGUUUCAAAUUUUUCCAGGUAGUCUGCUACACUACCAGUUUGUACCAGUUUGUUGAACUCCUCGAUGGCCUCCUGGGGGUCUCCCUCUCCAAAUCUUUCACAAAUUGCCAAGGCCAGCUCACUCCAUGGAACUGCUCCUCUUUCAGAGUACAUUCCAUGGAACCAGAUGUCUGCUCUGUCCCUGAGGUAGAGCUGAGCAAUAUCAGUCUUCAUUCCCUCUUCAACUCCAUAUAUCUGAAAAUGCUUGUUAGCUCUCCUAACCCAUUCCCUGGGAUUGGCUCCCUCAAACGAAGGAAAAUCCAUCCUGGGCAAUUAGACUCCCCCCCUUCCCUCAUUUCUCUCAUUUUUCUCCUUAACUCCCUCUGCUAUCUGGCCAUUUCCGGAACUACCUUCUCCUACUCCCUUCCCUUUAUCAUUCAAUUUGGACAUAAUCUGUGCCAUCAUGUUCAUCAUUCCCUCAUAUUUUUUGAUCUAAAUUUUUUAUGGCUUUAUCUGUGCUCUCCUGCCUAUACUACAUUGCCCUCACCGACUGCUCUAUCCCAUCAUUUUUAUUGGCGAAAGUCCUCACCACACUCCCCAGCUCAGUGAGCUCCCUCCUCAGCGUUUCCUCCUGAGUUUUAGUCAUCCCGUUGGCUCGUAGCUGCGCUCUGAUACCACUGUGAUGGUAUCGAACAGUAACUAGGCAACAGACCAACCCCAAUGGACUGAUUUGUGAGACUAGUGCAGAACAAUAUUGAAUAACAGGAAGAAUCAAUAACGAAUGGAUGAAUAACUAAUGAACUGAUAGUGAUAUUGAUCAAAUAAGUAGAUUACAUAAUUGGCGGAAAGAAGAAAGGAAAUGACAGAAUGAAGGAAAACAGAAAGAGAAAAGGCUCAGGAAAUGAUCCCUUACAAUCAGCUAACAAAUCUUACUUUCUGCUUCUGAUCCUAUCCAUAUAUAUAAGCUAGCUAACAACUAACUUCCUUGGCGUUUUAUAGCCCAACUUGGCCAUGUGAGUGGUUACGGAAUCUGUUGCAGAACCACUUGCUUGAGAGCUCACGCUGAUUGAGCUGGUUUCCAGCAAAGGCGUGUUUGCUGAUUCUGCGCCUUUGAUUCUCUGCUUCUUUGUCCUUCACGUCUUCUUUCUUACUAAAACGUGAUAAGGAAUUUCACGUCUUCGGUUGAUCUUAAGCUACUUAAUAAAGGCGUGAUACUUAGGUUCACGCUUUCAGCUUGCUAACUUCUGCUCCAUGACAAUCUGAUUUUGGAAUUGAAAUGGAGCAUAAGUUUUCCGCUUAUUCUUGCUUGUCAUGUGGGAUUGGUUAUGAUGAGUCUAAUGAUGAUUUUAAGGUACUUGUACUUUCCUGUGUUUUCUAUGCUGGUAUGCAGCAUGAGACUCUGGCUAAGGUUUAUAGCCGGAAGACAGAUUCUUGGAAGAAGAUUGAGGAUCUUAACUACUGUUUGAUUGAGCAGGGCUGUUAUUAUGUGAAUGGGAUAUUCCACUUUACUCAUUAUGAUUCUAAGUCGUGGUACUUGGAAUAUAACUUUUGAGCGGAAAAUUGUUGGUUUUGAUUUGGUGAAUGACAUUUUUAAAGAGAUAGAACUCCCUGAAGAGGUUAAUAAUUAUGAUAACUGGAAUUUAGGAACAUUAGAAGGAUGCCUUUCAUUAUUGGUUUGUUGCAGAGGCAAUCAGGUGAAUCUGUGGAUUAUGAAGGAAUAUGGAGUGAAAGAAUCUUGGACUAAAAUGGUUGUGAUUCCUUGUUUUCAAGAUCCUGAUAGUAAUUUAUUGAGUAUGCCUUUGAUCUUAUCGGAGGAUGGUCAACUUUUAUUUGUGACUUGGCCAAGCCCAAAGUUGGGAGUUUAUGAUCCAAAUCAGAAUUCACUCAAGUAUUCUCGGUUUAGUAACUUUAAUACAGAUCUUUAUGGAGCAUAUGUGUUUGUUGAAAGCUUAGUUUCUCCCUGAUGCUGUUCAUGGAGUUCAAAGGGACUGGAAUCAAUGAGGUAACAAGGGCUUUUCUAAUUUUCAUCUGCUGAAUUAUUUUUGUUUUACUGAUCUCCCUCCAAUACCACUUAGUUAUCUACACUCACAUUAUUUGCCAAAUGUUUAUGAACUGAUUUUAUUGUUUAUGAUGUAAAACUAAAUCAAUUCAAAGGAGAGUUAUUGCUCAGAAAGCAAUAUAUUAAUAUAGGAUUAGCUUUUCACUAAUUUUCUUUUUUUGCAACCAUAGAGCUUGCAUCAAUUGAAGUUUUUUGUUCUACUUUGCUUUUUUACUUCUAUUGUGUCUUAGGUAGAACAAUGGAACUCUUUUAUUUCUAGCUAAUACAUAUUUUACCUGAUUGAUGCUAUCAUGCUGUCUGAUGGUUGCUUCACUAUGGUAAUUUCUGUAUAUAUUUGUUCAAGAAAGCAAGUAAAUUAACUAUUUUAACGUGGCUAUCUUCUAUUUCUACCCAUAGUUAAUACAUUGUGUUUAAAUGUGCAUCUGCUUUGCCCUCGUUUAUAGUUCAAACACGAAGUUCCUUGGUAAGAACUCAAAAAAUGUAUUCUAGAUAACAAAAGAAGGAUAAAAAUGAAAUCUUUUGAAGCAUUCUUACAUGUAUUCUUAAUGGUCCGUAUGGCAGAGGUCCCAUGGAGCUAUAAUGCAUAGUGCAUUGCAUGGUUUGUCCUACAUUAAAGGUAAGUGCACAAUGCGCUAAAUCUGAAUUAUAUGUAGUAAUUCUGCAAUAAAAGCACUAUAUUCUUGUUGUCUAUCCAAUGUACUUGAUGAAUCUAUCAAUGUUCUUAAGCAUAAAAGGAAACCAAUUUGAAGACAUGUUAGCAUCACAAAUGUAAAUUAAUUAUAUGGAGAAUUACAUCAUGAUAAGCAAUGAUGCUUCCAGCAUCCUAGACAAGAGUGAUAGUCAUUUAAUUUAUCUCCUAUUAAGUCGUCUUUAUCUUCAUUUUAUUUAUAACACUCAACAUCUUCCUCUUCCUUUUUAUCAUCAUAUUUUUAAACUCAUCCUGUUCAUCGAUGAGGCAAACUGCUGAAUUAAAGAAAAGAGGAAGAGAGAUAUUACCUACAUAAGCAGAGGUCGAAGAGAGAGACCUAUGGUAAAAACUGAGAGAGGAGUGUUGCUAGAAAGCUCUGUUUUUGUCCUAGGUUUGGUGCACAUUUGCCCCUUUUCCCCUUUUUGUCUGGAAUUGGGUUUCACAGGUUAUAACCUGUGUUUUUAAACUCGGACCGGACCGGCCGGUCCGACCGGUUGGACCGGGAACCGGUCAAGUGUCCGGUCCGAGUUGAUCAUCAGAACCGGAAGACUAAAAACCCGGUCAACUUCGGUCAAAAACCGGGUUUGACCGGAGAAAACCCGGAAAACCGGUUCAACAUUGCAUUCAAAUAUUGGCCAACCGAAUUGGGGUGUUUGGUCAAUCACUCGCCAAGGACAAGUGUUAAUGACUUAAUGGUGUGACCCUCCUGAUCCUAAACUAAGCUAGUUUGAAAAGCAGCUAUAGCUGGGCCCACACGAAAAAGAUAGAAUAAGGAUGAAAUUGUUGGAAUAGUUCAGGAGCGGCCGGUGAAAUAAAAACACGGCCUCUGUUUCGGAUGUUGUAAAAAAAAGUUCAAAUUUUUUCAAUAUUAUGUUUUAACCCCCUAAAUGGUUAAAACUUAUUAAUAUACAUCAAAUAUUUCAUACUUUAUAAAUAUUAUCCCAAAAUUUGAUGUUAUUUUUUAAUUAAAUUCAUAAUUUUAAUUCUAAACUUGUUAAUAUUUAUUAAAUAAUAGAAAUUGCUACUUGAUUGUUCUAAUUUCUUUUUAUUUUCUUAUUAAAUAUAUUUGAAAUAUCAAAUAUAUAUGAAUAUACCUUUAUUAAUAUUAACAUGCUAUGAGGUAUUUUAUAUAUAAUAUUUUAAUUUUUAAAUAAUUUUUAUUUAUGACGUCAUCCGGUUCGACCCCCUAUCGAACCCGGUUGAACCCAUUGACCCCUGACCCCUGAGCACGACCGAGUCGAUACCCGGUCCGGUUCUGAAAACAUAGGUUAUAACAGAAGAUGUACAGCCAGUUGUUUUACUUGUUAGACUAAAGAUCCACAACACUCAAAUGGCCCAGAUUAGACAUCUCCAAAACUUUAGGAGGCAAGCUAUUUGGCUGUAGGUGGUAUAGCAUAAUUAGCGAGCACUAUUGGUGUCCGUAUACUAUGCACAAACAUAGUAUCUCUAAUUGACAUGGUAGUUUAUUAACUAGGUGUUUGUUUGGAGGUUGGUGGAGUUAGGAAUAGAAUAACUCCAUUUAGAGCUUUUCUACAAAUUUUGAUGGCCAUGAAUAUUUGUGAUCCAGAAAAUUGCCAUUCUGGAUUUUUACUCUAUUACUAUUUUAUUCAGAUGUAUAGUUUGAACCAUAAAAAUUUCCACUUUUUUAUGGGCCUUUCAAAAUUUUGACCCAAGUGCCAUUGACAAAAAGUUAAAAUUGUUCAAUUAAUUAAUCAACAAAGUAUUUCUACUAUAUCAUGGUCUUGAUUAUUUUUGUUUCUAGUGAUAUCUUGAAAAUCUCGCUCUUUCAAACCUUAUCUCUUGCAUUCACACUAGUGUGGGAUAUACACAGAUAUAUUUAUGGAAGCUCUUAAGAAAUUUGUGUCCCCUCUUCAAUGUCUCAGAUUAUUUUCCUUUAGUUUCACAAUAGAAUACAGGAUUGUGUGUUUGCUGAUUGGAAGAAUGUUUAGAUCGAUUCAAAUUGUUUCAUGGCAUUCUUGACUUAAUUAGAAUUCUAUAUUCUCUGAAUGCUAUACCAUUGUCAUAACAAGGUAAAAGGGUUUGCUAAAAGAAGCUGAGCUCAAUAGAUUCUCAACCAAUUUCCAUUUUAGAUAAUUUGAGGGACUAAAGUGUUAAAAGGUUCCAAGCCAUUGAAGUCCACUAAAGUGUUAAAGGUCUUGAUUAUUUUUGUUUCUAGUGUUAUCUUCUGAAUCUCUCUCUUUGAAAGCUUAUCUCGCGCAUUCACACUGGCGUGCGGACAAACACAGUAAGAAAUUUGUGUCCCUCUUCUAUGGCUUGGACUAUUUUCCCUUUAUUUCAUAAUAGAAUACAGGAUUGUGUGUUUACUGAUUGGAAGAAUUUUCAGCUCAAUUCAUAUUGGUUCAUGUCAUUCUUGUCUUAAUUAGAAUUCUAUAUUCUCUGAAUGCUAUACUAUUGUCAUAACAAGGUAAAAGGGUUUCCUAAAAGAAACUGAGCUCAAUAGAUUCUCAACCAAUUUCCAUUUAAGAUAAUUUGAGGGACUAAAGUGUUAAAAGGUUCCAAUUCAUUGAAGUCCACUAAAGUAGGGAUGGCAAUGGGGGCGGGGGGUGGGGCGGGGGCGGGGGGGAAUUUUUUCCCCCCGCUUAGAAACGGGACGGGGGGCGGGGGAGUAUACCCCCCCGCCCCGCCACCCGCAAAACAAAAAAAAAUAUAUAUAUAUAAAUAUAAAUGAUUAUAUAUUAUAUGUAAGUUAAUUAGUUAUAAACUUAUGAUAAUGAUAUUAUUAGUUAGAUGUAUUAUAUAAUGUAUAUUAGUUUAUGUAAUAUAAUUGAUAUUAUCAAUUAUAUGAAUAAUUAUACAUGUCUACUAAUAGAAUUUAUUAAUUAGUUAUACUAAAUUUACUAAUACAUUAAUAUACUAAAUUUCUAAUUACACUUAAUAGAAUAACACUUUUUUCUAAAAAAAAAACACAAACACAAUGAUGAAUUAGUGAUUGCAUUUGUACAAAAAGUGAAAAUUUGACUAUUUUAGUUAUAUUUAUUUCAUCAUAUUGGAUUGUAUUCAAAUAACUUCUGUUUGAUUGUUUUUAUGAGUUUCAAUUGUAAAAUUACAAUGAAUAAUAAUUUGAUGAUGUGUUGAUAUUUUAGUACUUGAUUAUUUAUUAAAAUUUAAUUAUAAUAAAAUUGUAUAAUAAAAUUUUAUUAACCCCACGGGUGCCCCGCGGGAGAAGCGGGGCACGUCCCCCGCCCCGUUGCCAUCCCUACACUAAAGUGUUAAAGGUCUUGAUUAUUUUUGUUUCUAGUGGUAUCUUUUGAAUCUCUCUCUUCGAAAGCUUGUCUCACGCAUUCACACUGGUGUGUGGACAAACACAGACAUAUUUAUGGAACUCUAAGAAAUUUUUGUCCCUCUUCUAUGUCUCGGAUUAUUUUCCUUUAAUUUCCCAAUAGAAUAUAGGAUUCGGUGUUUACUGAUUAGAAGAAUUUUCAGUUCAAUUCAUAUUGGUUCAUGGCAUUCUUGACUUAAUUAGAAUUCUAUAUUCUCUGAAUGCUAUACUAUUGUCAUAGCAAGAUUUAAAGUUUUGCUAGAAGAAACCGAUCUCAAUAGAUACUCAACCAAUUUUCAUUUGAGAUAAUCUGAGGGACUAAAGUGUUAAAGGUUCCAAUUCAUUGAAGUCCGCUUUUAACAUAUGCAAUUGAAUUCAAUAAAUGGCCUAGCAUGUAUUGAGCUGCAACAAACUUCUCUAAAUGCAAUUACCGAUUUAUAGUUCUAGCUAGUAUAUAUAGAUCUCGUGAAUCAAAUUCUUAUCACCCAACUUCGCUCUUUUCCUUCUCUCUGAUCCAUUCUCAUUCGGUUACACUGUUCUAUUUUACUUAUUAGUGGUAAGCAUGCUUGUCUCUACUUUCUUUUACUCUUGUUUUCUAAUUGUAUAAUUAGUUUUCUUCUCUAAAAAGUCUUUACUUCCUUUUUGUUUUCCACUGUAAUUAAUUAGCAAUUCUUUUCAGAGGAGUUGCAAGUAACGUCAUCAUUUUUUCCCUAAUUUUUUUUUCGUCUCUCAACAUUUAUUGUAUGUUGGGGGUGUCAAACAGCACUAUGACAGCAAUAUUUUGUAAAGAACUUAACAUUUUAUUAUUUGGUUUCAUGCUCAUGGAUUGUUAAUGAUGACGUUUUGUUUGAUUAAUUAGAUAAUCACUAUAUAUCUAUUUGUUUAAGUAAAAGUGUUUGUAUAUGAUGUAGCUAAUUUUGGUAGAAUAUAUUGAAUCAUGCGUCAAAGCCUGUUGUUUGCCUUGCAGGAAUUAUAAUAUCUUGAUCAUUAGUUAGUUAACUUUGCCAUUCAUUUUGGUAAUUACUUUUUCUUUGUUGGUUACCUCAUCUUCUUUCUCUCUGUAUUAUAAGUUGCAUUUUCUUCUCUCUCUGUAGAUGGCUGACGCCCCUUAUGACAUAGUUGUGUACUACAAGAAUGAAAAGGCAAUUAUUAGGAAUGUGAACCCUAACAACUACUCUUUUCUCCAUCUUGUGAAUGAAGUCUGUGAAGCUGCAAUUCAUGAUGCACCUGGGAAUGAGAGCAUUAUGAUAGACCUUAGUUGUGAGUUUCUUGGUACAUCACGUAUGCUGGAUGUGUCCAGUGAUGAAGAUACGAGACUCAUGUUUUUCAUGUAUAGAAAAAUCAGAGUCAUCAAUCUACAUGUGAAAAUAAGUAAUGUUGCUCCUCUGAUUGUAUUAGAUGAGAGUGCACUGAAUUUGAACGAUAAGAUAAACAUGAAUGAUGGUGAUAGAAAUGCCAGUCAUGAAAACCUUGCUUCCGACCUUGGCGUUGUGAAUGAAGAUAGUGAUAGUGGCUCAACGGGAAGAGUAAAUCAAGAUUGAAGAGUCAACCAUGAGGCCAAUGCUGCACCAGAUAAUGAAUGUUGAAGAUCACAAUUAUGUAUGUAAUUACUUGUAUGAAGAGGUUUGGUUUUGAUGUGAUAUAUGAUUAUAGGCUUGGAUGGUGAAAUGAAAUUCUCACAUAUAAAUGAGGAAGAACAGUUCCUAUUAUGACUCAUUGGAUUGCUAGGAAUAUAAUGAGUCUAAUACAAGUGACUAUCUGCUUAAUGAUAUGAAAAUGAAUAUGCCAUGUUAAAGUAAUUAUAGGAAAAGAAAUACAUUCAGAGUCUCUUUACACUUCUACUUGACUUGGUAUAUUGGUCUACUAGCCUAAACGAGUACUUACAGUUACAUCUAACUAUGGGCUACGUAAUCCUCUUCUUCCUACCUAGCUUUUCGUGACCUCUCCCUUAAACAAUAUGAGUGGCAUUGUUGAGCCAAAUACAUUCUCAAAUCCCAAAAAACUUGAUAGACAACUAAUGCAAUAAAAAGUAUGAACAAUAAUUAGCACUGAUUAAGAUUUGAAGUUCAGAUCCAUAUAGAUAAAACUUGAAAUUUACGCGUAAGAAAUUCAGCUUGUUAGAGAUUGACUUGCUAAAGCCUCACUUGAGUGAGGAGUGAGGCUCAAACAGAAUAGUAAGCCUUUUAGAAUAAAAGUUAAGCUAACCACUGAGUUUUGGCUCAUUGGCUACAAAAAAAGGACGAAGGGCUUUUUUGUGAUGUAGGUCAGGGGGUUUGAACUCUACAUGUAGUAAUCUGCAAUAAAAAAUUUCGAAAGAAAUAUCAGAGUAUCCCUUUAAUCUAAGUCAGUUUUGUAUACCUAUUUGUAUGUUUUGAAAAAAAUUCAAAAGAAAUGCUAGAGCACCAAUGCACCCCUUUAUACUAAAACACAUCCUUGUGUACUAACUCCUUAUAUGCCCAACUCGGGAUAGCUCGAAUGGUUCGUUGCUCCUCUUUAGGAUAUGGUGACCACGGUUCGAGUCCCCGGAAAUAACGCGUUUGAGGGGAUAUUGGGCUUCUCCUCUUUGACUGCAGGGGGAAUAGUCAGGCCGAAAACUCAGAUACCCCUGUAUCGAUAAAAAAAAAAAAAAAGUAUACUAACUCCUUGUAGAGCCUUUUAUACAGAUGACAUAAGAAGGCAUUCUUGAAUAUUUUGCAGUAGCAAUAGAUGCAACGGAAUUUUUUUUUUUUCGCCUACUUCUCCGGCCCAUUACUACAAUUCUUGACCCACAUGCGUUGAGCCUAAGCCCACUAUAAUUUUAUGUGGCCAGAGCAUUGGACAUAAAAUAACCCACUAUUCGAAUUUUGGAAUAUACGAUUGUCUUGUAAACCACUCUAAAUACUCCAUUUUAAAAAAAAAAAAGAAACUCCAGAUUAUGUUACAUAAAAUAUAUGUAAAUACAUACAAAAAAUUUAGUAUUCCUCUUUUGGACUUCCAUUUCUAGAUAACUUUUCAUCGUUUUGCCCUCUAGCUGAAUUUUUUAAUCAUUAUUUAUUUGAUCAUACAUUUUGUCAAAUUAAAGACGUAGACUUAGGCAGAUAACUCUUAUGCCAUCCCUGUUUAGAUUGUUAUUUUGGAGAGUUUUUGCAGAAAAAUGUACUGUAACGAUUUGAUACAUGUGAAAUAAAAAGUGAUUGGAAAAUAUAUUUAUAAAAAAUGUAAUAAUUUUUUUUUUCAAAAAAUCACAAUUCAAACAAGGAAUCAGCUCACAUGUACUCAUAUUCAUAUUUCACUUUUCAGAUUUGAAAUAUAUACUUCUAGAAUUUCGUGCAAUUAGGGUGAUUUCAAAGUUUUUCAAUAUUACUUGACCGCCAAUUUGCCAAAUCUUUUUCAACCUAACGUUCGUAACUUUUAUACCUCAAAUGCUUAGACAUUAAUUUUUCAUUGAAAAAAUUUUAGUUCCACGCUACACAAAACACAAAAAAGAAAAAUGAACUACAAUAUCUACCUUAAUUUCAAUUAUGCCAAUUUUUUCUGAUAGAAAGCAAAUUUCAUUAACAGAUUGUUGAAAAUUAAUUGUCCAACAUGCUUUAAUUUAUAUCGCUGCCCCAAUGACAAAUUAAACAUACACUAGAAAUUACAAAUAUAUAAUUUAACAAAUACAAUAGAUCUAAAAAAAUCAAGAACAAACCUGAAAGGUACAACAAAUUUUAAAAUCGUCUUCCAAUAGAUAAAUUGCUGCACUUCCUUUUUCUCUUCAAAUUUACAGUAUCUAUUCUUUAUUUCUGUUCUUUGAAAUCUACGUAUGUUCGAUGAUAUAACUUCUAUUAUUAGUGUAGAUGUUGAUGGAAUUGUGAUUUUUUUUUUUUUUUUGAAAAAAGCCCACAACUUGUCCAAGGCAGUGGGCCACUUGUUUAACACAGCCUUUGUGCAGAUGGCCAUGGCAGGAUCAGGUAUCAAUGUGCAGAUGGAUUUGGGGCAGGGACGGUCAUCAAUAUGACCAUCCUGCACAGUUAAGGAUCAAGAUUGGCCCUCAAAAUUUUGUACGAUUAAAAUUACAUCAUGUAACUCGAUUUUCGCAUUAAGUGUGGGGUUCACUACUAUCUGUUGUGAAAAUAUAUCCUGUGAAAAAAAAGUUACACGAUAUACAAAAAAAUUACGUCCAAUUAAUAAUGAUUACAAUUAGCAGAGACGGUUGCACCUGCAACCGUCCGUGCCUCGAGUCCAUGUGCAGAUGGCCAUGGCAGGAUCAGGUAUCAAUAGUUAUCAGUAAUAAUCGUUUUAAAUGAUGUAUAAUUUUACAUGAAUUAUUUAUAAAAUUUAAUAAUAGAGAUAUAAUUAUUACUUGUAAUAUAUCAUAUGUCUGGUAGGAGGAUGCACGGAAAGUCUAGGUAGAGUUACAAAACGUGACAAAAAUUACACGGUUCAGUGUCAACCAAACCUGCCCCACUUCCGGCCAUAACUGAGACAACUUCUCAGAACUUGACACUCUGAAAAGAAAGAACCCCUCUCUGGAGCUCUCUCUUCGGACCUCUCGUUGCUCUAGAACCCCUUCAGAAUGCGAGAAAGAACCCGAGAAAAGAAAAUCAAUACCAGACCCGAACCCCAAUUCCAGCCAAUUAUCAGCUGUAUUCCUGAUGAUAUUUUGCUUCAAAUAUUCACAAGGCUUCCGGUCAGAUCCCUGGGGAGGCUCAGCUGCGUUUCGAAAUCUUGGCAUUCCUUGAUCUUCAGCCCCAAUCUCGUCAAAUCCCAUUACAAAAGAUGCACGGAAGACAAGGAAAACGAGCAUCAUAGGAUCAUGUUCUUUAAGGUUGAGCUGGAACAUGAUGAAAGGCUCGGGUACGGGUCCGAGCUCGGGGUCAACUUUAGGCUCAGGCAGUUUGGGUGUUCCCUUCAUAGUGCUUUUUCCUGUGUGGUACCCAAGAAAAUUGAGGUAACCAGCGGCUUUAUUGGUAGUAUUCCUGUUGAAAAAUUCAGGUAUUAUAGAAACAAGGCUUGGGGUUGUUGUCAUGGGUUGGUUUUGAUCAUGGUUGAGCGAGAAAGUAUGUUGUUGUGGAAUCCUGCUACAAGAAAGUACAGAGAGUUGCCUGAUUCUGGGAUUAGAAAGGAGCAUAAGUUACCUGGCUCUUCUCGCUUGUCAUGUGGGAUUGGUUAUGAUGAGUCUAAUGAUGAUUUUAAGGUUCUUGUACUUUCCUCAGUUGGUGGUACGCGGAAUGAGACUCUGGCUAAGGUUUAUAGCUGGAAGACGGAUUCUUGGAAGAAGAUUGAAGAUCUUAAGUACUCUUUGAUUGAGCUAGGCGGCUGUUAUUAUCUGAAUGGGAUUUUACACUUUAUUGCAUAUGAUCCUCAAAGUCGCGGUACUUGGAAUAUGGCUUCUGAGCGGAAAAUUGUAGGUUUUGAUUUGGCGAAUGACAUUUUUAAACAGAUAGAACUCCCUGAAGAAUUGAUUACCAAAUGUACGUGGAAAAUAGGAACAUUAAGAGGAUGCCUCUCUUUGUUCGUUUAUUCUGGAGGCAAUCAGGUGGAUGUAUGGCUCAUGAAGGAGUAUGGAGUAAGAGAAUCUUGGUCUAAAGUGGUUGUUGCUCCUUUUUUUCAAGAUCCUCAUGGUACUGUGUUCAGCAAGCCUUUGAUUUUAUCAGAGAAUGGUCGGCUUUUGUUUGUGACUGCGCCAAGACCAAAGUUGGGAGUUUAUGAUCCAAAUGAGAAUUCACUCCACUAUUCUCAGUUUAUUAACUUGGAAUAUCCUUAUGAAGCAGAUGUGUGUGUUGAAAGCUUAAUUUCUCCGUAAUGCUGUUCAUGGAUUAAAAGGGACUUCAACCAUAAAGGUAAUUAGGGCUUUUCUAAUUUUCACCUGCUGAAUUAUUUUUUUAUUGCUGAUCUCUGUCCAGUAACACUUAAUUUUCUGCACUUACAUUAUUCACUAAAUUUUUACUGUCUGUAUGACAUAAACAAAACCAUCGGAAUGAGAAGUAUUGCUGAGAAAGUAUGCAUUGAUCAAGGAUUUGCUUUUCUAUAUUAUUUGCUUUAUUCCAACCAUAGGGCUCAGAUUAAUUGAAUUUUCUUGUUCUGCUUACUUCUUUACUUGUUUGUGUCUAAGCAAAAAGAAUGGAACUCUUUGAUUUCUAACCAUUAUUGUAUUUCCUGAUACUUUGGACAUUCUCAUCAAUGAAAUUCACAAAACUCAUUCCAGGAAAUGUUUUUCUUGUGCUUCAUAUGUAUCUUUAAUUGAUGCUAUCGUGGUGUAGAUCAUUGAUUCAUUUUGAUAGUCUUCUCUGUUUAUUUGUUCAAGAAAGCAAAUAAAUUAACUUUUUCCUAACAUGGCUGUUUUCUUUUUCUGCCCAUAGUUAAUACAUUAUGCUCAAACGUGUAUCUUCUGUGCCCUUUUUUAUAGUUCAAACCCAAAUUGCCUUUUAAGAACUCAACCAGAAAAAUGUAUUCUAUAGGAGCAAAGAAGCAAAAAAUGAAAUCUUUUGAAGCAUUCUUAGCAUAUUUCUUAAUUGCCCAUAUGGCAGAGGUCGUUUGGAGCUAUACUGCAUAGCACAUUUCACUGUUUGUCCUAUAUUGAAGGGAAAUGCACAAUGCACUAAAUCUGAAUUUUCCUUAUGUAUAUAAAUACAUAUUCUGCUAUAAAAGCACUAUGUUCCUGUUGUCUGCCAAAUGUAUUUGAUGAAUCUGUCAAUGUUCUUAUGCAUAAAGGGAAAGAAAAUUUAAGACACGUUUGCAGUACAAACAUAAAUCUAAUCAAUAUAGAAUCAUGUUAUAAUAAGCAAUCCAACAUCCUAGACUAGUGUGAUAGAAUCAUGUCAUAUGCAUCCAACAUCCUAGACUAGUGUGAUAGUCAUUUAAUUUAUCUCCUAUGAAGUCAUCUUCAUUGUCAUUGGACUUAUAACACUGAACAUCUUCCUCUUCCUUUUUUCAUCAUGUAUUUAAACUCAUUCUCUUCAUCAAUGGGGCAAACUGUUGAAUUGAAGAAGACGAGCAAUAAGAGAGAUAUUACCUACACAAGCAGAGGUUGGAGAGCGAGAACUGUGGUAAGAAAUGAGAGGAGUGUUGCAAGACAACUCUGGUUUUUUCCUUCAAUGUGCCGCAGAUUUGCCCCUUCUUUUUGUUUGGAAUUGUGAAAUUGUGUGUAUUUGGGUUUCACGGGUCACAACAAAAGAAGUACAGCCAGUUGAUUUAAUUGUUAAAGAUCCAUGGGGCCAGAUUAGACAUCUCCAAAACUUUAGGAAGGCAUGCUAGUUAGUGGUAGGCACUAUAGCGCAACACUAUUGGAAAGUCCCUAUACUAACACUGAACUAGUUGAGGAUGUAGCCCAUGUUUAAUAGCUAUGUUUCUUACUUAAUCAUCAAUAUCUCUUGUUGACAUGGUAGAUUAUGAACUAGGUGUUUGCUUCGAGGCUGCAGGAAUCAGGAAUGCAAUAACUUUAUUUAGAGUUUCUCAACCAAUUUUGAUGCCCCUGCAAUAUUUGUGAAUCAGAAAAUGCCCUUUUUUGGAUUUUUCACUUGUCACUAUUCUAUCGAGAACUAUCUCUUAACCUUUAAAAUUAACCAUAUUACUAGGGGUGUAGCGAUAUUUAUAUUUACUACGGCACAGUUUUAAUUAUUUUUAUUUCUAGUGAUGUCUUAAAAAUCUCUCUUUGGAAGCUUAUCUUGUGCAUUCACACUAAAUAAUCCAACCUUGCUCAUCAGUGAAGUCCACUUUCAUGGUAAUUCCCAUUCGAGAAAAUCCUAAGAUGUUGAAGGUGUCAAUUUAUUGAAGUCCACUUUUAACAUAUAUGCAAUUGAAUUUAAUGAAUGACUUAGCAUGUCAAGGUGCAACAAUUAUUGUAAAUGAAAUUGCCUGUUUACCAUAGUAAGAAAUGAGAGGAGAGUUAAGGUCACUGCUUUUGUCCUUGAAAUGCCACACAUGUGCCCCUUCUUUUAGUCUAGAAAUGUAAUGAUUUUAUGUAACAGGGUUGCAUGAGUCACAAAUUAAGAUGUACAACCAGUUGGUUUAAUUUUUUAGGCUAAGAUCCACAAUAGUCAAAUAGCCCAGAUUAGAAAUCUACAAGACUUUAGAAAAGCAUGCUAUUCAGCAGUAUCUGCUAUCACACACAUGCUGAGUGCUAUUCAAAAGUCGUUACGCUGUACACUAUAGCACUGAACUACAUUAGGGAUGUAACCUGCUAUUGACAAUUAUGUUUGUUGUUUUGUCCCUUUAUCUCUAAUUGGCACCUAGUUCUUAACCAGGUGUUUGUGGAGGGUAUGGGAAUUAGAAUUUGAUGGCUCCAUCCAGGUUUUUUUUACAUGUUGAUGCCCUUGCAAUAUUUGUGAACAGGUUUACCAUUUUUCUUUUUUUUUUUUUAAAGUGCAAGUGGGAGGGUUCGAACCCAAGACCUGCCACUUACACUCCUUCCCCCUGAACUACCCAACCCAUCCCUCCCCCCGUGUGAAUAGGAUUACCGGUUCUCUGUUUAUCAAAGAGAAGUGGAUUACAGGAAAUCAACUUUUGUUUAAACAUUAGAAGGGAAACAGAAAGGGUCCUAUCUUUGCUUCAGCAAUUGUUGCAUGAUCUGUAAACUUCUAAAAAAUAUCUGCUAGUCAUCGGUUUUAUUUGGGGUUGGUCAACAGUUGAAUUUGGGGUUGGUCAACUAGUCAUUGGUUUUAUUCUCUUGCUGCUCGAGAAAUCCUGUCUAUUUCAAUUUAUCCUGUUCAAAUGAGACAACUUCUAAGAACUUGACACCAGACCGUUAUCUUGUUUCAGACAUGUUUGGGACUAAUUCUUUGGUCAUAGGUACUGGCUAUCCAGCUGAGGCUGUAAAUUAUCCAUAACAGCAUUCAGUUGUACCAUGCCCUCGUAAUUGUGUUUCCUACUUAAAUGAACAUCAACCUUUCCUGAUGUAUCUUUCUCAACAUGAAUGUCUAAUCCUGGUUUUCUAUCCAGAUUAUGCACAUCAGUAACAUCUGUGGUUGCUAUAUCCCCAGUCAGAGCAAAAGAACCCUCUCCUGCUGCCAUUGAUGUUGAAUAUCCAAUAUAUCCAUGUUUAGCUAGAGCAUGUUUCACUGCAUGGACUACAGAGUCAGAACGGUCAUGAAGUUUAACUGCUAGUUAUAGUAAAGAACAUUUUGCGAACUUCAGGUAGUUAUCUAGUUUGGCUAACUGUUUACCAUUUUUGGAGGACAUCUUUGGACAUUUCGCAUCUACAAUUGACUUCAUCCUUAGCAAUGUAGACUUUUCUGAUAUGUAAGGCUGGAAGAGAAGUUAAUAUGUCAUGUUAAAAUGAUCAAAAGUUAGAAAAUAUUAGCAGCAUUUCUGUUCAAGCUUGUAUGAAGUAGAGUUGAAUCAAUAUGCUUUAGACUUUUGAGAAAUCCCCUUGAACAAGUGGUGUUGGACUAGGUAGAUAAAUUAAUCUUGAGCAUUGGUGUUGGACAUAUUGUAUAAAUAUCUUUGAUAUAUACAGUUACUCAGCUCCGGCUAUCAUGCACUAACUGGAAUAAAUUACCACACAAUGAUUGGACUAAGAUUCUUGAGAACCGUUUUGAAGAAACAGCGAGGGAAGUUUGAUGAGCUACAUGAUGAAAUGAAGUACCUUCUUGGAGCUUCAGUCAACGAAGUAGGAAUAUUGAUUUUCUCUCUUUCUGGCUUCUGCGUGCGAAAUGGUAGAAGACUCGACCAAAGAUUCAAAGAACUGGAGGUUGCGCUUUUUCCUCCCUACAAGAUUUUUGAGAAACUCUAAUUUUUUACUCCUUUAUUGGCAUUAUAUCGACCUCAGUACUUGAAAUCAGAAAUCAUGUAUUGGUCUCAUUCCAGUGUACAUUUUCUUGAAUCGGUUGACCUCUUUGAAAUUUGAUCGAAAGAGAAAUUUCUUGGCUAUCAUUCUUAAACCUAUCAGACAUACAUCUUAUCUGGUGAAUUCCUCAAUGUCCAGAAUCCAACACAUUUUCCAGCAAUUCAUGCAUUGGAAACUUGGGGUUGAUUGGAUUUCCUUGAAAAACAUAGGUGGAGAAUUUGAGGGGCCACCGUCAAUGACCAAUAAAUAUUUUGUUUAUCAAUUUCUGAGAAUUUUUCUGCACCUAAAAUGGUAAAAUUUUACAUACAAUCUGAAACAUUUUAUAAGCAGAAAUGAGAAUUGAAUAUGACUUGCAGUGACAAGUACAACAUGCAAAUUCACAUUAUUCUCCUCUCUCCAAUGGCACCUCACACAAAAAAGUAUGCAACGUAAAAGAACACCACUUGUUGGUAAAUUUUGAUAUCAAGGGCUAGGAGUAAACUAUUAAAUAACACUAUUGAUCUUUUUCCUUGUAUGCAAGUAAAUGUCUACCCUUUUGUUUUCUUCACAAAAAUAAACAAUUUUUACAUUAAUUAAACUAGAAGAAGAGAGAAAAUCAAGGUGGAGAAAAUGUUCAAGUCAAAGUUGCAAGAAUUGUGUCACCAGAAAAAAUGGGCUCUGCCAAUAUAUUCAUGCAUCAAGGAUGGAGCAGAGCAUAGCCCACAAUUCAAAGCUUCAGUUGUUGUUAAUGGCAUCAACUUUGAUUCACCUAGCAUUUCUAAGUCCUUGAAAGAAGCACAUAAUGAGGCUGCUAAAUUGGCUUUCCUCCACUUCACUUCUGGUGACUUAUCAAGAAAAUUUUAGAAUCUUCUUGAGUUUUGUGUGAAUUUGUUUCCUGUUUUGUUUUAUCAUUCAAUGUGAAAUAGUUGUGGCAGAAUACAAUAUGUCAGAUUUUGACAUUGAAAUUUCAGGGCUAAAGGACAUUAAAUUUAAGAUGCAAUUAGAUGAAACAAUUUUUUGCUACUAGCACAAUCAAUUGAGCUCAGAGAUUUUCAGUAUUAAAAGUUUUUUCAUCCAAAUUGCUAUGAAUUAUGUGCUAGGACUCUGUUUCAACAGAGCUUCAUGUAAAAUCAAAUUAUGUGACUUGCUUUAAGUAUCAUUUCGUAUAGACAACUUUUUUUUUAAAAAAAAAUUUCAAGUCAUGAAACGUUGGUGAAAGUCAGGAUUAAACACGUAAAGAAGUCUAACUAAUGUGGAUCAAUUGUGGUUUAAGUCCCAAUAUGUCUGUGUCUAAUUAGAAAUAUGCUAUUAACAGAAAUUAAAUCCACAAAACUUGAUUUCUGAGCUAUGUUAUUGCUAAUUGAAAGCCUAAUAUUUAAUUGGAGAGAAUAUCUAAUGUAUAAUAUCUUGGAGUAGACCAUCUUUCAAGUUGAAAUUUCCAGAAAGUUUUGCCUAAAAUAUUUCUGACUCUUAGCCACAGCAAUUCGCUAAGCUGUAGCAUUUUUUGUGCAUCUUUAACGUUUUUCACAUUUCAUGAAAUGUAGAUGAAAAAGCUAUUGUUGAAGGAUCAAAGACUGAACGAAGGUUGAAGGGCAGAGAUAUUAAUUCAAAUGCUUUGAGCAAUGAAGCUGGUAGGAAAAUUUAUCUCCUUUGCCUUGCUUCAGACACUUCUCUCACUUGCCUGCCUUAAUUGAUCCUUUUUUACUUUGAUUUCCUGUCAUUCUAAUCCCUUUCUUAGCUUCAUAUCCAUGUGAAUGACUUGAUUUAUUUUCUAAAUUUGUACCAGUCCAAUGUUGUUAACAUUUUAGUAAUGGUGGAUGAUAAAUCAACUAAUGCAGGUCCAGACAUCGAACAAGCACUGAAGGAUGGGGCUAUAAAUAGUAGCGAAGAUGGUAAGGAAGUCUGUGACCUUUGUCCCACCUUGCAUUUUACAUAUCUUUCCAAACUUUUUCAUCCAACUUUUGGAGGUCCUUACCGAUUAUAUUCUUACUUUUAUGGUAUCUUUGGUGGAAACAGCUUGAUUUUUUUUUUAAUUCCAUAGUCAAAACUAUGAUGAGAAGUUUACAUUUGCUUUGCAUGAAAUGAUCCUUUCAUCUAUAUAAUUAGGAUGUGGUCAACUAGAAUGCACUCUAUUGUCCCCAGAAAUUGUUCUUUCAUAUGUUUGAAAUUAGUAUGUUGUAUUCUGCUGUUUUUAGACAGCUUUCUUGAAGUUAAAUUUCAUCUCUGCCCAGCCACUUCAAAGUGCUCACCUGCAAUCUCAUUGGUGCUUCAUGCUUGCAGAAGUGCAACAAAAUUACAAGAGGAAGCUGCAGAAGUAUGCUCAGACAAAGAAACUUGAUUUUCCUUUAUACCGUACUAAGAGAGUGGAGCAAUCUGAUGCUCUUUGCUUCACAGCGAAAGUUUUAGUUGGUGAAGAUAUCUUUGAAAGUCCAGGAUUCUAUGAGACUACAAAAGAUGCAGAGGAUGCUGCUGCACAGGCUGCACUAACAUCGCUGACAAUGGAUGCCUUUCGCAAGGUAAGUUAUCAUUGGAUUCUCAAUUCUACCUUCUAAUUCUUUCUAAAGGGACAGUUGUUAAAAUAAGUAGUACGGGAGGAGGUGGCAAUAAAGAAAUGUAUUUCAUCAUUAUUCUAUUGUCCUUAGUCCUAUCUGUUCGCAUCUGUGUUAACCUUUUUGCUUUGUAUUUAUGAAGAGUGAUGAUAAUAUGUACAAGAAUCUGCUGCAAGAAUUUGCUCAGGAGAAUGGGUUUUUCUUGCCAAAAUACAAAACUAUGAAAUCUGGUGAGGAUCAUAAGUCAACAUUCUUCUCAACUGUGGAAGUAGGAGGAGAAAUUUUCCAUGGGAAUCCGGAGAAGUCCAAGAAGCUGGCAGAGUUUAGUGCUGCAAAGAUUGCACACACUGCUUUAAUGCAGGGUAAGUGACUCCUGCAACAUUAGUUCUUUUGCUUAUUACAACAUAUGGAACUUUUGGGAAACUAAGAAUCAUAACUACUUUAUAAAUUCAAGUAAAACUAAGCAGCCUCUGUUGCUUUUUUUUUUUUGAGAGGGGGGGGGGGGGGGGGGAGGGUACAAAGAUCAGCUAACAUAUACUAUAUCCUUGUGUAAGAAUUUUUGUUAAUAUGUUCAACUUCUCUCACAAGCUUAACGAUAUAACUAAUGAAGACUUUUAGUGGCAUAUUACCACAUGACUUCUGCUGAAUGGGAAUUGGGAAUCUCAACUACAUUGUAUUUGCAAGCUUAAGUUACUGUGUUUUAUUGUUAUAAUCUUUUGCUUGAACCUAGGUUUAUAGACGAUAUACAUAUAUAUACCUUAUGAAGUCCUGUCAAAUAUUGAACUGGUUGAAUACAUAAGGAAAACCAGGAGACGCACUUGAAGGUAAUUCAACUCUGAUAUUUGUUUAUCUUGGAUUUACAGCAUGCCUUGUGCUUUCUUGACUGAUUAAGUCUUCCCUGAUUCAGGAAAAUCCUGUUUGUUGGAUGACAAUACAUCUCUUUCCUCAAAGGAUGACAUUCUUGAAGUUGCUCCUAGCUUGGACUCACUCACCAUUGGUGAUCAGCAAAGGAACUCCAAUCCUGGAACUCAGGCUGAUGAAAGCAAAGGUUAAAUCAUUUGUAAUCUAAUUUCACUGGUUUCGUACCUGUUUAUUUCACAAACUCUUGCUCUUUCAUAUUUCAUUUUAAGAUUAAGGUUGGAUGAGAUAAUGGAUAAUUUCACUAUCUAGCAGAUGAAGAUGAAGAGACUGAUUCCAGCAAUCAUGAAUUUACAGCAAUCAUGAAUUAUACAUGAUAACAAAAUUGAUCAGAUGUUCUCUGAAGCCCGACUUAAGUGUGCUACUUAAGAACCAAUUGUGUUAAAUAUACUAUCAUGCCUUCUUACAUUUGCUUCGCGCUAACUGCAGAUUCUUCAAGCAAGAAGACUACAGAAGAUAUCAAUACAUACCUGCUAUGUAACAGGGUCAGAGUGUAUACAUGCAUUCCAGAGAUGAUCUUUUCCAAGGGCAAUGUAGCACUACCAAUUGCUGAGGGCAAGUGGGCAGUCGUGAACUUGGAGUUCCCCAAUGAAAAAGAUGCAUAACCAUUACUUCCUAUUAUGUAACUUGGUAUAAUUAAUUUCUGUUACUAUCUAAUUAUUCAAGUGAAACUAACCGCAGUUCAAACAAUUUGACUGAUAAUUUGAUAUGCAGCAUAUGCGCUGCAAUCUGCAUUUCAAAACAAUGAAUAUUUGCUCAGAUGGAUGAGACUAAAAUAGGCCCAAGUUGCAGAGAGGAUAUACAUUAAGUGCAUUUUCUGAUAUAUUGUGCAUUUGCCAAAACCAAGAUGCUCUUGAACUUCUUGCAAUUAGGGAACAGCUUUAUGCCUUUUGCAUCAACAUGACAUAUCUUUUGUGCAGACUUAGGUAAAGUUUGCAGAAAAUAAAAACAAACAAUGGUCCUUGACAUGCCCCCCAUCCUUUGGGAAAUGAAAGGGAGAGUAAAUCAUCAUAUAAAGUCAGAGCCAUGAUAAGUUCACGAAAGAGUUUCAACAACCUCAUUGAAGCAAUAAUAUGUUCUUUUAUAUAUCUUGUUCAACUUGAGAGCGUAAAAUAGAAUAGAAAUAUCAAAUUCAAUAUUUCUUUUUAUUGGACAUUCAUCGAGUAACUUUAGAGCCAUUCUCUGGGAAUCUGUCAGUCUGCAACCCAAAUUUUUUUAAAGAAAAAGAUCAGAACUAAAAGUAAGUUAAUAAUAUUUUUGUAAGGAGUGACAACAGUGAAUCCACAAAAGCUAACAAAAAAGGAUGCACCAUACCAUAUAAUAGAUCAAAUCAUGAAUGUAGACUUCUUGUAUACAAAAAAAAAAAAGAAAGAAAGAAAGUGCACAAAAUUAUCAUCCUUUAACCGCUUCAUAUAUGCAAAACAAUCGAUGAUAUGUGUGUCAAUAUAACCAAAAAAUAAGCUCAAAAGUUUUUUUUUUAAAAAAAAGACAUCAAUUAUCAAAAUUUCGAAAACCUAGAACAACGAAGAAAUUAUGAAAUUGAUAUGGUAAAAAAGCCAGUACCAUUAGAGAAUCUGCAAAACAGUUAUGCAGAAAAUAAUAAAUAAAACCUUCUCAUAGACUUGGCAAUGCAAUCUGUGACAACUAAUAGGGAUGAUUGUAUAGUCAAAGCACAUAAAUAGAACUUAAGAUGAAAAGGAUACCUUUAUAUUGAAAUUUUGAUUUGAAAAAAUAGAUUUUGACCGAUGAUGAAGAUAAGAGGUUUACAUAGUUGUGACUUGCUGAAGAUGAGAAAGCGUCAAAGAAGCAUGAGUAAGAAUUUUGUUUCAAGAAGCUUAUUGAUAAUUGAAAAAAUAAUAAUACAACAAAUCUAGAAUGAGAAAAUAAGGGUAAUCAACUAAACAAACUUAUAGGAUAAGGAAGACUAGCCUGAUAAGGAUAAUCCAGAUUAUAAAUUUUGAAAUUUUCAAAUAGAGAAUUUGUUAGGUUGUUGUUUGAAACUUGAAAGACAGACCAAGUGAUGGAGUUUAUGGAAAAGCUACUUGGAUUAGUGGAUAGAAAGAGAAAGAUGAAAAAGAUUAGCAAGCGGGCGUUUAUUUUUAGAGCACGUUGUAAUUACAUGCUUUUUCAUUAAGUUAAGUAGGAAAGAUAUAUAAAUAUAUAUAUAUACACACACAUGAUGCGAGUUGAAUUUGGAACAUCACUUCAUCGUGUAAAAGAGAUGACAAGGAUUAUAAGAUAAAAAAUUAAAUUUUUAUAUACUACUCCCUCCGUCCCAAAAAUUUCGUCGCACUUAGAAAACAGUGUGUUUUUUAUGAAUAGUUCCAGCACAAGUGAGUUGCUUACCAUUUUGUCCCUCGCCCAAGCUCUUCAUGUAAAUGCACUGGGGAUCCGAUAUUGAUGCUAAUUCAAAUUAAAAGCCUAAAGAACUACUGGAGGUAGGACCAGAACUUUUGUUUUGUUUGCAUAUGUCUUGUGCGUGCUUUGCACGCUGAAGUUUCAACCAAGUUCCUUUUGGUUUUUCACUCCACGCAUAUAUUCAUAUGAACUUUUGAAGCACGUGAAUACUGAACAAGUGGGUUCAAAGGGCACACUUCACUUGAUUAUUGUGGGGACCAAAAGGGUAAAAGAGUGAAAUUGAAUAAAAAGUCUUUACUAUAUUUAGUAAGUGACAAAUAUUUUGGGACAGCCCAAAAAGGAAAGCAUGACACUUUCAAUGGGACGGAGGGAGUAUUAGUGUAGAAUUUUUUUUUUACACUAUUAAUUUUAGAUAUAUGUCACGUGUAGAAAUUAAAUUUAAAAGUUGAAAUUAAAUAAUGUACUCUAUAAGAUGAAACAACAUGGGGUCAAUCUUUUAUCUUGUGCCUUCAUGCACAGAGUGGUAGAAUCCAACUUUAAAAAAAUGGUGAUGGGAAAUCAUAUGAUGGAGCCGUUAGUUGACGUGCCCAAUUUGCAGCACUACGAUAAGUUUGGUAGGGGAGAACUGGUAGAAGAAAUUAUUUUUUAUUCCUUUUUCAAGACGAGGAGAAAUUGAUAUAGUUUGAAUCGGAAUCCAGCUUUAUUUGGAGAAUAAAUUGGAUUCGAAAAGGAAGAGAAAAGAAAAGGAAAAAAGGGGGCACCUCAAUCAUCUAUAUAAAUAUGAGAUGAUGAGCAAAAGAUAAAAAUGUAAAGCAAAAGGUAGAUUACUUUAGAAUAAAGGUAAAGUAAAUUUAUCCAUUUAAAAGUACGAUAGGAUUCCGGAUAAGACUAUUCAAAACAUAUAUAAAUAUGUUGUAACCCAAGCAUUUAUUAUUCUCAAUUACUUGCAUAAUUCCUACUUUCCUAGCUUCCAAAAUCUAAAGCUUUUUAGACACGAAAAAAGGAGAAAAAAAAAAUCAAGAAGAUCAAUAUGGGUAGCUGUGAAGAAAACAUGGCUGCUUGGCUAUAUGGUGUUAAUGAUCUCAGAGUCCUGCCAUACAAACUCCCUGCCCUUGGUAAUUCAUCUCUUUGGUUUUUUUUUUUCAAUUUGUUGAUAAUUUUAAUUUGUGUUCCUUUGAAUCUGUUCUUUCCUAAUUUACCAGAUGAAUUAUUGUUAAUUAGUACUUUCCCAUGAGAAUCUGUUCAUGACAGUAUUUUAGCAAUCCUUCAAAAUACCAAAUUCUAUUAGGUGAAGAUAUUGAAAUGUUUUUUUUCCCAGUCUAUUAUUCUUUUCUUUUUUGUGAAUAUGCAUUGUUUCAUUUUUUUUUUUGGGCUAAUUUUUUUUUUUUUAAUUUUGUUCUAGGUCCUCGUGAUGUUAGGGUCAGUAUGAAAGCUGUUGGUAUAUGUGGGAGUGAUGUUCAUUAUCUCAAGGUAAAACCCCCUUAACUAUGGUACCAUAACCUUCUCUUUUCUUUUUUCUUUUUUUCUAUUUAUAUAAACAUUUAUCAAUAAAAUUAAAGGGCUGACAUCCCUUAUAUUAGAGGAAUUGUCCAGUCACCAAUUUAUUUCGCGUGCGUUAAAAAUUUUGAAAUUAUUUGUUGGAAGCGUUUGUUCACUAAUCCCAUUGUAGCAAUGCACAAAUCCUUGUUCUAUUUUAUAUGCAACGAAUAAUUUUAAGUUGUCGACAUUUGAUUGUAUAAAAAUUUUGUAUACUGUUAAUGUAGAAAAGAUUAAUCCUAAUGUCCAUAUCGAAAAUAUAUUCCUAGACUAUGAGCUGCGGGCACUUUCUUGUGAAAGAACCAAUGGUAAUUGGUCAUGAGAGCGCUGGAAUCAUUGAUGAAGUUGGAUCGGAGGUUACAACACUAGCCCCCGGCGACCGCGUUGCACUCGAACCCGGAACUGGUUGUUGGCGAUGUGAUCGUUGCAAAGAAGGCCGGUACAACCUUUGCCCUGAUAUGAAAUUUUUCGCCACCCCACCAAUCCAUGGCUCUCUUGCCAAAAAGGUAUCUGCCUGUUGAAAAUACUUGGUAAUAUAUAGAAUUUGGUUUCUAGCCAUGUUGAUCACUAAAGAUUUUUGCAACAUUUUCUUUCUCCCAAUAGAUUGUGCAUCCGGCGGAUUUGUGUUUCAAGUUGCCGGACAAUGUGAGCUUGGAGGAAGGGGCCAUGUGUGAACCAUUAAGUGUGGGUGUGUACGCUUGCCGUCGUGCUCAGAUUGGCCCUGAGACGAAUGUUUUGGUGAUGGGGGCAGGACCAAUUGGCCUCGUCUCUUUGCUAGCUGCUCGUGCAUUUGGUGCUCCAAGAAUUGUCGUUGUUGAUGUUGAUCGCAACCGUCUGUCCGUCGCAAAAGAGGUUGGAGCAUUUGCGACGGUACAAGUUUCAACCAAAACUGAGGUUUGUCCCACGUUACAAUAAAUCUUGCAUAGACUGACAGUAUAUUUUUCAAUCAGUGUGGAUGCAUGCCACUUAUAUAAAAUCAAAGUUCAAAUUCAAUUUGGGAUUAGAUGACAUGCUUCUAUAUCCAACCAAUAUACAAGAUUAAUCCAAUUUAAUUAUGUCUUAAUGCAAUUUUUUUUAUCCUUUUUUUUUUGGGCAAUAUGGAAGGAUAUUGAGAAAGAGGUGGAACAAAUCCAAAAGGCAGUGGGAGGAGUUGGCAUCGAUGUAACCCUAGAUUGUGUUGGUUUCAGCAAAACUAUGAGCACAGCUCUAUCUGCCACGAGAAGUGGUGGCAAAGUUUGCCUUGUGGGAAUGGGACACUGUGAUAUGACUAUUCCCCUCACCCCAGCUGCAGCAAGGUUGGUGUUUAUUUGGAUAAGUGUUCUUUUGGAAAAAUGUUUGUAUUGGAAUAUUUCGAAUAUGUUUUCCAAAGUUACUUUUGUGUAACUUUCUCUAUCAACUUUGCAUCUGGAAUAUUAUUUUUUUUUUCCUGCAAAUGUUUUGAAACAACUCGAUUGAUGGGGUUUUUCUAUGUUGAUAAUUAAUAGGGAAGUUGAUAUUCUUGGGGUAUUCCGCUACAAGAACACAUGGCCUCAAUGCCUUGAGUUUUUGAGCAGUGGCAAAAUUGAUGUGAAGCCAUUGAUAACCCAUAGGUAUGGCUUCUCUCAGGAGGAGGUUGUAGAUGCAUUUGAGACAAGUGCUCGUGGCAGUAACGCUAUCAAGGUCAUGUUCAAUCUUUAGAAAAGGGAACAUAUAUUAUGCUUUCUUUUUGGGAGAGGCUAUGGGAGAAGUUGCCCUAUAAAUGUUUUAAGGAUUAAGUGUGUUAAUUCACUUCCCUUUUGGUUUUUUCCUGCUUAAAUUUCCAGGGUUUUUGGAGAGUUUUAAGGCAGGUUGCCUAGGGUUGAUGUUUCUAUGUAUUCAAGUGUUAAUUCCUUUUCUUUUUUCUAUGUAAAUUUUGAUGUUUCUAUGUGAAAGGUCUGAUGCACCAAUUAUAUAAUCCGUUAUUAGGUUUAAAUGGUUCGAUUGUUGAAACACUUCUCAUUUUCUGUUCAUGUCAAUAUAUAGAUGAAUAAUAUCACCAUUUAUGUUUGAUAAGGUACUCAUUCUUAGAUGGAUUUUUUUUUUUACAGGACAUUUAUUCUAAUUCCUAGUUAAUCCACAUUGACACCAAAGUUUAAUUUCUUUGAUUGGGACGAGAAUUGGAGAAGAGCUUUGCUCUAUUUCUUUAUAUCUGUUCUUUGAUAUCUGUGUAUGUUUGAUGAUGUAAUUUCUGCCAUUAGUACAGAUUUUAAUGAAAUAUGAUAUUUUUAUCAAAAAAAAAAAAGAAGAAGAUAACUUUAAAAUCUCAAUUAUAUUCUAUAAAUAAAUUAUGACUUGGGAGUUUUGUAUCAUAUGGACCAAUCUUUUCACUAAUUUUAGCUAGUUCUCCCAUGAUGGCCUAAGGUUUUCCACCUUAGGGUGCUUAUUUCUAAACUGAUUAUCGAAUAUUCAAGUGAUUUGGGUCAUUUAUUGUCCUUAAAAUCUCAGAAUUUAAUGAUUUUUUUUGGCUAAUAGAUUGCAAGUGAAAAGUAAAAUUACAAAACUGUCAGCAGCGACUGCAUGGGGACGCGAUUAAAAGAAAGGGAUAGUUUCAGUAACCUCCCUCCAAGUUCAUGACAAUUUCACCUAGUACUAUUGAGAUUUUCAAUAUUAUAUUUACCUACCUCGGCCCUAUAAAAUAACCAUUAUAAUCUUAUCAUAUCAAUAUUUUUCAUGCAAUUAAACAAUCUGCUCCUAAUUAUAUGCAUAUAAGUGCAUUUCACACAAUUAGACAUUAAUGGAAACAAAAAUAAAAUUCAUUCAUAGAAUAACUAAUUAUGUCCUAAACACAAUUUUAACAUUAUAAUUAAUUUUAGCUUUGGUUGAAGCAUCUGGAGAUGAAUAAGAGAAGAUGCAGGUUAAAGGUUUAAGAAAAAGGCAACAAUAAUACUUGCUCUAUAAAGCACCCAAUGAAUUUCUCUUAAAAAAGCUUUUUCAGCCUCAGAUCUUCACAAGAUGGAGUGAUUUGCGGCUCCAACCCCUGCAUCCACAACCAGGAUUGCAAUGUCAUCUGAUUUUGGAACUAAUUCUUGUCUUAGGCUCUCUUCUUCUCCCCUUCCUUUUUCUUUCUAUAAUUUCUUUCAGUUUUGCUACUCUUUCUUGACACAACACGUUUCAAAGAUUCUCUUGUCCAAUAACUUCUAAGCCUUCUACUUUGACGUUUGAAAGAACUAAAUUAACCCCCCCAAGAAAAAAUAACAUAAACAAACUAAAAAAAAUGAUGUUACUGCAGGUAGUAAUCAAUGAAAUGCAAUUCUAGAAUCUUUUAUUCAUUUCUAGGGUCAGAAAAAUACAGGUAUUGAUCCAGAAUUAUACAAACACAAGUACAAGAGCAAAUCACGAUACAGCAAAUAUAUUAGCCUUAGUCUUCAGUUGUCCUCCUGAAACACCUGAGGCAAUUAAUGAUGUAUAGGCCAAUUACAACAGCCAAUAGAACAACCACAGCCACAUCCAUUGCUCUCCUUGACAUCUUCAGUUUUGCUGCCGGAUCAACUGCAGAUUGGUUGUAGUUAUCUACACUUGUUUUUCCACUUCCGUCCACAGUUUCACUAGUUCCUUUGUCCUUCAUAUCUGCAGCCUUUGCUUCUUCUUUCUCUGGCUUCUUCUGAGUAACAUCUUGAACAUCAGUCUGCUUAGAUGGACCAUCUAUUGGACUGGUUUUGUCUGCAGUUUUCUGCUGAACAGUCUCCUGAGGUCGUGCCUCAUCCUCAGGCUUCUGGAAUUGCCGUGGCUCAUCUGCAGGCUUCUGGGAUACUGUUGACUCAUCUGUAGGCCUCGAAAUGUCAGACUUAUCUGCAGGUUUCUGGGAUUGUUGUGGCUCAUCUGCAGGCUUCUGGGAUCCUCGUGACUCAUCUGUAGGUCUCAAAGAUUCAGGCUUAUGAUCUGCAGGCUUCUGGGAUCCUCGUGACUCAUCUGUAGGCCUCAAAGAUUCAGGCUUAUGAUCUGCAGGCUUCUGAGGUGUGGGACGUUCAGGGAUAGUCAAUUUGCUAUCUUGCUUGCCUCCUGGAGCGAUGAGUUUUGGUAGUCUAACGUACAAUAUGCCUCCGUCAAACUUGGCAGCAAUUUUUUUAGUGUUAAUAUCAGAUGAAAUACGAAAUUCUUUCUGGAAGCGGAUAACUUUAUUGUUUUCAGCCUCUCUCUCUCCACUGACCCUCAACUUUGCGCCUGCGGUCAGCUGGACGUUUAGUUUCUCCCUUCUAAAAUCUGCAGAAUUCUGUUUGUAAGAUUUCAAGACUUAAAAGUGCUUGUGAACCCUCCAUGAAUCAGACUAGAAUGGACACAGGAGGAAAGCAUGCGAUUUAUCCGGGUGCUAUUAUUGGAUGAUCCUCAGAUUCCAAGAAAAGAUCAUACUUAAGGGACAGCAAAUGUUCCAUAAUACAUGUAAAAACUUUACUGAUUGUUUGGCCCAAAAUAAUAUCCGAAAAGAAUACUCAUCAAAGGAAAUUAAGGCAAAAUAUACUUUGCAUUCAAGGUUUCAUUGAAUUAAUUUGUUUGCUUCAAACAGGAAAAUGGUAUCAAUCUUCUUAUAUACAAGAGAAAUGUGUUGGAAGAUCAAAUUGAAUACAUGUGAGAGAUUAAGGUUGAUAAAAAAAAAAAAAAAGAAAUAAAAAGGAUAGUCAGCCAAAAAUAAAGAAAGAAAAUAAUGAAUCUAAGAGAAUAAGGAGUAUACCAGGUAAAUGGAGAAGAAUGGUACUAUAAUCUUUAUCCUUCACAGUUUCAACUAAUGGUGCAAAUUCUUCAUCCUUGAUAACUGCUUGUGCAGCAGCCUCCAUCCUUCGAGUAAAUUCAAGAUUUUGGAUUUGUUUUCUUUUUUAAAUAUAUAUAAAUAUGUAUCUGUAUGGAUUUGGUGGUUUCUAAAGACUUUUAUGAUCAAUUGAAUAUACAGCAAGUCAGAUAAUCUAUGGAUUUAUACAUCCAUUUUUCAUCAGGGUUUUAUACAUUUUGAGUUUCCUUUGAUAUCAAAUAUACCUUUUAUUUUCUUGCUAGCUACAUCUUCCCUUUCUUUGUUUGAUAAUCUUCCACUAUUCCUCGGGAAAAGGCAUGUUCCCACUACUUUUCCUUGAGGGGAAAGGCACUACUUUUCCUUGAGGGGAAAGGCAAAGAGCUAAAACAGGAUUGCUUGAGCAAUUCAUUUUCCUUGAGGGUAUAAAUGUACUACUAGUUUUAGUAAAAUUAUAUAUUUUUUAACUCCAUUCUUAGCAAUGUGAUCCUUCAUCUAUCAUCAAAUAUUAAUUAGUCCCCUAUCUUUACAAAAAAUCAGUAACGUAGGACCUUUGACAGAAUUGGAGAAAAAAUAGAGAUAUGAGUGUUCCCCGAACCUAACUAGUGCAAUGUUCGUGUCCACAUUUUAUAUCAAUUAGAAAAUUUAGUGAUUUUGCUUGGAUAAGUGAUUUGCGGAAAACGUUGUCAGAAUUUUUUCUAAAUAAGUCUUUAAAAUUAUAUUUUCAGAAUUUUCAAUCAUUUUUUAAUCUCACAUAUGUUAUAUUGCACAAAGCAUUAAAGUGUUAUUCUAGAAAUUAUUUAAAAAAAAAAAAAAACAGAGACAACCAUGGCAAUCGUGAUUGGAUUUUGUAGUUUCUUUGGGUAUUCUUGGCAUAUUCCACAACAAUUUGUGGAUGCAAUUAAGACAGGUGUUCAUUGUAGUAGCCUGUGGAUGCUCAAAAAGAUAUGGUUUGAUUUUUUUCUAAUUGUAAUUUAAUCAUGCUUGUUUUGUUUUACCAUUUUUUGGCAAUUCAACUAUUGUUUGCGGAAGCCAAAGAAUGAAAAAAGUUUUAUUUUCACAUAUAAUUCUAAUAGCUCUGGCAAUCUAUGUGAUGGAUUAAGCAUAAAUAAAGUCCUUUAAUGAAAUUACCAGUAGUAUUGGGAGUAAAUGGAAAUCUAUUAAGUUCAAGCCAAAUGACAUUUAUGCUCGAGCUUAAUCUCUCUGUCACCCUGGCACACUUUGAGUUAAUCACAUUUGUUGUCCCUGAAAUUUGUGUUAAUUACAAAAUGGACAUCAAAAUUUGUCUAAAUUAAAGUCCAAUGCUUUGAAUAGAAAAUAUUUUUCAACGAAGCACCUUCCAAACAUUUACUAAGGAAACAUUUUCCAUUAGUCAAUUGAAAUAAUGGCAACAAAACUCUGUAUUAGUGGAAUCAUAAAAUCGUACAAUCCUACUACAAAUGCAAACAACCAACAUUUCAUUCAAUUGUAUGCUUAUAAUUCAUGAACACAUAGAAAUAGAUAUGAAAAAUGCAUCAAAAAAAUAAAUUUCUUCAACUAAGAUUUUUAAUUCUAUCAUCACAUCUCUACAAUAAUAAAACAAGAGCGGGAGUUUGGUUUGGUGUAAACAAUUUAGUGCCAUCUUUUGUGAUUUCAAUUUUAUCCUUCGAAUUAACUAUUAACCAAUAAUCAUGUAUACAACUAAAUCUUAACUGCUUAAUUGUCGAUAUACUCCAACUCUUUAAACUACACAACUACUUCUUUACGAUUAUAAAUUCCUCACCACCCAAUUAUAUAUCAAAUUAAACAGCUAAACAUCACAUAACUUCUAAAAAUCUUCGUGCUUACAACUUCUAAAUUCUCACUCCAUAAAAGAAUCUUUUGCCAUCUACCAUGACAAAGUACUUCUCCCGUUUCAUCUUUUUACUUGGUGCGUUCUUUUGGGACGUAGAUCUUUCAUUAAUCCAUAUUUCUUUUGUUUUUCAUUUUGACUUUCCUUUUAACAUGAUAUUUCUUUUGUCUUUCAUUUUUUGUCCUUCCAUCAAUCUGUUUAUCUAAUUCGAACAAUCAAUAAUACAAAAGUUCAAGUCACUCCAAAAUUGAUUCAACUUUAGCCAAGUGUAGAUGAUACAAACUCAUCAGAUAAAAAAAAAUUUUAAUUUCAAAUUAUUAGGAUAUCUCUUGGUUCAAAUACUAUGUAUUUAAAUCUUUAAUCUUCUAGUGAUCUAACUAUAAUCUACAAACUCUAAUGAUCCUACUAGUGUCGUGAUCGAAUUCAUAAAUUUUGAAUUAGGAUCGUAACAGCAGGAUCAGGAGUUUAAUAACCAUGGCGCUAGUAGUGGUUUGGUCACUACAAAUGCAGUUGCUCUAGUUCCUUGGUUUGGUCAAGACUGGAUAAUGUUUCUGCAAACACAUGUUCGCACCAAUUUGUUGCUAGAUGCCUCGAGCUUCGCCUUCCUGGACAGUGGUAUGGCGAAUGCAGUCAGUCAAGUCAUUUGGCCCUUCCACUAUCAAACAUGUCAGGCAGAGGCAGAGCAUCUGAUCAUGGAGCUAAUUCUUGUCUUAACCUCUCUUCUUCUGCCCUUCUCUUUCUUUCUUCAAUUACUUCAGUUUUGCUAUACCUUCUAACAUGUUUCAAGACUUUAUUGUCCAAAUUGUAAGCUCUACUUUAAUGUCCAAUCGGUACAAUGAAAGAACUAAAUUAAACCACUCAAAAAUCAAUCAAAAAAGCAAACUAAAAAGAUAAAACUGCAAUUGUCGUGCACGAGCGCAACCACUAGACAGCAAUAAAUAAGCCUCAGUCUUGAGCUUUCCUCCAGAAAGACCUGAUGAAAUUAGGGAAGUAUAGACCAAGUACUACACCAAAAAAACCAACCAAAACCACAUUCUUUACUCUCCUUGACAUCUUCAGUUUUGCUGCCAGAUCAAGUGCAGUCCUCAUGUAAUUUUCUAUCCAUUUGCAUUUUCAUUAGUUCCUUUGUCAACCUCAUCUGCAGGCUUCUGGGAUGGCUGUGGCUUAUCUGCAGGCAUCCAAGAUUCUGGCUUGUCUGCAGGAGUCUGAGGUGUUGGAGGCUCAGGGAUAGGCAAUUUGCUAUCUUGCUUGCCUUCUGGAGCGGUGACUUUUGGUAGUCUAACAUACAAGAUGCCAUCUUCAAACUUAGCACUAACUCUGUUGAAUCAUAAUCAGAUGAAACAGAGAAAUCUUUCCGAAAGCUGAUAGUUUUAUUGUUUUCAUCCUCUCUCUGUCCUCUGAUCCUUACAGUAUUUACUGAAGUCAGUUGGACCUUCAGUUCCUCCUUUCUGAAACCUGCCGGAUUCAGUUUGUAAGUUUCUAUGGUCUGAAUUAAAGUACUUGUGAACCUUUCAAAUAUCAGAAUGAACUGGACAUGGGAGCAAAGUGAGUAAAAUUCACUCUAUACUCCAAAAAUAAUGAAAUUAAAUCAAAGAGUAGAAACCAUAGCAGGUUUCAUCUUAGUUUUUUGUUUGCUCCACAUGAAAAGCUGAUAUCAAUCUUCUAUCUUCUUGUAUAGAAAUACAGGAGAAAUAUGUCAAAGAUCAAAUGUAAUAUAUGUAAGAGACUGAGUUGGGGUUGAUCAAAAUACAUUAGCCUCUAAGAGUAGCAUAUAUCCAAUCACAACUCACAAGAUUUGGUAAACAAGAUAAUCAGCUAAAUUGCAGGAAGAUUACAGUCCAUUGAGGACAUUGUCUGUCAAAACUAGAUUUCACAAGCAUACAUAUUGUGAACAUGAAAAACCUUCACAUAAAGAAUAAUCCAACAGUGCAUAACAUUUCCCGAAGUAGAAAAGAACAUGAAGUCAUAUGCUAAUUAAAUGGUUCAUAGCAAUUAAGCAUAAAAUGUUAGGAAACAGGUGUUAAAGUCCCAAAAAAAAAGGAAAAAAGGAAGAAGAAAAUCCCACUAGGGUGAGGAGGUGGGGGGGGGGGUCGGGCGAAAUAAAAGGACUAUAUAUACCAGGUACAUGGAGAAGAAUGGUGUCACAAUCUUUUGCCUCCACAGUUUCAGUUAGUGGUUCAAUUUCUUCAUACAUGAGAGAUGCAGGUGCAGCAGCCUCCAUUCCCCGAGUAAAUUCAAGAAUUUGGACUUGCUUUCUUCACUCAAGAUACAUGUAUAUUGAUUAGCUGGUUUCUAAAGACUCCUGUGGUGAAUGGGAUGUGUAGCCAGUCGGUUCAUCUAUGUAUAUAUAACUUUUUAAUACAAUUUUCACUUAAUACAUACACUUUUUUUUUCUUACUAGCUAUAUCUUCACUUUCUUUGUUUGAUACCUUCUGCUUUUCUUUUGUAAAAAGACAUGUUCCUAUUACUUUUACUUGUGGGAAAGGCAAAACAGCUAACCAUGAUUGCUUUAUCUAUUCAUGUUCUAUGAGCGUAUAAUUUUACUAGUUUAAUUCUCUUGUUGCAGCUUUCAUGGCUAAAGUGGAACUAUUCUUUGUUUUGUUAAUACUCCUCCAAGAAUAUUGGUACUCUCCUUGGUGGUAGCUGGGCAAGCAUAUACAUUCCUGCCAUCAUCUCAUGCCAUGAUAUUUAUAUGUAUGAAAACAAAGACUGCUUUUCUUUGCUGGCUUUUUUUCCCUUUUCUUUUUUAUACAUUAUCUUUGCAUGUUCCAUAUUUCUUUUGGAUCAAGUGCAAUCUACCACUUCAACUUUAAUUACCUUUGCAUUUGCUAAUUUCUUAUAGCAGACUACAUCAACCAUAUCCUUUCAUUUCAAUUAAGUGUAACUUUUCUUCAAACCCCCAAAUCCCCAAUCUUUUGUUAAAGAGGACAUGUAAUAUCCGAGCAGGCAACUUUUUUUAAUCAUCCAAGUUGCAAAAGAGAAAUUAGUUUUGCUUAGCAAAGAGAAUAAUUAUCUUUUAGGUGAUAAAAAUAAUUACGUUCAGCUGAAGAGUGUUUUUAAGUUCUCAGACAGAAGUAAUGAGAGAGCUACUGAUCUUUGGUUUAAUUCAGAGGUAUCAUUUCUCAAGGUUUUAUCACCUGGGCCUGAGUAUCUUGCUGCUAGCAUAGGACAUCUACACUAUUGAAGGUUUCUACUGUCAACAAUGAAAGUAAAGUGAAGAAACCAAUGGAAUUCAACAGGGCUUUGUCUUGUACCAAAGUUCAUGAAAGUAAUUAAACAAUGAAGAGAAGACUUAAUCUUGGUAGUAAAGUGACUGCAGAGCGGAGGAAGGCUGUUUAGGCCUACCUUCAGCUGUUGAGCUAUAACUGCUGGGCAGAAUCCAUAAUGGUCCACAAUUCAAACGUGGGGAAUAUUAGGAGUGUUGCAAAAUCAAGGAGCAGCAUAUUAUUGACAACUUUGUUCUGGAAAGUAUACAUAUAAAUCUCAACAGAAUUGUCACUCUGAUAACAUCUACAUCAUGGUACUUUCUGUCUCAACUGUAUUUGAUCAUCUAGAAGACGUACAGAAUGAGCACCUUCAUGUGCUCUGAAAAAUCAACAAACUCGAACUUCUACCAUUCUCUAACAGCAAACUUCCUUCCCAAACUAGGAGCUCUUGUCAAAAGCAAAGGAGACACCCCAACAAAUGCAAGAAUACACGGAAGAUUGUAUUGACAGAUACCAAAUUAUGUAUUACUACCAAGAUUGGGAAUUUUGUACUGGUCAGCUUAACUUCUCAAUGUUAUUAUGAUGUCCCACGAAAAAUAGUAGACCCUCGACAUCAGUAAGUGCUUUUGGAAGUCAUUAACUAUCUGUAUAUCCUCGUUGCCUUUCCAGAAUAUAGCCGAGAGAGAUAUGUUGCAGCUUAAUCAACUUCACUCUAGCAUGCACGGUACCCAUGAUUACCUACACGAUGUAAAAGAAGAUGACUUUACAUUCAAUGCCAAAAAUUCAAGCUCUCGAAACUAAAUAUUACUUUAACAUAUUUGAAGAAUCAGCGCUAUUAAUCUAGACAACCAUAGAACAACUGGAAAAUUGCUUCAUUAAAGUAUAACAGGAAUUGGCAUUUGCUCAUACCCCAAAUAGCAUCAUACCCUGCCCUAAAUACAUUACAUGCAUCAGCGUCUUUGCUGCAAAUCUUGAACAACAGUAAUCAAAGCUGUCUCAGAAUUGUUGGCAAUGCUAAAUUUACAGUAUAAGACAUUACCUGCAUAUAGGAGGACCGGUACAUUAGAACUCGAAAAGAAGCCCUGGGAAGUACUUUCCAGAUACUGAUAUACCUCUUAGUUUCUGAGUAACAUGUUUCAAGAUUAAAGUGUUAAAAGAAACCAGGAAUUCAUUGAUUAAACAGGUGGUACUUUGCAAAAUGUUAAACACUAGUACAAAUGAAGGUCAGCAUUGUGAGGCAAUUCCAUCUUUUGAUGCUUAUCUAGUCAGUUUCUAAUGUUUGUGAUCCUAUACAGUUUAUUAUUGAUUUUUCAACAGUUUAUCUUUGGGUGAAGGCUAAAUUGCUAAAAUGAUGCAGGGACUAAUUUAUAAAAUCUCAGAAUUUAAAUGUAAUUUUUUAUAGCACUAAAAAGCCUUAAAAGAAUUUACUUCGAACCUAUUAUCAUAAAUGUAAAUUCACAUAUGUUUCCUUUCUCUAUUCUUUUUGUUCCUACCUUUGGUUUUCUUCUUUUCUCAAUUUUCUUCCCUACUCUAAAGCUAAUUAUGACAAAGACCAGUUUCAUCCCACCCCCCAACCCUAUCCUUCUCACUGCCUUCCACCAUCCAUGGCACUCCCUUCAACUCCCUUCCACCCUGCUCCCUUCCCUCCAAAUGCCAGUACCUCCAUCAAUCCACUAAUCCAUGAUGAUGGAUUAUGGCAGGCACCACUAUGUUCUUCAGUGUAUAGUUGUCAUGCACAGCAGGUUAUGUCCAACAGGUAUCUUUUUCGUGGUAAAAAUUCCAAAUGUACACAAUAGCAAACACCAUGUUUGAAAAGGUCUCAUUCCAUUCUAAUUGUUGGCGCCAACUCUGGAAGGAAGGGAGUAAUUCAACCAGAAUCAGUACCAAAAUUACUAUUAAGCAUUGCUUUAAGGAGGGGAAAAAAAGAUCAUCAUGGAAAGAAUUCAAAAAGAUUCUCACCUUGGUAAAGGAAACCUAAGCAACCCAAUGGAAGGCCACUUAAGGGCAAAAGAGGGAUUAUAUAGACAAAAAUAGUUACACUUAUUCUUUUUUUUUCUUUAAUGCUAGAUAGAAAAAUUAAUCUUUAGAGAUCGACUUCUAAAUAAGAUCAUAUAUCUUCAUCUCUCCCCCUCUCUCAACCAUAGUUCUUCCCCCCUUGCAGAGAACCCUCAGUUCUCUCUCCAUCAUCUGGACUACUUCCUCUCUCCAAUUCCUCAAUAUCAUCUUCUCUCACACUCCCAAAUUUAACACCAACAUAACUGUACCUAUAGUACUCCAUCCAAAUCAACGACCACACAUGCUCAAAACAGUUGUUACAGAAAGCAUCUUAAGAUUCAAUCUGGUAAACCAUAAAGCCUUGGUUGAAAAGAGUGUAAAGAUCGAAACUUUAAGAAAUAAUAAUCACCAAAAAAAGGAAAAAGAAAAUGCCACAAGUACCCAUAUACUGAUAUUAAACAGUCAUGGCAGCUAUUAGGAAAUUAGACAGAAAAAUAGUUGUCUCACUUCUAAAAUAUUACAGGUGAAAGUUGAUUUCUGGGGAUACACCCCUUUUAUUUGAGUAUCAUCAACUUUAAAUUCAAUUCUUACAUGAUGACUUUCUAUAUUUUGGAAUACAAAAUAAAGCCCUUAAUGUGCUCUUUCUUUGCCCUGAUAAAACACAAGACACUUGUAAAUAACCCCCCAAAAAUCAUUAUGAAAAACCGGGACAAGAUGAGGGAAAAGGAGGUCGACCAAAGUAUAAAGUACAGGUUAGACUUGCUUUAUCUUGUCUGCUAAUAAGAAGAAAAUAGAAUUACCAUGCAGUAUCACUCUUUAACUUCAAGUUUUGACAAUUUGCUAUUCACACAACGGAUAUCUUAUUUUUCAAAGAUCCUUAACCACUUCAUUGUGCUCUAACCAAGUUUCUCCUGUCCAGUCACUGCAACCAGUUUAAGCACUGGACAAAGCUGGAAUUUCUAUUUAAUUCCAUUUUAAAGCCAUAAUAUUGAUAAGGUAAUACAGGGUUAGAGAAGCUUAAGAUCCUAAGGUUAACAUUAUACUACCUCAAGUGGAUUGCUGAUGUGUAGGAUUCAACAUCAGAUAGAGAAGGAAUUACUCUACCCUGUUUUCCUGAAAAGUUGUUGAUUCUAACUUCUCACAACUUAUCAGCAGCUUAAAGUAGUGUUGAAGUUCAUUAAAUUGUGUUAUAAUAUAGAAAAUAGCAAUGCUCAAAGGAUAUUCUUCCCUGCUCCAUAAUUUGCCAAGCAUUAAACUUUCUUUUUAAAUUUUGCUUGCCUAGAGACAUAUCAAAAGAAAGUAUAGGAAACAUGGCACUUGGAAGCAGAAAAUAAGAAGAAAGCAACAAAGAAUUGGAAGAUGUUGGAGGUACAGGAAAAUGAAAUCCAUUUUUUCCCUUGUUUUAUAGAGCAGCUUGUUGUCCAAUAUGCAGUAGGUUGAGACAAUCACACAAACUUAGCAGCAAUUUCAUUAGUUUCUUAUUUAGGAAGGAAUGCCUCUGAAAACCGAUUAUGCCUAUUAUCUCUAUGUUCCCUCUCCUCUGAUCCUCAAGAUAUUCUGUCUUAGGUAGACAAUUAGUUUUUUUUCCUUUUCUAGCACCCGAAGCAAUCAGUUAAUAAGGUGUCUGAUUAGAGAUGCAGUGUCCACCUUCUACAAAUCUAAUUAAAUGACAAUAGCAGACUACAGAAUCCCAUGGUUAAUACUAAUUGUUGUUCCCCGAAGAAGAAAAGCAAAUUUGAAAUCAAAUAUAAGAUUAGAGUCAAGGGAUUAUAAUGUUACAAAAUCAAAAGAGUGCGGAAAAUACAGAUAUACAGACUACAGAAUCCCAUGGUUACUACUAAUUGUUGAUCCCUGAAGAAGAAAAGCAAAUUUGAAGUCAACUAUAAGAUUAGAGUCAAGGGAUUAUAAUGUUACAAAAUCAAAAGUCUGGAAAAUAAAGAUAUACACAAAAAAAGAAAAAAGGGAUGGGACAGAGUGAGAAUUAUAGAUAGGUUUGACUGAUUACUUAAAUGUUAGUUUCACCUUUGGCCUGGAAAUAUCCACUUCUACAUUUUUUUUUGCCUGCUAAAUAUUUUUUACUAUUAAGUGAUACACAACAUGACUGAGAAUCGACAAAAUCACAGAUUAAGAAACAUAUAUAGUUUAGGGAGAGCGAUAGAUACUUGUUUGGCAGGAGGAGGUUGAGUGUGUAAUCUAAAACUACAUAGAUGAAUUGUCAAUUAAAUAUAAGGUUUUGCAUUUAAAAAUGCCAUAAAUGCAGCUAAAACAACAAAGAAAAGUGCGUAGAAGGCCAGCAAAGUAAGUUUCUUAGUAAGCACUACAUAUCAAACGGUAUAGCUGUGACAGAUGCACACUGGCAAACAUGUACACAAUAUAAGCCACCUUAAACACAUAAAAUAGGAUUGUCGACACACAAUUAUAUCGGCAUACUGUCAAGCAAGAUAUUCCAAUUAACUUAAGACAAGAAUGAGACAGAAGCAAAAAAUGUGGGGCUCACAAUGCAUACCUUUGUGAAGACAAACUAUUAGCAGAAUUAGAGAAGGCAGCAAACACAUUGGAAUAGGACCGGGUCAGAUAAGCGAAAUUGGAAACUGGAGGUAGUGCAUGCAUCCGUUCACCUUUCUUCAAAAGCUUCUCUAAGUUAAGCCUCUGUAAGGUCAAAACUGAUUUAGACUCCCUCCAUACAAAAGCGAGCAGUCCAUCUUGAAUCACAAAUAAAGAGCCAGGUUUUGAACCAGGAUAUCUGAAACCGUACCCAUUUGCAAUACCUUCCCCAUUAUAAGCACACUCUACGUUAAGAACACGGCCAUCUUCAUCAGCCUCCCAAGGAAAUGGCUCCAGUGAAGAUUCAUCAAUAUUGACUAUGAACAUAGCAGAGCCAUUUGGAUGAAGAACGUAAUGAGUACCUUCUAAUAUCUUGGUAGCUAUGAGUAAAGUCUGACCCUGUGACUCCUCAUAAGAGAGCAAAAGGAAAAAGAGAGCCUUUCCAAGCUUGUCUUCGCUAGGCCGCCCAGGAGGCCAACCAAAUGUACCUCCCCAAAGACCAGAAUAUUCUUGGCCUGCUACUGGCUCCCGCAUGGGCAGCUUGUAAAGAGCAAACCGACUAUCAUGCAUAUUAGGCCAUGCCCUGUAAGACGAUAAUUUCACAGUUGAAGCAUGUAACAUCAGUCCUAUAGUGUCACCAGAAUGCAGAAACUCAUGAAGCUGUGCAUGUCUGUUCCCCCCGGAAGAAAAAUUCUUUUUCAAUGUCUCACGGCUACCAUUAAUUGAGUUUGAUUUCCCAAGCAUAUGCCUAAAACUAUCCCUGAAAUAUCCAGUAAGAGUUUUCUUUUUCAUGCACUGAGUCUGGCUGCCAUCACCAUACCAUGAAGUUUCACAGCCAUGUGUACAAUUCAUAUUCUUUCUGAUUUCACUCAUUUCUAAUUGAGUAGGAUCCAACAGCAAUCUGGCACCAGCUUUCCUAUCACUGGGGCUGCUACCAAGAUUAUACAUCUGCAUAAGCAGCAAUCUUCUUUCAGAUAGGAUUGCUAUAUCCUCUGAUAAAUCAACAUCACCCCUUAAACGAGGAAACAGGAGUGAAUUUUUUGCGUCUGGGACCUGCAGCCGGACUUGACCAGUGACAAGGUCUAGAAGCUUUCUCCUAUCACCAAAUGCCAUUCUGCUAAAAGGCACCAUUGAGGCAUUGUGUCCAACAAUUCUGUUUGACUUUGAAAUACCACUAUCCGACCGAGAAAUCUUCCGUGAGAAAUCCUUAUCCAAAUCAUGGGCAAAACUUUUGCUGUGGGCCAAUAUACCCCCAUUCCUCUGCUGCCGAGGCUCAACCUCAAGUAAGAGCACAUUACAAGUCCUAUCAACUGCCUUGAGUGAACCAGGAUAGACAUAGUCAUGGUCUCUCUCCCUUCCAUGCAAGAAAAAUUCAGCAGAGCCCUCAAAAUCACAAAGAAUCUCAAAUACGGGCGCCCAUAAAAUUGGGCCAUCUUCAAUCCCUAAAGGUCCAAUUUCUUGAGGUAUAAUUCGGCACCCAACAACCGACACAAAACCAGGCAUGACAUAAACUACAUUGCCAAGCUCAGGAUUUUGGUGAACCCAUAUUCCAAGCAGAGGAAAGACACCAACAAGAAACCGGCAAAUCGCCUUGUAGGAUGAAACUCCUUUCCUCCACUCACUAAGAUCCUUAUAAGGAACUACCCCCAGCUUAUCACACUGUGCAAGCCAGACCUUCUCAGAGGCCACUAAUUCACACAGCCCUCGACAGCAAAGACCAAGAUUACAUAAAUCCUUGGGAGUGAGGGACCUGGUGACUAUGAUUAGAACAUCAUCUGGUAGAUGCAGAAGCAAGCUAGAUCCACACUGAUCAGGCAACAUGACAAAACAACACCACAAAUUCUCUUUUAGGCUUCAAACUUCAGCUAUAAAAAUCCCCUUUUGUACAUGAAAAAAGCAAUGUAAUCAUACCCUUUCAGGUUUCAAACUUCAGCAACAAAAGCUAUGUUCUUUUCUGGGCAUAUAAUUGCAAAUCCCGCAACAAAUAAAGGAAAAACAAAAAAUCUAUUAACUUUAAAAACCUCCAGUAACUCGAGAGUAGUACAGGCUGAAAAAGCUAUUGCUCAUACCUCUUCAAGAUCAAAAGAGUAGUACAUACUUUAAAAAGCUAUAGCUAUAGCUAUUCUCACAGCUUAUCCAACUGAGAGAAAAUUUGAGAACAACAUCAAAAGGGUUUGCCUUGGAUUCUUGAAAGAUUUCCCUAAUCAGCUGAAGCCCAAUUGCUAUGCCCCAGAUGCUUCAAUUUCUUGAACUUCAGAAAGGGGGUAAUUAAGCUUGAUUAAGGAAAAAAGAAAGCUUGGAGAUGAAGGAGACAGAAAUCAUCACCCAAUAUGAAGAGGGAUGAUGUCCAGAUAAUUGAUCAAAGCUGGAAGUCUGGAGUAUUUUAGAAGGAAUUAUUGAGGAUGACAAAAGAUGCAUUGGAAUAAGAAUUGUCCCUGUCCUGUUUCUGCUGUAGGACUUGGGAGGGGCCCUCUCCUCCAAACUAGGCCAGGCCAGCUUGACAAUGUUGAAUGUUGAAUGCUAAUAAUGGUGGUUAAACUUGGAAGUAGAAGAUGAAAGUCCUUCCCAAGUCCAAAAUCGUUGUCUGCACAUAUGGUCCACUCGGCAGCACGCACUCCCCACGUUUCCAUUUUCUUGCGUUUCCAUUUUCUUGAUUGCGAAAGGAAAGCAAGUUUCUAUAGAAUGGAAUCGAGUGAAAUGAAAUCAGAUAUACUGCGGAUUGAUCCAAUUAUUCAAUUGAUGGGUUAUUCGGUAGAAUUUUGCAUUGGUGAAUUUUUUUGAUAGAAAUUAUCAUUUCAUUUGUGAAAUAUGCACUAUAAUGAAAUUAGGUACUGUGGAUUGAUCCGGUUAUGUGAUUGAUGGGUUAUUCGUUAGAAUUUUAUAUUAGUGAAAUUUUUUUUGAUAGAAAUUAUUAUUUCAUCUAUGAAAUAUGUCGUCAUACAUAUCACAAAAAUAUUAGAUUUAAAUGAUACAGAUACACUAGAUAUGAGAAAAUUAUAACUAUUACAUUAUAAAUUUUCAAUCCAUUCCAAAUCAUAUCAAUCUCUUCGAACCCAACAAACAUGGUAUUAGUAGAAGUUAGUGAUGAAUAAUCCGGAAGAAUUUAUACUCGACUCGAUGAUUGAUCCAAUUAAACGAUUAAAGGGUUAUUCACUGAAAUUUGAUAUUAAAAAAUGUUAAGUCAGUAACAAGUAAUGAGAUUGGGUUUAAUAAGACAUUCUUAAAAUCUCGAUACUUAUACAUAUGUAUUUUUACAAUUUAUGCCAUAGGAUGGCAAUUACUAAAAACAAGAGUCAAAUCUCC
rnacentral:lncRNA from 1 species